CUCGUAUCAGCACUUCUGGGUAACCAGCGUGAGAACAGGAUCACAGCAUUGAAGUCCUCCUGAUCACCAUCAGUCUAGCUCGUGCUGUCUACAAGUCACCUAACUGCUCCAGAUCGUAAAAACAUUUUCCCGCGCAAACAGUGAGUGUACAGACGAGUACAGUAGUACACAGUUUGUAUCAACACUAGGGGUCCCGCCAACUCAUCGGUGUCCUCGCCACCAAGGCCAAGACAUAAUCCCCACGCACACUAGAGACCCCCCCCCACAAACUCACCAGGGGUCAGGGAGGGUAGUGUAAUCCCUGUUGGGAACUGCUGCAUAUCGGCUUCGCCCAGCACCUUCCUAGUUGCAUGCCACGUUCUGCCCGAUUAUAAUGAGGUACAGGGUUUUGCUUUCUGCCCGUCGGCCACUUGGAACUACGUUAGGCUCCCUCCACAGACAGCUGCGGUCUAUCUCGGGCUAUAAAGAGCUGUCUCACAUACUCUCUGCCUGCCUCUUUUCGUCAGGCCGGCAGAGGGUCAAAAUGCUCACAAUAAGUACCACUCUCAUCGCUCUUAGCCACCACAAGGCUACACAGAAUGAUGCUAAUAAAUCCUGAGAGGUCCAAACAUAGGGAUACAUACAGUUAUGUGAUAUAUGUAUAUAUGUCAUAUAGUACCCAAUAAUUAUUAGUGUAUUCAUUAUAAAGUAAGCUAAAACAUUACUAUGUAUGCCAUAAUUUGGAGAAUUUUCCCUCUGUGAUACAUAUGUGUUGCUGUUAGCUAUUACUCUAACUCAUCCCUUUGCAUAGCAGGCUUCUGCUUAAUUUCCAUGCUGACAUUAGAUUCUUCUCCCCUCAUUUUAGGCGAGUUCAGCCUUUUCUUACACCUGGUAAUCAGGUUACAGAACAGCAUAGCUCCACUUGGUGGCCUUGUCAUGAUAUUACAGAUAGCAAUUAUUGUGCCUUUGCAUGUUAUACACACUGCUCAAAAAAAUUAAGGAAACACAAAAAUAACAUCCUAGAUCUGAAUGAAUUAAAUAUUCUUCUGAAAUACUUUGUUCUUUACAUAGUUAAAUGUGCUGACAACAAAAAUCUUCCCCCAUGUAUCUUCCCCCUUGCCAACCUAUCCCUUCCUCAAUAUCUCCCCCCAUUCCAUCCAUAUCCUUCCCCCUUGCCAAGCGUCCCUUCCUGAAUAGCCCCCCUUGCCAACCCUCCUUCCUCAAUAUCUCCCCUCCCUUGCCAACCUAUCCCCUUCCUUAUCUCCCCCUUACAUCCAUAUCUCCCUCUUGCCAAGCUCCCCCUUCCUGAAUAUCUCCCACCUUGCCACCCCCCCUUCCUCAAAAUCUCCCCCCUUGCCAACCUUCCCCUUCAUGAAUAUCGCCAACCUCCCACCUUGCCAACCCCCCUCUUACUCAAUAUCUCCCCCCCUUGCCAACCUCCUCCCUUACUCAAUAUCUCCCCCCCUUGCCAACCUAACUCCUUACUCAAUACCCCCUACUCAAUAUCUCCCCCUUCCUGAAAUCUACCUACCUAUGCAAUCCUUGUCCACCUGGUGCUCAGGUGACAUUUGUUCCCCUUAGUCUCAGGCACCUUCCCUGCGAAAAUCGCUUUCCUGGUGGUUCAAAACCCCGGACCAAGUUGUCCGGGAACCGCACAGUCACCUUAUUCUAAAAACAGUUCCAUAACAUUCACGGCUAAGUCCCGCUGAGGUGACCAGGAACCCACUAAGUCCUCAUCCUGAAAUUAGUUCCAUAACGGUCGCGGCUAAGUACCACUGAGGACAAUUUGUGGGUUUGUUUCAUGCGAACGGCCGCCAGGGAGCUAGCGUUCGCUUCCCUGCCGAACCAGGUGCACCAAGGGAAAGCUGUUAAUGGCUGUUAAACAGUGUCUCAGACCUUGACCAUAGUCGGUGGGCAGGAGGCCAGCUUCCACACUAAUCUAGGAGUUCUUGGUAAACGUACAUGGGAAGGAGCGUUUGUCACAGAUAAUAUGCAGGAUAAAAUAUUGAUUUUAUUACUUUCCAGGAUACUCCAAUAUACUCAUAUUGUAUAGCUUUUCACAAACUGCUUGGUAGUGAAGGAGUUAAAAUAUAAAAUGGCACACUUAUCCUUUAAAAUUAGAAUCUUGGUGGUCAGGACCAAAUACUUGGGAUUUAUACUGGUUAUACUAUGGAUAGAUUUAUGCAGUAGAAUUUAACAAUAACAUUUGAUAACACUUUCCAAGCUAAUCAAAAGGGUAAUGCUGAAAAUGUAAUUAAAUGGCAAGGAAUUAAAUAUAUUGUCACUUAUUCUAUGCAAAACAGAAGUGACAGUAAGAUGAGACUCGUCUCCCGAAAGCAAAUAUUAAACUAUACAUUUGCAUCUUUAUUGUCAGAGGUGAAGGAGAGUCAUGUAUGUCAGUGUCCGUUUUAAAUUAACAGAUUAAUUAGAUGCAUUCUUCGUGCCAUUUUUAUAUUGGAUUAGGUCUGAUUAUUAUGCGAGAUACAACACACACACAUUUUGACACCAUUAUAUAUUUUGAAGCAUAUUUAACCCCUUAAGAUCAGAGGCAAUUGUCCAAGUUCUGAAACAAAACACUAGCAUUUGCGCUAUAUGUCUUUACAACCAUAAUUCACUUCUUUCAUAUUAAGUGUACGCACACUUAUUAUCUAUCAUUUUGUUCAGGAGACACAGGGUUUUCAUUUCACAUCAAAUAUUUAUAUGUGGAACACAUUUUAAUAUGAAUAUAAUCUAAAAUGUUAUUUUCCAAGUUCUGCAUUGUAUUUUAACUGUGAAUGCCAUAAUACUGUUAGCAUUUCCUGUAAUAAACCACACAUAGUUACAUGCAAAUUACACAUAUUACACAUAUACAAAAGUUUUUGUAUGCUCUGAUGUCCCACAACAAUGUUGUCUAUGUACAGGUUUCAUGGUGUUUUGGAAAGUUACAAGGUCAAAUAAAGUAAUUGCCAAUUUCAGUUUUGUUUUUUUCUUCAAUAUAUAAUUUUUAUUGAAGUUUUACAUAGAAAACAAUACAUCACAUUUAUCAAUAAGUUGCAAUCAUACACGCUACAAUAGUAACAUGAGUACAUAGCUAUGUAAUAUCAUUAGAUACAUGUAUACAUGCUCUAUAACAAUCCAUAAGUAAUUAACAAUAUGUUCUAUCUAAGCACAGUACUUAACAGGAGAUAUUUUAGAAGCAUCCAUCUGUGAAGGAAUUUAACAACGCUUUCAUUUCUCACUUGCACGGGAAGUAAUGAAGGUACCUGUAUUAAGAUUUGUGUGUACCAUGUAGUCAGUAACACUAUCUGGUGUGAUGAUCAAUAAAUGCAGGAAACAGUGGAAAAAAAAGAAAAUAAAGAAACAGGAGGGGACAGAUAAGGAAAACCGUGAUCACUGUGAGAGGAACAUUUGUGAUCCAAGAUGUUAAACUCACUACACCACUAACAGCAUCUAUUUCUACUAAGGAGUCACUAGGCAGAUAUACAAUGCACAGAUUGUAGAGUGUCGGUGUGGGGUUUGGCAUAUGAGAUAUAUAUAUAUAUAUAUAUAUAUAUGUUGGAAGGCCAUUUGGCCUGAAUUUGUGGGAGGCGUUAUGAUCCUAUAUAAACCCUACCCCCCUACUUACCUUUGUCGUGCAAGCUGUUUGUCUUCUCCAUAGCAACCAGCACUUCCGGUCCGUUGUUCCCGCCAAAAUUCAGUCUCCAGCAAGCAGUCCGUCACCAGCAGCUCCUGCCUCCAUCUUCCGUGCCCGUCCACCGGCUUCUACCCAACUUCGUUACUCGCUACCCGGCCUCCGGUCACGAUACCACAUAAGCAUAACGUGGGAAAUGGCGUUCGGCUAUUUCCCACGUUCGGGCCUAAAAACGCGGGGAUAGGCUCCAUUCAUUACUUCUGUAUUCAGUCUCCUGAGACUGAAUACAGAGUGCUGGAGACACAAAGCAGGAAGUACAGAGUGGGGAUUUAAAACAGGCAGAGCACACGUUAAUUACAGUACAGAAAAUCAGGAGAAUUCCAAAUAUUACAACUUUAAGGGAGGAUCGAUGGGACAUUUCUGACUAUAGGAGUAAGGAACCAGUGCCAGCUUCAGUGAGCACUAUUGGCUGUCUCCUUUUUUUCCUGAGAAUUGGACACCAGUGACGGAGAGGUACCCACUACAUAUCCCAUAAGCGGGGAUUAUACCGCUGUACGCGCUUUACCCUAGAGCUCUUGCAAAUGUGAGUUCUCUACCAUUAUUUUCUAUUACGUCCAUAUUUGAGCUAUACAUAUUGCACUAUUGGUUGUCCCUCUCUUUUAUCUUCUAUAUAAGUGGAACCACUACUAUAUCGGAAGACCCUACCAUUGCACCAACUUCCUUAAAGACCAUUCGUAAGGACAUAUAAGUUGGACUUCUUUUUAUUUGGACUUUGCUUAUUUUUAUUCUGUUUUUAUUAUUUAAUGUGGCGCAGCCUUUUCUAUUGUUGUUUUUAUUUCCCUUUAUUACUUACCUCUUCGUUCAAUUACGCUGUUCGUGUACUUCUGCGUUCAUGCGGCUAACAGCCAACCGCAGAGUACACACGCUUUUGUUUUCACUUUCGUUUAAAUCAAAUUUACCGACCGCCAUACUUACCCUACGUUCAUCUGUUCUUUCGGAUGUUUAAAUUUACAAACUACUGUGAAUAUACCUAGCUAGGACAUUUUCUUAAACCAAGCACUCAUUAUUUUUUCCUAGAUUAAUUUAUGUGUCUUAUUAAAUGACUCUUAAAGUCACCACUGGUUAAAUAAUGUGUUUCACUAUUCCCGUCCAUGGUCACAUAAUUAUGGGACCUCUAUUUUUCACAGGAUUAUUUUCUUAAAGGCACAGUUUGGCCACAUUUACUUUAUAGUUACGUUAAAAUAUACACCUCCAGGAAUUAUUUACCCUGCUGGUACUUAGCCUAUUGUACUUUCCCUAAAGUAUUAGUCUUCUACGCAUCCAAGGUCGCUCCGUUCAUAGGUUAAGCCCUUAAGGCCCCUUUUCGCCAGGCUUAUUGCAGACCAUUAGCACGAUUUAAAAACUCCGUUCCUCAAAAGACCUUAUACUGGUUCUUUACACUUAGAAUACAUAUGUUUUAGGUUCUACUACUUUCCUCCAAACAGUCUUCAAGAAAUGGUAUCCCAGUAUCCGGUAUUACUGUAUCAGGUAAGAAGGUUUACCAGUCUCUUUUCCCUCGAGGCCUCAUUCAGCCUCCACGGCCUCAUUUAACUCCCCACCUCCCAAAGUGGGUUCUAAACUUCAAACGGGCCAGGUCUUAGAUUCCUCACUAUGAUUUAAACAUCAAUCACACAAACCUACACCUUCUUGCGACUACUUAUUUAACCGUACUUUUCUUGUCUAUUGUUUCUACCUACGGACCAACGUUCAGGUCCCUCAUCGUACACGGGUUCAUACGUUAUAUUUCAUUAUUACACUUUACCCAUACGUUUCCAGUGGCACGCCUCAGGCCCACUAGCAUCUACAUUACCCUUAGGAUAUCUUCAUUGGACCCAUUCCCUACAGAAGCAAGAAUAUAUUGAAAUCUUCCUGCGCAUUGACCAAAGAAAUAGGACAAUACUCAAGGUUAAGUAUAUACAUACGUUAAAAUACACUAUUCUAAGAGACAAGCCCCAUCAGGCUAGUGAACUGGCAUUGAGGGUUAGGCGCUGGCCUUAGCUAUCCUAAAUAAUACUACGGUCCCAUGAGGUCUACACCCCCACCUCAUACACGGAGGUUCAGCCCCACGACCAAAUCAUAGUUAGCCACCUCACUCGCCCUUCUUUAGGGCUAUAGCUAGGGCUUCCCAAGUCACGGCCACAUGUUUUUGAAUCUCUUACGGUCACCGAGAGGCCAACAUCCUGCCACUAUGUUUAAGUGGCCACAAAACUCCCUCAGCCCAAAUCUAUAGCCACCCCAGGUGUCUCGUUAAGCCCGGCAGGCCCUCCCCUGGCGAUCUCGGUUAUACAGACUGUCUUACCCCUCAUCUUCCCUCCCCGUCCCCCCCCACCCACUAUCACUACUCUCCGGCCCACUCUGUUCCAAUUUCCAUGGAGAAGGGAAUUCUUGAUGGAAAUGAUCUAACAUCACUACUCAACUUCCCAAGACAUCCUACAGUACAAAGGUUAUAUUCAUGGUGACAUUUUAGUCCUUAAAAGUGAGACCCACGACCUAACAAAGCGUUCCAUUCCUCAGUUUGUCAUUGCCUCCCACAUAGAAACAGCUACGUCCACUUCUCACCAGUAUGCUAUUUCACUACAUACAGGGCAUCGCACAUCUGCUCCAGAGCCCACACCUAGUCCACAUAUUCAGCCCUACUGUCACCUAAGAUAGCCUAACGAAGGUCAACAUUGAUAUCCUGGAAAACUAUCAGCAUUUACACCCAGCUAGGCAUCUGGUAGAUUCUGAUGCCGGGUUUCUCACAGGGAGUUUACACGGGCCUUAUUGUCAACCCCUCAGGUACACUAGUAUGCCCUAACCUAUUAUCUGCAUCCAUCGACCCACUUACGGUGAACCACCUUCUGUCCACAGCAAUCAUACGCUGGUUUCACAAUCGGCCCUUUCCAGUCUUCAUGUUUCUCAUCUUGGCAUACCAAUCCCAUCGGGGUAGCCAUUCACAUUACCCAAAAUACGUUUGAUCAUAGACCUCUUCCGCCUCGCACUCUGCAGAAACCAUCUGCUGGCUGCUCCUAAAUAUAUUCAUGGGUCCAUCACGACACUCGGGGUCCCUCUGUCACCAGGCAAACAGUUGGUCCCUCUACCAGGCUCGCUUUCUGAGGUAUAGUAUUGGACACUACUAAUUUCCUAUCCAGCCUACCAGACAAUCUGUCCCGCAUUAGGAACGCAUUAGGAACAGAUUUGUCCUGUUCCUGCGGAAUGUUGCGCGCCCUGGGAGGGGACUUCAGUCCUGAUUGAGAUCCCUCAACUUUGUGUGUGUAUCAUUCCGCAGGGUAGGUCUAUUGUCCCUGGGCUACUUAAAUUUGCUCCACAAGGUGCCGACUCCUGCCCAACCAUUCAGGACGAUUCAGCCAGGGCAGUUUUACACAAUUGGAGUAGUUUUUCAGCCGCAUGGAUUGGGAUCUCUUCGUUCAUUCUCCCACUUUCAAAACACUCAAUUUCAAUUCACACAGUCGCAGCAGCACACACAGGGUUCGCAGCCAUUUUCGGCAACCACUGGUUAGGGAUGUCUGGCCCACUGUCACGGAUGCCUUGCCGGCCUUUAGAGAGACCUCUACUUUAUUUGAGAUCUACCCCAUCGUGGUGGCCACCCUCACAUGGGUCAUCUUUGUUAAAUACUGCUCUGACAACUCCGCAGCCUGCGAUUUCAUUAACAAGGGCGGUCAUACUCGCUAACCACUGCAGCCGUUUCGCAGGCUGAUUUGGCAGGUAGCAACCUCUCAGUUCUUUCUAGUCUACAUUUACAUUGCUGGUGUCCACUACACAGCCACUGACGCUCUUGCACGCUCUCAAUUUAAGGUCUUCUUUCAGGUAAUCCCUACGACCCACUACCUACCAUCCAGGAUACCCCCUUCCCAUGAGCUAAUCUUGGACUAAGCACACAAUUACACCACAUAGGGGUACGCAUGAUUCACGCAGUUUCAUGACUACUCUAUCACUCACGCCAGGGCCUUGUAUAUUGUACAUGUCACAAGCAGAGUUUGCUUGAAUUAAGACUUUUGCAGUUAAACUUUGGUAUUUUUUGCCUCUUCCUCCAAACCUACAAAUCAAGCAUCUUAUUUAAACCUCCUAUGCUGUCACUCUGCUUUACGUCUCCAAGGUCAACCACACACUAUCAGUCCUAAUCCACUACUUCACGUCUAAACCUUCCAUUGAGGUGGAGUUACAUCAUGGCUUCCUUCGCUGGUCUCUCUUUUCCGCAAAGCGCUGCAUCAGCAGCUUUAAGCUCUUACACCCCAGUCUACAUCACUAAGUGAUGGGGCCACAGGUAAUCCCCAGCUCCCACACCUCAAUCAGAGUAAAAGCUCCUUACAAGCUUUCAGUACCCACGCUGUAUAAACUUGCAAUAAAGUGUGUUUUCUUUGAAUCCUCUAUUGCCCUCUUUUACAGGCCUACUCAUACGUUGGUUUCGGCACACUUUGCUUCUCCUUCUACAUUCCAUUACCUAUUAGAUAAAUUCCGAGCACAAGUUGGAAGGCCAUUUGGCCUGAAUUUGUGGGAGGAGUUAUGAUCCUAUAUAAACCCUACCCCCCUACUUACCUUUGUCGUGCAAGCUGUUUGUCCCCACCCACCUACACCCAUCUAUAAUAAAAAUUCACCUUUGUGGGCCCUCUUUUACAGGCCUACUCAUACGUUGGUUUUGGAACACCUCAACCAACUUUGCUUCUCCUUCUACAUUUCAUUACAUAUUAGAUCAUUUCCGAGCACAAAUAUAUAUAUAUAUAUAUAUAUAUAUAUAUAUAUUUGUGAUCAGGGACAAUAAGCCGAGUUAUGUUAGUGGUGCACAAGUCGGUUGUGGUGUGCCGAAACCGACAUUCGGGUAGGCCUGUAAAAAGAGGGCCCACCAAUUUAAAUGGCUUGAUAAAGGGAGUGGUGGGUGGGGUGAACCAGACAGUCUCAGCCCAGAGGGAGGGGUGAUCUUUGUAUUUAUAGCAAUAUCCCUUCCCACAACUACAGGCUCCGCCUUUCCAUUUGUGGUCAGGGACAAUAAGCCGAGUUAUGUUAGUGGUGCACAAGUCGGUUGUGGUGUGCCGAAACCGACAUUCGGGUAGGCCUGUAAAAAGAGGGCCCACCAAUUUAAAUGGCUUGAUAAAGGGAGUGGAGGGUGGGGUGAACCAGACAGUCUCAGCCCAGAGGGAGGGGUGAUCUUUGUAUUUAUAGCAAUAUCCCUUCCCACAACUACAGGCUCCGCCUUUCCAUUUGUGGUCAGGGACAAUAAGCCGAGUUAUGUUAGUGGUGCACAAGUCGGUUGUGGUGUGCCCAAACCGACAUUCGGGUAGGCCUGUAAAAAGAGUUUAACACUUUAUUACGUAACUACAUUACACCAUCAAUACAUUUUAUCAGCAUUUAUAAGCAUACCUGAAAGAGAAAAUUGGUUAGUGGGAGAUACUCUAUAACACAAAGAUACUGGCUGACCUAUGUUAUGCCAAGUGGUGUGUCAGGAUUACUGUUUGAUCCAGCACGUAGAACUGUACAGCACGAAUGACAAAUAAGUAACGUAUUACCGGUCCUUAGAAUGGCCGGAUUUAACGUACAAAGAAUAGUCAAAAAUACUAGCCGAGGUCAGGGAACACAGAAAGGGACACAGCGAUGAGGAAAGCCAGGAGUCAGGAUACCAGAAUAUAGAGAAAUCAAUAAACAAAGCCAAAGUAAAAAACCAGGUAGAAAACUAUAAACAGGAACGCGCUCUCAGACAACCACAAGGGAAACCACGACAGGGCACUGAGCAGGCUGAGAACUGGGCCUAAAUACCCCUCCUUUAGUUCUGAUAGGCUGUAACCGGCCUUUGACCCCAAAGUCAGUUACCAGGUUUCAUUUGCAUAAUUGCUGCUCAGCAUUAACCCUUCUGUGGAUUAGGUUGCUGCUCGGCACAACUUUUCCUGUGUGGACAGUAAAUGUCAUUAACCACAUUUCUAUAAGCGGAUGAAUAUGUGACAUUACCCCCCACCUGAAGAACGCCCACCGGGCGGACAGGACCAGGCUUGAGAGGAAAUUUAGCGUGAAAAGCGCGGAUCUUACGGCCCGCAUGCAGGUCAGGAGCCGAAACCCAAGAACGAUCAGCAGGACCGUAACCUUUCCAAACAACCAAGUACUGUAAAGUGCCCCGAGAAAACCUAGAAUCCACGAUAGAAGAUACCUCAUACUCUUCCUGACCACCCACCACCACCGGAGGGGAGGAACACAAGGAACAGUAUAUCUAUUGCAGACAAGAGGUUUGAGUAAGGACACAUGAAAAGUGUUGGGAAUCCCUAAAGAUGCAGGAAGAGCCAGAGAGUAAGACACUGGAUUGAUCCUACGAAGCACUCUAUAGGGACCAAGGAAUCUGGGGGCAAACUUCAUGCUAGGGACCUUAAGCUUGAUGUUGCGAGAUGACAACCAAACCCGGUCCCCCACUUGGUACACCGGGUUGGCACUCCUACGCUUAUCAGCAAAAUGUUUGAAGCGUUCAGCAGCAGCCCCUAGAGCAGUUUGAACCUUAACCCAGGUAUCCCGAAUGGAGGCCAGACGCUCAUCCAGAGCAGGAAUGGCAGUAUCAGAAAAUACCGCAGGGAGAACCGUAGGAUGCCUACCAUUAUUGACAAAAAAUGGACUGUGCCCAGAGGAGUCAUGAACAGCAUUGUUUCUAGCGAACUCGGCCCACGGGAGUAGUUCGGACCAAUUGUCUUGUGUGCUAUUAAUAAAACAACGCAAAUAAACUUCUAAUGACUGGUUAGCCCUCUCAGCUGUACCAUUGGUCUGUGGAUGGUAGGAGGAGGAGAAGGAGAGAUCAAUCCCCAAUUGUUUACUGAACGCCCUCCAGAACCUGGACACAAACUGAGAGCCCCUAUCAGACACAAUAUUGUGGGGGAUGCCAUGCAAACGGACAAUUUCACGUAUGAAAAUUAGGACCAAAUCUUGCGAAGAUGGCAACUUCUUGAGAGGAAUGAAGUGAGCCAUCUUAGAAAAUCGGUCUACAACCAUGAGAAUAGUAGUGAACCCAGCAGAGCUAGGAAGCUCAACAAUAAAGUCCAUGGAUAGGUGGGACCAUGGAAUCUCAGGAACAGGAAGAGGCUGCAACAGGCCACAAGGAAGUGCAUGAGUCACCUUAGAAACUGCACACACAGAACAUGCCUGCACAUACUCCUUUACAUCUUUCCUGAGUGAAUCCCACCAAAAUGAUCUAGUGAUCGCGGCAGUGGACUUAUUGAUGCCCGGGUGUCCAGCAGUUAUAUUGUCAUGGAACACUUUCAUGAUAUUAACCCUUUCACAUAGGGGAACGAACAGUUUAUCACACGGUUUACCACUGGGCGCCUGAGGCUGGGCCUCCAGUAUGGUGCCAAGCAGUGGAGAAGACAGUGAGAGGACAGUAGUAGCAAUAAUACACUCUGGUGGAAUAAUAGGAGAUGUCAUCUGUUCCGGAGCUGACUCAUUAUCAAAUUGCCUGGACAAGGCAUCACCCUUGGUAUUUUUAGAACCAGGUCUAUAAGUAAUGAGAAAGUUAAAACGUGAAAGGAACAGUGACCAUCUAGCCUGUCUGGAAGACAAACGUUUGGCAUCCCCUAUAUAUGCCAGAUUUGUGUGGUUGGUUAUGAUCAACAGGGGGUCCUUGGAACCCUCCAAAAGAUGUCGCCACUCCUUGAGGGCAAGAAUAAUGGCCAACAGUUCUCUAUUGCCAAUAUCAUAGUUGCGCUCAGCAGGAGACAUCUUUCUGGAGAAGUAGCCACAAGGAUGCAAUGGUGUUCCCUGGCUUUCUCUCUGAGAGAGAACAACCCCUACCCCUGUCUCGGAUGCAUCAACCUCCAAUAUAAAAGGUUUACUGGUGUCAGGAUGUUUUAGUAUGUCCGCAGAGGCAAAUCUUUGUUUAAGAGUCUCAAAAGCAUUCACAGCCUCUUUGGACCAUACCGUGCUACUAACCCCUUUGCGAGUCAUAUUUGUGAUUGGGGCUAUUACAGAAGAAAAUCCCUUGAUGACUCUUCUGUAAUAGUUGGCAAAACCAAUAAACCUUUGAAUGGCUUUUAAACCAGAGGGUAAUGGCCAGUGUAGUACAGCCUCUAGUUUUUUAGGAUCCAUUUGAAAUCCCGAUGCAGAGAUGUUGUAACCCAAAAAGUGGACUUCAGGCUGGUCAAAUAUGCACUUUUCUAAUUUACAAUAAAGUUUAUUUUUCAACAACGUCUGCAGAACCUGUUUCACAUGGGAGUGGUGAGUUUGAAGAUCAGGGGAAUACACCAAAAUAUCGUCCAAAUAAACCAAGACAAAUGAGUAAAUGAAUUCCCUGAGUACAUCAUUUAUAAAGUCUUGGAAUACGGCCGGGGCGUUGCAUAACCCAAAUGGCAUUACCAGAUAUUCAUAGUGUCCACUACGGGUAUUAAAUGCCGUCUUCCACUCAUGAUUCUCUUUAAUUCUAACCAAAUUGUAAGCGCUCCUAAGGUCAAGCUUAGUAAAUACUUUAGCUCCCUGAAGUCUAUCGAACAAUUCGGAAAUGAGUGGAAUAGGGUAUGCAUUUUUUACAGUGAUUUUAUUAAGUGCCCUGUAGUCUAUGCAAGGGCGUAACUCACCACCCUUUUUCUCAACAAAAAAGAAUCCUGCACAAGCUGGUGAGGAUGACUUUCUUAUGUGUCCUUUGCUCAAGGAUUCUUUGAUGUAUUCCUCCAUUAUUUUACUCUCCUGGGGAGAUAAGGCAUAAACUGCCCCCUUAGGUGGCAUAGCGCCUGGAAACAGGUUAAUGGCACAGUCAUAUGCUCUGUGGGGAGGCAAUACAUCGGAUUGAGCCUUGUUAAACACCUCCUGAAGUUCUCGGUAUUGUAUGGGAACUCCAGGAGUUUGGGGAGUGGUAGUGGGAAGGUCAAUAGUAUCCAAUCUCUUUAGUACUGGUUUUAUACAUCUCCCCAUACACUCUUUACCCCAUUCUAAUAUCUCCCCAUUAGCCCAGUCAAUAUAGGGAUUGUGCUUACUCAGCCACGGAAACCCUAAUAUGAUAGGACAUGAUGGAGAAGUAAUAACCUGAAACGUCAUCUCCUCCCUAUGGGAGGCCCCAAUGGAGAUCGUAAUAGGGACAGUUUCGUGGGUUAUAAGUGGUUGUGUGAGUGGUCUACCAUCAAUAGCCUCUACAGCUAGCGGCGUAGGUCUCUCCCUGACCGGUAUCUCAUUACCCCUAAUAAACUGGACAUCAAUAAAAUUUCCAGCAGCACCUGAGUCCAUUAGGGCACUGCAAGAAAACUUCAUGUUAUCAAGGGAAAUAGAUACCUCAAGGAGGAAUCUACUUUUGUUUUUGUUAGAGGACAACUCCAUCACACCUAAGAUCUGUCCCCUUAAGGUUCUUAGGUGCGGAAGUUUUCCGGACGCACUGGACAAUUAGUUAUCAUAUGUCCCUUUCUACCGCAAUAUAGGCAUAACCCCUCCCUUCUCCUAUACUGUUUUUCGGCCUCUGACAGUCUAGUGACCCCCAACUGCAUAGGUUCGGGUUCGGACUGUACAGGGAGGUUAGACAAAACAGGUUUAGAGAAUUGAGGUGCUAGGGACAUAGCCGUACGUCUGGUCUUGCUUCUGGUGACUUCUCUGAGUCUUAACCUAUUAUCAAUAUGCAUGACAAACGUAAUAAAUUCGUUAAGACUCUUAGGUAAUUCUUUAGCGGCUAUCUCAUCUAGUAUAGUCUCUGAGAGACCCUUUUUGAAUGCUGAGAUUAACCCAUUGUUAGUCCAGUCUACCUCGGAAGCUAAGGUACGGAAUUCAAUAGCAUAAUCCGAGAUAGACCGGUUACCUUGUCUGAUGUGCAUUAGGGCAGUGGAGGCGUCAUCCUCUCUACCCAAUGGCUCAAACGUGAGCUUGAAUUCGGCAAGGAAUUCCUGGUAAUUAUGAGCUAUGCUCCGAUUACUCUCCCACAACGGAUUAGCCCAGGCAAGGGCCUUGCCCUUUAAUUGAUUCAUUAGAUAACCAAUUCUUGCUCUGUCCGUGGGGAAUGACCCUGGUGAGGCCUCAAAAUGGUACUCCACCUGAUUAAGAAAACCCCUGCAUUCCUGGAUAUUGCCAUCAAACUGUAGGGAUGGUGAUAAGGAGAUGCAAGGAGUCCUAUUAACAGUGGGUGGAGGUACACAGGGUAGAGGUGCUAUAGGAGGAGACGCUGCAGGCUGCAGAUGCUCCGUUCUAGCGAGAAGCGUACUUAAAGCCUGAGUGAAUUGAUCCAUGCGGUGAUCAUUCUCCUCUAAUUUCCUCUCGCAAGCAGCUAUGUGCUGACACAGUUCUAUAGGAUCUAUGGCCAUGUCGUAAUGUCAGGAUUACUGUUUGAUCCAGCACGUAGAACUGUACAGCACGGAUGACAAAUAAGUAACGUAUUACCGGUCCUUAGAAUGGCCGGAUUUAACGUACAAAGAAUAGUCAAAAAUACUAGCCGAGGUCAGGGAACACAGAAAGGGACACAGCGAUGAGGAAAGCCAGGAGUCAGGAUACCAGAAUAUAGAGAAGUCAAUAAACAAAGCCAAAGUCAAAAACCAGGUAGAAAACUAUAAACAGGAACGCGCUCUCAGACAACCACAAGGGAAACCACGACAGGGCACUGAGCAGGCUGAGAACUGGGCCUAAAUACCCCUCCUUUAGUUCUGAUAGGCUGUAACCGGCCUUUGACCCCAAAGUCAGUUACCAGGUUUCAUUUGCAUAAUUGCUGCUCAGCAUUAACCCUUCUGUGGAUUAGGUUGCUGCUCGGCACAACUUUUCCUGUGUGGACAGUAAAUGUCAUUAAUCACUUUUCUCUAAGCGGAUGAAUACAUGACACCAGGUUUCAUUUGCACAAUUACUGCUCAGUAUUAACCCUUCUGUGGAUUAGGUUGCUGCUCGGCACAACUUUUCCUGUGUGGACAGUAAAUGUCAUUAACCACAUUUCUAUAAGCGGAUGAAUAUGUGACAUGGUGAAACAAUUAAGCUAAAUUGGUGACUUGGGAACCUAACUAGUUGCCAAGUGGCGAUGAGAGGCUCUACCUAUGAUUUGGCCCGUUGGGUAUGUUUGCCACUGAAUUUUGUGGCGGGGUGUUGGCCUCUCGGUGAGGAUUAAAGAGAUUCAAAAUAAGUUGCCUGUGACAGGUGAGGCCCUAACUGCUUUACCAAGAGGGCGGAGAUGCGAGGUAGUAACUAUGAUUUGGCCCAAGGGGCGAAUACCUCUGUAGUUGAGGAUGGGAGUUGGCCUCGCAGGACAGCUAUAUAAUGGCACAAGAAGCCCAAAACUACUUAUGGCCACUUAGGGUACCCUAACAGCCAGUCCAAGCUAAAGAUAAGUUUUGUAGAGCAAGUGGUUAUUGUAAGAAUGGAGGUAGUAUCGUAAAGCGAGUCACUUACGUGGUGACUUAAAAAACGUAUAUGCAAAAGAAUAAAUGUGGCAUGAUAAGAUAUACACCUGGCAGAUAAAUGAAAGCUAUGCUAGAAAUUGAUGGUAAGAAUAGGUAAAUGGAAAGUGGAGGGCAAAAGAAAAAGGCUUACCGAGAUCCAAAACCAAAAUCCAACCAGAGAGAGAGAGACCCAAUAACUUAGUGUUCAUAAUUUUGAACUACAACACCAACACCAAUGAAAAUGCAACAGUUUGCCGGUAAGGUAGGUAAAGUAAGUGCAAGAAGCCCAGAACCCAAAAUACUCUAUUAAUAUCUGUUACCAGACUAACAAAGGAAAUUGAACAGUGUGAUAAAUGGCUCAGUUGACUAUACCCCCAAUGGUCGGCAUAAAGCAUACCUGGUGAGACUUUUCUUAAUGAUAUAGGUCAUGAAAGAGUUGGCCAGAAUAAUUGAACAAGAUCCCUGUGAAGUAUAUGUCAGGAGGUGAGGGUGCGGUUCCCAAAUUAUCAAGUUGAGGAUAACCAGCCGCAAGUGGCAUAGUGACAGAAAGGCAUAUUAUAAAACAUAACAGUGCAGACAUGUUGAGUAACUGAAAAUUAACAGUUUUCAUCAAAAGCCCCGACUCGAUACCUGUUUGUACUGAAUUUAGGCAUGAGUUCCCUCUGCACAUCCUUCCACUAGAAGGACCUGAAGUGUGUAUGAGAAAGAACACCCUGAAAAAUCCCAACCAUCACAUUAAUCAAAUCCCAUAGCGUACUGCAGGAAGUGAAAUACCAGAACUGGCAAGUUCCUUAAGGUGGAAGUACUAAACAGUUAAAAUAGUGACAGACCAAAGAAGCCUGGAUAUGUUAAAUGCAUAUUGAUAGGUACCAGGUUCUUGGGUGUGUGCCGAGAGAGGGAAAAGACUUGCCUGGGCCUAACGAGGCCAUGUGUAAUAUUGGAAUGUAGUUUGAAAGGUUGUUUUUCUUUGACCCUCGUAUAUCAGAAAAUUGACGUAUGUAAUUGCCAAAAUGAGUGGCCGAAAUUGAAGUAUAUAAUUGCCCAAAUGUGGGGCCGAAAUUGCCAUAGUGUUCGUAGAGGGCCAUGUGUAAACGUAUGGAGUAAAGGCUUAGUGAGGGCCAUGUGUAGAGGUAUUGUAGUGGAAGGAAGAGUGCUCAAUGUUAGUCCUGAGCUGCUGUAUGGAGAAAUAGGGCUGUAUGAGGGGUAUGGAUGUAUGGAACGAACAAAAGAAGGAUAAGCAUACCAAGGUGCAGGUGUUGUGAAGUGGCCAAUAGUGAAUACCUAGUUUUUCUUUUUUGGUCCAGUCCAUUUGUAAAGGUAGAAUUAUUAGUUAGGUUAGAAGGAUGGUAACAUGGCAUGCAGUGGAGGCCGACUAUAAGGCCCAUGCCAACGGAUGACAAGUAUACAACCAACACAAUAGAUUAUAUGGUGUCUCAAUGUAGUUGACUUGAGACAUAAAAUUUCUAAUACUGCGCAAGAACAAAGUGACAGUAUGUGAAGUAAGGAUACAAUGUAUAGAAUAAGGGAUUCACAUACCAUGGAGUUUUGCAGGCAGAAUAAGGGCUGUAUAGGCCUAGCGAGUAUAAGUGGUGUAAUGAAAUGUUGUAAGAAAGAGUGGUGUAUACAUAUAACCCCCAUGCAGCGAAAGGUACUUAUGCAUUUCGAUCAUAUUGGGCUGCCUACAUAUGAUGGGAAUGAAAUGAAGGCCCAGUACGGCCGCGUGUGAAGGUCUUGGACCUGAAACAAGACCAAUAUAGCAUUUAUUCACAACCUUGCUAUCUGUAAGCAGUUUCAAUAUGAGAUCUAUGAAGGAUAUAAUAACUUGUCUAAAUAGAUAUAGGUGAACCGAAGUGCUUAAUGUGAGGUGAAGAUAGUGUACAUAAUGGAGGGAUUACAACUACCCCGUGAGAAUGGCCAAAUGAGGGUUUUAAGGAUAGAUAGAUUGCCGAUAACUUGUAGAAUAAUGGGGUAGUAUGCAAACCCUGUAAGAAUGAUGUAAUGCAAAUGAAAUGCCAAAAUGAUGUUUUGAAUUAGGACAUGGCGUGUAGCCCACUGUGGGGCAUAUGACCGCAUAUUGUAAAGGCCUAGUGAAGACCAUGAGUAAGAAAUUGCGUAGAAUACCAGAAGGUGUCCUAAUUUGUGUCCUGAGUUACAGGAGGAUUGUGCCGCUGUGUUGGGAUUAAUGCAGGUGAAGGUAGGAUGUGAAUCAGAGAAUUGUUGUGGAGAAGUUGUAUGUAGUCAAGACAUGUUGGUGAUGAGAUGGUAGAGAACCUGAUCGAGUUAUUAAUAAUCAUCUAGUAUAUGAAAUGGUGAAACUGAAUAGAACUUGUAUGUAAACACUUAUAAAGCAUCAUAUAAUACAUACCCACAGAGCCAAAUAAAACAGGGUGUUGGCAGACAGAAUUAAACAGGAACAGAGGCCUCUAGAAUGCCACAGUGGCUGAACGGGUUAGCGACCGUAACAGCCGUACUUUAAUCGAUAGGAAGAGAUAGGAGCUAUAAGAUAUAUUAUAUUUUUUUUUAAAAACCUACGUGUGGAAUGCUUAGGAAGAUUGAAGAUAGAAAAAUAUGUAUGCAUACACAACAGGUAUGGAAGAUUAGGGUUGAAAGCAACAGCAAAUGCUAUAACAAUAGUAGAAUAUCUCAGUAAUAUUAACAUCAGCUAAAACUUGCUUAACUUGAACAUGACUGAAUGAGGUUUACAUAAUGCGUGUAGACCCUACAAAUAAGACAGUAAAAGUAAUCACAAUACCUAAGCCAGAAAAGAAAAAAAAGGAGGAAACCGCGCCUUACAUGAGUUAUAUAUACAUACACUUGAUGUCUCUUAGUAGUUGCGGAUAAUUUAUCCUCAAAAAGAAAACAGAAAAAAUAUAUACAAUAGUGUGAUAUGUUUAACAAUAUAAGAAAAAGUAAUAAAUAGAACUGAGGUAUUUUACACUCACAUUUGAUAGAGCUACUGUGGGAGCUCUACCGUGAUUGACAUGGAUGGUACAAUCCCCGUCUUAGGAUAAGAAGUCCAACGUCUUAGGUACUCCAAUGGUAUGGUGGUACAGAUAAAAUGGAAAACAAGAAACUCCAAUAGUGUAGUAGUUCCAACUCCAAGUAUAAAUAGAUAAAUAAAAAUAUUUAUACUCACAUUUACUAGAGCAGAAAACUUGCUCUAGUAUAUAGGGCUUGCAGUGGUAUAAUCCCCACUGUAGGAUAUACAGGCCAGGAAGUUUGAUGGUACAAAUAAAAUAUAAUGAAAUAGUGUAUAGCUUUAAAAAAUAUAUUUAAUAGUAGUACAAGUAGAAUAAAAUAAAAAGCUAUAUAAAAUAAUCACAAGUAGAAUAAAAUAAAAAGCUAUAUAAAAUAAUAACAAGUGAUUAUUUUAUAUAGCUUUUUAUUUUAUUCUACUUGUACUACUAUUAAAUAUAUUUUUUAAAGCUAUACACUAUUUCAUUAUAUUUUAUUUGUACCAUCAAACUUCCUGGCCUGUAUAUCCUACAGUGGGGAUUAUACCACUGCAAGCCCUAUAUACUAGAGCAAGUUUUCUGCUCUAGUAAAUGUGAGUAUAAAUAUUUUUAUUUAUCUAUUUAUACUUGGAGUUGGAACUACUACACUAUUGGAGUUUCUUGUUUUCUGUUUUAUCUGUACCACCAUACCAUUGGAGUACCUAAGACGUUGGACUUCUUAUCCUAAGACGGGGAUUGUACCGUCCAUGUCAAUCACAGUAGAGCUCCCACAGUAGCUCUAUCAAAUGUGAGUGUAAAAUACCUCAGUUCUAUUUAUUACUUUUUCUUAUAUUGUUAAACAUAUCACACUAUUGUAUAUAUUUUUUCUGUUUUCUUUUUGAGGAUAAAUUAUCCGCAACUACUAAGAGACAUCAAGUGUAUGUAUAUAUAACUCAUGUAAGGCGCGGUUUCCUCCUUUUUUUUCUCUUCUAUACUGUUUCUUAACAAGGCUGGGAAUCCUUGUAUUGGUUACUGCUGCCUAUCUAAUUAUUUAUCUUUGGAGUGAGCACCCGACACAUCUCUUCUUUUCCUCUUACAAUACCUAAACCAGCCUGAUAUGUCCAAAUAUUAUUGACAUGUGUUAGUGCAACCAAUAAACGAGCAAUCUAAGUGGGCUGAAAUGUUAACAGUGUCUAAAAAGUGGAUGAGGUUGUACUGUAUGGGGAAACCAGCGUGGUCAAAUGUGGACUGAAUUUAUGGAAGGUGGAAAAUCGAUGUGCUUGAGUGGUAGAAUGAGGCCAAGCAGACAAAUCAUAAAAUGCAGUAAUAAAAUUGAAAGCACCUACUAGACAGAGUAGGGCAUGUUAAAACACUUGUAAAGUAGGGCUUAAGACUUACAUGUAAAUUGCUUAUGACUGGAGAAAACUAACUCAAAGGAGCACUCCUGACCCCCAAGGCACUUAGUGUGCGAUUGGACAGCCACAGAAAUACCGGGCAGAGUAAGAAGGGAGAGCAGGCAGAAGCAUCAGACAAGAGAAUUGCAGAUUUUGCAAGCGGUUUUAGAUUAUGCCGUAUGAAAAAAUUACAUAAAUAAAUGCAUGCAUGUUGUCAAUCAGGGCACAUCCACUAAACAGUGAUUUCCACUUAGUUAUAUUUGGGCAGCGGCGCGUCCCUUCAAGUGCAUGCAGCAUUAAUAGAGAUCAUACCGAGAUGUAAGCAGAAGGCAAUACAAAAUGACCUUGGAAUAACCUAAAAUAGCUACCUAUUAAUAAAAUGUUAUUUGCAGAAAAAUGUGAAAGUAACUUCGGGAAAACAUGUGGGAAAGCAGGACAACUUUGGCGAGCCACAGUUAGUUAAGGCUUAAAUAUGCAGGGAUGGCUAAGUACUUAGUAAGCAUGCAAUAAACAAAUCCCAAUGACCAAACACAUAUCAAACAGGCUGUUACAGUGAAACAAAUCCAGUGUAUAUAUAUUAUUUUUUAAAUAACCACAUGUAUAGGCCCGAGUUUGUGCCUGACAUAAAUUUAUGCAGUCAGUUGCAACACCUAGCCACAUAAUUAAUAAUAUAGGUUCAAUGAGUGCCUGAAUACUCAGAGGGCAGUCAAAUAAAACAUUAAAACAGGGUGGCAACUGAAAUGCAUAUGAUACAUUUUAAGAGUUUGAGUUUGUUUAGUUAGAAGAUUUUUUAUUAACUUUUUUUCUUUUAGACAUUUAGAAGAUAUUCCCCUCAAAACAGGAUAAGGAUUUUUUUUUUGUAUACAGAGAAAGCAUAUAAAAAGUCUAUAUAUUUCUUCCCUCAACAACAUGUAUAGGGCCGAGUUUGGACAGUUGCAACAUAAAUACUAAAUAAUGUAGGCCUAAUGAGUGCAUGAAUACCCGGAAGGCAGACAAAGAACACAUAAAAAGAAGGGUGACAGCCGAAUUGCAUGAUAAAAGUCGACAUGGCCAAAUACAGUAAGUAACAGCAUGAACCUAAUUGAGGCAUCGCUGUAAUGCUAUGUACGAUUGAAAUAGGCUGAAUUUGCAUUAGUAGUGAAAUUUGCCAUAUCCGAAUAAACAAACUUAAAGUAUGAAGAGAAAAAAAUAAAAUAAAAAAAUAAAAAUGUGUGAAUAGUAACAGCCACGGCUGGGCCAGACACAGCGGUGCCCCAUGAGCUUUUAAGGUGGAGGCUGUUGUUUACUAGAGUGAGGUAAAAUGAAUACUUGCGUGGGCAGCACUAGGACAAGACCAGCUUUUCUGGACGCAGUUUGUGUUGAUGACCUUUGAAGUAGAUGGUUCUGUACUGAACCAGACAGUCUCAGCCCAGAGGGAGGGGUGACCUGUGUAUUUAUAGCAACAUCCCCUCCCACAACUACAGGCUCCGCCUUUCCAAAUAUACACACACACACACACACAGAUAUAUACACCUUUUUCAUAUUUAUUGGUAGCAAGCCAGCUUUGCCAUAACCUUUUGUGGACAUACACUUUACUUCUAAUUCAGUGAGCUAGUUUCUCAUAUUGGCAUGUGGAAGAGACCUUAUUAAGUACCUCUUGUAUUAACAGAGGACUACUACCUUUCCAGUGGCUAGCAAUGCCUUUUUUCACUGCCAUCAGGAAGUGAACAAUCACCACUCGUUUAGGGGUUUUGGUGAGUGCUGGUAUUAAAUGUAACAAAUAACAUUUCGGCAAAAACGGGAGAUCUACUUGCGUAACGUCCCUCAUAACCUUUUCCACUUGGCACCAGAAGGGCAUCAGUUUUGGGCAUUGCCAAAAUAUGUGUAGGAUUUUUCCCAAUCCACUUCAGCAUCUCCAACAUGUAGCUGAUGAGUUGCCAUGAAAUUUUGCUAGUUUUUGGGGAACCAUUAGUAGUUUACAGUAAGAUUCCCAAUGGUAUAAACUGCAAGAAACUGAUUUGGUUAGAUGUAUACUUUGUAACCACUCAGGUAAUGUUAUAUUAAUAUUCAGAUCACUUUCCCAUUGCAGCAUAUACGGUAAUUUCUCUUGCACAUUUUUGUCAUGAAGUGCAGUAUAGCACAAUGGCAGAGUUUUGGAUGCAGUGUGCGUACCAAUACAGCACUAAGUAAAAGGUGUUGCUGCAACUGUGGUUCCAGUUUUAGUUUAGUUGGUAGUAAAAAAAAAAAGAAGAAAUAGUAGGAGGAAUAACUCCCACAUAUAAAUGGGAGGAAUCCUCCUACUAAAGCUACCCCCAAAGGAGCAUAUAUAGGCUUAUAGAACAACACAAUAUAAUAUAUAUAUCUAUAUGUUUGAUCUCUUAAAUAGACAUCGCUACAUAGUUUCUUCUUAUUACGUCUAUGUAACAAUUGAGUUUGCUACUAUUUAGAUUAUUAACUCAUAUUGUUACAGAUCAAUCUAGCAGUGACUGAUAGCCGAUACUAGUUUGUAUUUUUUCUUCCCUUUUUUGGUAUUUUGACUGGGAUUUUGCACUUUGUGUGUAGGGAAUGUGAGUUAGUGGUGUUUAUAAUAAAGAUUAUUUUAGAUAUAUAUAUUAUAUUGUGUUGUUCUAUAAGCCUAUAUAUGCUCCUUUGGGGGUAGCUUUAGUAGGAGGAUUCCUCCCGUUUAAAUGCGGGAGUUAUUUCUCCUACUAUUUCUUCUUUUUUUCUAAUAUUGUCUGUAGGGUUAAGCCCGUUCUGCUACCUCUUUAGCCCCUCCUUUGUACUCCUGGUCAGAGUUUGUUCUCUGCUCGGUAGUAUUGUCUAUAUCUAGUUGGUAGUAAAAACGUGUUUAAUCCUAAGGUAUGUGAAAAGUUCUCUAGAUGGAAGAGAGAGAUAUUUCUGUAGUUCAGGGAAGGGUUUAAUUUCCUGGUUGUUUACAUAGGGAGCCUAUGGAGGUUGCACCUCUUGUGACCCACUUGUCUAAUACAAUUCCUGGAGAGAAGGACUUCAAUGAACUAACUGGUGUCAAAGAUUUGUAGGGCCCACCAGGUCCCUGGUCCACCUCCUCCACCCAGGGGCGUAUUAGCCGCGAGGCAAACAAGGCAUUUGCCUUGGGCGGCAUUUUUCAGGGGGCGGCAAAAAACGCCGCCCCCCAAAUGCCCAGGGCAAAUGCCUAGUUAGCCUCGCGGCUAACUGACAUCCCGGGCAGGCGGCUGGCGAGGGAGCACUUCCUAUGAGCUCUCUGCUCAGCUCCCUCGCGCGCCGCAGAGUGAGCCUGGGAGCCGGAAGAUGACGUAAUCUUCCGGUUCCCAGCCUCACUCUGCAGCCGGCGCGCGAGGGAGCUGAGCAGUCAGCUCAUAGGAAGUGCUCCCUCGCCAGCCGCGCCGCCCGCCUGCCAGCGCCGCCCGCCCUGCAGCCACUGGACCACCAGGGAGAGAGACCCCCCCCAGCACUCCCAAAGGUAAGGAGGUUGGGGGGGGGUUUAAAUUAAAAAAAAAAAAGGUAAUGUGUGUGUGUGUCUGACUGUGUGUGUUUGUGUCUGACUGUGUUUGUGAGUGUGUGUGUAUGUGUCUGAGUGUGUGUGUGUGUUUGUGUCUGACUGUGUUUGUGUCUGUGUAUAUGUCUGAGUGUGUGUGUGUUUGUGCCUGACUGUGUGUGUUUGUGACUGUGUGUUUGUGUUUGUGUCUGACUGUGUUUGUGUCUGACUGUUUGUGAGUGAGUGUGUGUGUCUCUGACUGUGUGUGUGUGUGUGUGUCUGACUGUGUAUGUGUGUGUUUGUAUCUGACUGUGUUUGUGAGUGUGUGUGUGUUUGUGAGUGUGUGUGUGUGUGUUUGUGUCUGUGUAUGUGUCUGAGUGUGUGUGUGUUUGUGUCUGACUGUGUUUGUGUAUGUAUCUGACUGUGUUUGUGUCUGACUGUGUGUUUGUGAGUGUGUGUGUCUCUGAUUGUGUGUGUGUGUGUGUCUCUGACUGUGUAUGUGUGUGUUUGUGUCUGACUGUGUUUGUGAGUGUGUGUUUGUUUGUGUCUGACUGUUUGUGUAUGUGUCUGACUGUGUGUGUGUGUCUGACUGUGUGUGUGUCUGACUGCGUGUGUUUGUGUCUGACUGUGUUUGUGUCUGUGUNNNNNNNNNNNNNNNNNNNNNNNNNNNNNNNNNNNNNNNNNNNNNNNNNNNNNNNNNNNNNNNNNNNNNNNNNNNNNNNNNNNNNNNNNNNNNNNNNNNNCCACUGUUAGCGUAACACACCGGCUUUAAGGACACUGACUGCUAUUCAAUCUAUAACAGUGAAAAAAGUGUUUUGUUUUUUUAAAUCCAAGCUAUUGUGACACCAGAUCUAAUUAGUGGCACUGGUCGGCGUAUCCACUGUUGGCGUAACACACCCGCUUUAAGGACACUGACUGCUAUUCAAUCUAUAACAGUAAAAAGUUUUUUGUUUUUAAAUCCAAGCUAUUGUGACACCAGAUCUAAUUAGUGGCACUUGUCAGCGUAUCCACUGUUAGCGUAACACACCCGCUUUAAGGACACUGACUGCUAUUCAAUCUAUAACAGUAAAAAAGUUUUUUGUUUUUAAAUCCAAGCUAUUGUGACACCAGAUCUAAUUAGUGGCACUUGUCAGCGUAUCCACUGUUAGCGUAACACACCCGCUUUAGGACACUGACUGCUAUUCAAUCUAUAACAGUAAAAAAAGUUUUUUGUUUUUAAAUCCAAGCUAUUGUGACACCAGAUGUAAUUGUUGGCACUGACUGGGGAAAUGGGCACAGUAUGCACUGUGAGCCUGACACAGAAGCUGGCAGCAGUGGCAGACAACUGACUGCUAUUCAAUCUAUAACAGUGAAAAAAGUUUUUUGUUUUUAAAUCCAAGCUAUUGUGACACCAGAUGUAAUUGGUGGCACUGACUGGGGAAAUGGGCACUGUGGGCCUGACACAGAAGCUGGCAGCAGUGGCAGACAACUAAGUGCAUUUACAUUAGAUAGAAAAAAAAAAUCCAAAAAAAGCAUACCCUUAUCCCUAACCUAGCUAUGCUUUUCCUAUCUUAUGAACAGCAGCUACACUUUCCCUCCUCUUACUAAGCAUGCAGCUUGAGAAUGAAUCUAAAAUGGAUGCUGUCCAGUAGGUGGGAGGGUCUGCUAGGGAGGCUGUGCUGCUAAUUGGCUGGAAUGUGUCUGCUGACUGUGAGGUACAGGGUCAAAGUUUACUCAAUGAUGACGAAUAGGGGGCGGGUCGAACCGCGCAUAUGUUCGCCCGCCGUGGCGAACGCGAACAUGCUAUGUUCGCCCGGAACCGUUCGCCGGCGAACCGUUCGGUACAUCACUAAUAGGGGAUUUAGUGAGUGUGUGCAUACGGGCUGUAGUGUGUGUAGGGGUUGUAGAGAGUGUGUGUUUUGAGAAUGUAGUAUGUGUUUGCUUACAAGGAAUGUAGUGUGUGCAUAGGGAAUCCAGAGUUUGUAUGUCAGGAAUGUAGUGUGUGUAGUUGGUGCAGUGUGUGUAGGGGAUCUUGUGUGUAAAGGACCCAGAGUGUGUAUAGGAGAUUGUGUGUGUGUAUAGAGGAUUCAGAGUGUAUAUAGGGUAAGGGAUCCAGCGUGUAUCUGGAGCGUAAUGUGUGUAGUGAUGCUGUAGUAUAUAAUAAGGCAUAAGGCUAUCCUAACUAUAAGAUAAGGCUAGGGACUAAUGAGUUUUUAGAAAAUUGGGCAGACUAGAUGGGCCGAAUGGUUCUUAUCUGCCGUCGCAUUCUAUGUUUCUAUAUUGUAAAGCGCUACGGAAUCUGUUGGCGAUAUAUAAAUGGCAAUAAUAAUAAUAAUAUUAUGCAUGCUGCACCCUUCACACAUACACACAGCACACCCAACAGACUGCACCCUUCACACAUACAAUAUGUCCAAACACAUACAUACAUCUAUAUAUAUAUGUAAAAAACAGAUAAAAUUCUUAUCUUGUAAUACCUUUUUUAUUGGACUAACAGAAUUUUUUAAUGACAAGCUUUCGGGAGAACCUCCCUUUCUCAAGUCUGAAGCAUUUCUGAGCAAAACGACACAUAGAAUUCAAAGUUGAGUUGUGAUACAGGGGUUAAAGCGACAUGAGUGUAGAUAAGACACAGGUUUGUUAGAAAAUAGACACCAUCUUAGCAGAGGGUCAUAAAUAUCUUGUUGAAGAGAAGAGUAGGGGGGAGAGAGGGAAAAGAAAAACAAACAAGCAGACAGUGCACAGGAUGAUACACUUUAUACAUGCACACACACAGAAAUAUGUAUAUGUGAAAGCAUAAACAUAUGUAUAUAUACAUAAACACAUAUACAUACAUGCACAUGGACUCAUAUACACAAAUAUAAAUGCACAGUAAUAUAUAUAAGCAUUCAUGCAUACGAGUAUGGGAAAGCAUAGGUCUACACAUAGUACUUUGUAUAUAGAUAGAAUAAACAUAUAGGAAUGCAUUUUAAAGUGUUGGUACAUAUGACAGAACAGUAAGAUAAUGCUGGGAGAGUGUUCAUGUAAAGUGUUGGUAGUGGGACAGGAAUCCCAAAUCAAUAUUUAGUCCUCUCUUCUUGCUGUUAAACCAUUUAAUCAUUCUGGCUUCAAAGGCUUUUCUUUCCUGGGUAUUUUUAAAACCCCCUUUCAGUACUUUGAUUUUUAGGUCCUUCCGUGAGUGGCCAGGUUGGGUAAAGUGUUGUCCCACAGGAGUGCAGUAUGAUUCUUCUUUGUGGUGUUUAAUAGAGUGUCUGUGCAUAUUCAUUCUGCCAUUUAAUGGCUGGGUGGUUUCCCCAAUGUAGCAUCCUAGGUGGCAUUUUAUGCAUUGAAUCAUGUAUACCACAUUGCUGGAUGUGCAGGAGUAUGAACCUUUAAUGCUGUAGGUUUUAUUGUUGUGUGUGGCUGUGUUGUCUGUGCAUAUGUGCUGACACAGUUUGCAGCGAGGUUUUUUGCAUUGACUGGUCCCGUUUUCUUCGUUCUUAUCAUCAGUGGGCAGCCUCCUGUUGAUUAAUUUUUGUUGGAGGUUUGGUGGUUGUCUGAAGGCCAAAAUGGGUGUUUCAGGGAAAAUGUUUUUCAGAGUCUCAUCUUCUGUUAAUAUUGGUUGUAGGUCUUUGAUGAUUUUCCGUAUUUCCUCAAGAGCAGGGUUGUAGGUGACCACAAGUGGCACUCGUGUGCAUAUUUUUCUCUCUCUGUAUUGUAGCAGGCGCGUACGUGGCAUUUUUACAGCAGAGUUGAUUUGUUUGGUAAUAGUCUUUGGUUUGUAGCCUUUCUGUCUCAUAGAUUGGGAGAGUACAUUUAGAUGGGAAUUACGGUCAUUAGGAUCAGAGCAUAUGCGAUGGUACCUAGUGGCUUGGCUGUAAAUGAUGCCCUGUUUAGUAUGAGAGGGGUGGAAGCUGGAGCUGUGUAGGUAACUGCACCUGUCUGUGGGUUUUCUGUAAACCGAGGUGUGGAUUGUGCCAUUAUUACAUGUCACAGUUGUGUCCAGAAAAUUCACAGAUCUAGUGGAAUAUUCCAUUUUUAGUUUGAUUGAUGGAUGGAAUGUGUUGAAAGAGUCAUGGAACUGUAUCAGUUUUUCUUUGCUUUCAGUCCAAAUUAUGAAGAUAUCAUCGAUGUAGCGAUAAUAUUUGUAUGGUUUGGUGUGUUGGUUAUCUAGGAAUCUCUGUUCAAGAUCUGCCAUAAACAGAUUAGCAUAUUGGGGUGCCAUCUUAGUGCCCAUAGCAUUGCCCAUGGUUUGUAGGUAAACCUCAUUGUUGAAACUGAAGUAGUUAUGUGUGAGGAUAAAUAGUGCCAGUUCUGUGAUAAUUCGGGGGCUGUAUUUUUGGUUGUUGACAUGAGAGAGAAAAUGGAAGCAAGCAUUGAUGCCAUCUGUAUGUGGAAUGUUGCUGUACAGAGAUUCCACAUCCAUGGUUACAAACCUCCAACAAAAAUUAAUCAACAGGAGGCUGCCCACUGAUGGUAAGAACGAAGAAAACGGGACCAGUCAAUGCAAAAAACCUCGCUGCAAACUGUGUCAGCACAUAUGCACAGACAACACAGCCACACACAACAAUAAAACCUACAGCAUUAAAGGUUCAUACUCCUGCACAUCCAGCAAUGUGGUAUACAUGAUUCAAUGCAUAAAAUGCCACCUAGGAUGCUACAUUGGGGAAACCACCCAGCCAUUAAAUGGCAGAAUGAAUAUGCACAGACACUCUAUUAAACACCACAAAGAAGAAUCAUACUGCACUCCUGUGGGACACCACUUUACCCAACCUGGCCACUCACUGAAGGACCUAAAAAUCAAAGUACUGAAAGGGGGUUUUAAAAAUACCCAGGAAAGAAAAGCCUUUGAAGCCAGAAUGAUUAAAUGGUUUAACAGCAAGAAGAGAGGACUAAAUAUUGAUUUGGGAUUCCUGUCCCACUACCAACACUUUACAUGAACACUCUCCCAGCAUUAUCUUACUGUUCUGUCAUAUGUACCAACACUUUAAAAUGCAUUCCUAUAUGUUUAUUCUAUCUAUAUACAAAGUACUAUGUGUAGACCUAUGCUUUCCCAUACUCGUAUGCAUGAAUGCUUAUAUAUAUUACUGUGCGUUUAUAUUUGUGUAUAUGAGUCCAUGUGCAUGUAUGUAUAUGUGUUUAUGUAUAUAUACAUAUGUUUAUGCGUUCACAUAUACAUAUUUCUGUGUGUGUGCAUGUAUAAAGUGUAUCAUCCUGUGCACUGUCUGCUUGUUUGUUUUUCUUUUCCCUCUCUCCCCCCUACUCUUCUCUUCAACAAGAUAUUUAUGACCCUCUGCUAAGAUGGUGUCUAUUUUCUAACAAACCUGUGUCUUAUCUACACUCAUGUCGCUUUAACCCCUGUAUCACAACUCAACUUUGAAUUCUAUGUGUCGUUUUGCUCAGAAAUGCUUCAGACUUGAGAAAGGGAGGUUCUCCCGAAAGCUUGUCAUUAAAAAAUUCUGUUAGUCCAAUAAAAAAGGUAUUACAAGAUAAGAAUUUUAUCUGUUUUUUACAUCUACAUCACUGGACUAAUACGGCUACAAUCUCUACUUGAACUCUAUAUAUAUAUAUAUGUUUGGACGUAUUGUAUGUGUGAAGGGCGCAGUGUGUUGGGUGUGCUGUGUGUAUGUGUGAAGGGUGCAGCAUGUGUGUGAGGAGAGCAGUGUGCGUGUAAGAGGGGUGCUGUGUGUGUGAGGGUGUUCUUAUCUACUGUCACAUUCUAUGUUUCUAAUUUUCUUUGUCCGUUAACUUACUGAGGGUUAUCUUAUAUAUUAUACAUACGUGUGUGUUGUAUAUGUGUGAGAGUGUGCUGUGUGUGUCUGAGGGUGCUGUGUGAGUGAAGGUGUUGUGUGUGUCUGAAGGUGCUGUGUGAGUGAGGGCGUUUGCCCGGUAUGCCCGAUGGCCAGUUGGUCACCCAGAUCAGGGCUAUCAGGGGAUGUAACAUGUGGGGUUUUAUGUAUUAUUAGGGUACUUUUGGGGUGUUUUAAAAAAGUGUGUUUUUUCUGUGCUUGGAGAUAAUUGGAUUAGAAUUAGUACUUCCAAUUAUAGAUCAGUAACUCCAAUUAUCUCCCAAGCGGAGGGGAGGGAUUGUGUGCUGUGUAUGGGAGUAUAGUGCAUUUAAUCACUGCUCUUAUUGGUCUGUGUCUUUGUGUUGGAGUCCCCAACAAGGCAACAAGGUCCAAGUGGGAGUACCCCUUGCAUGGGGAUUGUCAUAAAAGGCCAAGUGUGGCUCCCAUUAAAAAGAGAAUGCUUUACCCCUUCUUGAAGUCUUGGCUCAUGUUUGGGGGAUUGGAGAACUACAUACACUCUGGGGAUUGCUAUAUCACAAUACUCUCCUGAGUAUAAUCAGUAGCUCUUCUAAGAGCUGUUCCUGCUACACUCUCUAGACUAGGAGACUGGAUCCUGGUCUUGGGUCCAGGGUGGGUGGAGGACAGCAAGACCCCAACCAAGCUGCGGUGGUUUGUGGGGUUUACGGUGGUUAUGGUGUUCCAGUGCGGCGCUUAUGGUACUCGCAAGCUCUAGGAAGCAACAAUUGACAGAGGUACCCGGUCAGGGUGCCAGGCGAUCCGUCACAAAUAUCCUUUAUUGUUUGUGAAGUAUAUGGUGACGCGCUUAGUAUAUAAUAUCAUAUAUAUAUUGCUUAAAAAUCCUUUUUAAAUUUGUGUAAAUAUGUAUUUAAAUUGACAAUUUAAUAAUGUGUAACUUAUUAAAGCGGCACUGUCAUGGCCGAAUCCAUUUUUUUUUUAACCACCCUCCCGAUUCCACUACAUCUAAUUGUCCCCCUAAUCACCUCCAAAUGGCAGUAAGCCCCCCAAAUUACCUAUAUUUUAAUCUUUAUUUUCUGCCCGGACCUAGGUCCUGGGCGCCGCCAUCUUUGUGUGAGUAGAUGAAGUGGGACAUGUCAUCUGCCCACACUAGAUAGCAAUGUGAAAUCCCCAUACAUGCCCUGUUAAACACUUUCAUCUAUUCAUUCAUUCCUCAGAAAGACAAAUGAAUGAAUAGAAAUUUCAGAUGAACAAACAAACACCGAAUAUCGGUGUUCGUUCAUUCAGUUUAUUACAAGAAGGGAGCUACCGGCGCGCAGCUCCCUCCUUGUAAAAUGUAAAAAUACAUGGGUGGGUGCCCUAAUUGAAAAUGGGGGGGGGAACCUACUGUCCUCCUCCCUGUCCCCCUCCCAUGAGCGGCCGGAGGGAGCCCUAAUUGAAAAUGGGUUAGAGACCUAUUGUCCUCCCCCCUGGCUCGCACCCAUGGGCGACAGGUGGCGGCGCUAAAUGAAAAUGGGGAGGGGACCUAUUGUCCUCCCCCCAGCCCUCAUCCAUGGGCAAUGGGUGGAGGCUAAAUGUCAAUUCCCUCCUUCCCCCAGGUUACUAGGGGUCCCCAAGCCCCUAGGCCCCCACCUACCUCCAAAAAAAUGUAAGUCCUACCUACCCCCUCAAACUAAAAAUAGUGAGGGGGCGACAAUAAAACUAAAUCCCUGUAAAUGAAUAAAAUACUUACCAUUUGAUGUCUUCUUUUUUCUAAAACUUAAUUUUUUCAGUCACAAAACGGGCCAAAUAAAAAACCAUAAUACCCGUUGGACGUAUUAAAUAUAAUAAAAAACCUGAGCCAAAAAAAAUCAGCCCAAAAAAAAAAAAUCCCGACGCUAAAAAAAUAAUCCAUCUUCACCCAGUGUGGGCACUGCGCAGACUGAACUCCGCAGGGCAGGGCAUGGGUGGGGGCUCAAGGGGGACACUAUGUCCCCCCAGGCUAGAUAAGAGAUGCCCCACCAUGGGGCUGUUUAUUGAGGGGGUAUUUUUUUUUUACAAUGAGCAGCCAUCUACUCCCACAGCAAGUAGGAGUAGAUUAAUUACUAAUACAAAUUAAUCUUUACUUAGUAUUAGUAAAAUUGGCUGAAAGACCAAUCUUGAUAGAUACCGUGGGAAUUAGGGAGCUAUCUACUAAGCGUCAGCCGCAGCACGGAUCUGAAUUUCAUUCAUUCAAAUGAAACUCUGAUCCAAACAAAAGUCCUGAAUUUCGUCCUAACUCGAAUAGACGAACUGCUCUCAUUCUGUUAUGGUGAAAUUCAGUAGUUUUGCCGGAGUUCGGGAAUACGGAAAGGAGGCAUCGCGAGAACACGGAGAAAAGGUGAGAAUUGUGGGAAGAUUUCUCUGACAACAGGAAAUGGAGCACAAUUUGCUCCUCCGCUGGUCAUAGAUGGUCAGGUGUAGGAAACCUACAUAAGAUAAAUAGUCCCUACUCUGUCUUAUGUUUUAAAGAAAACUAGAUCAGUUAGGAAGAAAUGAAGAACAGAUCCUGAGAGAGGAAGAGAAGAGGAAGCGAUUAGGGAAAGGUAAGUUCGGCAUGACAGUGCCCCUUUAACAUAUUAUGCCAAACAAUAAAUAUACAGAGUGUGUAAUACUUUAUACAUUAAUCUCUUUAAAAGCCUUACUAAGAGUCCAAUUGUUUUCAAAUGCUCCUAGUUUGACAAAAAAAAUAGAAGAUGGCAUUUAGAGACUUUUUGUACUAUAACUACUAAAUAGAGCUGUAGUAGUUAUGGUGCCCCUUUAAAACCCUCUGAAAUAUUUGUAAAUUCAAAGUCGGUUCUCUUUCAUAUUUCCACAGGUUUAUAAAGGAGUUAUUUUAUGUGUAGCACAUCUAAGACACUAAUUUGCGUAAUUAAGAGCAAAACUGAAAAAGAUUGUAACAAUGAAUGCUCUACCGAACCAUAAUAUGUCUAGGCCUACCUCUAUAGUCAUAAUAAAGACACUGUGAAGGGGAUGUACCAGACUGGCAGAGUGCAAAAGGGAUUUGUAUUGUUACAGUACUUUAAAGUGUAAUUGUGCGAAUAUAAACAAGCGCAGACAGGAAUCCCUUGAUGUAGUCCAUUUAGCAUUGAUGUUUACUGGCUAAGGAAUAAUAUCCACACCUUCGUCACACACCUCUUGUGUUCUGUGGAAAUUGAAUUUGGAAGAAGAAACAGCAUGUCUUCUUUCCAGAACUUAAUUAAACAAAUGUCUCUUGGAAAUUGGCUGUUGUGUUUCCAUAGAAAUAAAACACAUUAAUGUAGGCAAGUCACCUACAAUAUGAAUCAGUAAUAAGAACUGCGUGUAAUUUGCAUUUAUUAAUUGGUACCGUAAGUGCAUACACUUGAAUGUGUGUUACCCCUUCAUCCAUUGACCUGUCGAGCAGCAAAGAAUAGAAUGCAUGUAUAAAAGAUGGAAUUUGGUGAAAAUCUAGAAAACCACUCAAAAAAUUUGGCACGCACUCUUUCAGGUUUGGGGCUGCAACAGAGGCAGCUCGGUUUGGUUGGGGGGUGAACCAGUCAAGAAGAUCAGGAGGGGGGAAUCGGUGAGAUUCAGUUCAUAGGUGAGGCCCAACGAAUUAGUUUAAGUCUGGUUGAAAUGGUGAUCAUGUUCUGUGUGGAUAACGUGUUUUUCUUCCGCAGGUUGGAUUGCAUGGGUGAUGGGACACUCAUAUGUGGUCACAAAGGAGAGCUGCAGUUCAUCGUCAAGGCACACAGCUGGGCUUCCCACGCUCGAUGGUGCAGAUGGAGUAAUUUGGUUUUAGAGGUUGCAGUUGGCACAGUGUAUUAAAGCUAUUCCAAAGGCUUAGAGUGGGUAAAGUACCUAACAUUGUUUUGUUUCAUGCCGGGAGGGGGGGGGGGAAGAAUUAAUGCAGCCUAUUUUCACAGAGGGCUUUGCUCACGGAGCUGAAGAAAGAUUUGUAUGGGUUGAGGCAGAUGGUCCCUGGCGUGGUUAUCAUAUGGUCAGAGAUGGUACCGUGAUCGCAAUGGCAAAACGAUAGGUAACAUCAGGCGGUGGCAAGAAGUAGGGGGACGGUAAAUACAACUGUGGCAACUUAUGUGAGGCAUUUGAGGGAAAGAGUUGUAAGGCAUGGGGAGUUGGAAGCGUAGUUGGCGGGUUAUUACAGGCAAGAUGGGGUGCAUCUGUCAAAGGUGGGUAUGGUCUUCUUGUUGUUAGGGUUUCAGCAAGGUUUACAACGAGCAUUGUUUUGGUGGGGCGCUCAGAUAGCUCCAGGUGUCGAGCUCUGAGCUAUGGCGGGGGAUGGAUAGAGAAGUUGGGGAGUAGGUUGUUUGUCCUAAUGGAAAAUAGUUUUGGUUAGUUAAGAACAUUUUGGUUUGGAAGAGUAUUAGUAGGUUCGAGCUUGUCGAUAGCUCUGAACCUGGCAUGUAGGGUGUAUCUCUGUAUGCCCUUACAUGGAAGAAAGCUGGAAACUAUGCCCGAGGUGGCAAUGGUUAUGUCAUGCCCUCGGUGGCAAUGGUUAUGUUAUAUGCAGGGGCGUAUUAGCCGCGAGGCAAACAAGGCAUUUGCCUUGGGCGGCAUUUUUCAGGGGGCGGCAAAAAACGCCGCCCCCCAAAUGCCCAGGGCAAAUGCCUAGUUAGCCUCGCGGCUAACUGACAUCCCAGGCAGGCGGCUGGCGAGGGAGCACUUCCUAUGAGCUCUCUGCUCAGCUCCCUCGCGCGCCGCAGAGUGAGCCUGGGAGCCGGAAGAUGACGUAAUCUUCCGGCUCCCAGCCUCACUCUGCAGCCGGCGCGCGAGGGAGCUGAGCAGUCAGCUCAUAGGAAGUGCUCCCUCGCCAGCUGUCUGCCCGCCUGCCAGCGCCGCCCGCCCUGCAGCCACUGGACCACCAGGGAGAGAGACCCCCCCCAGCACUCCCAAAGGUAAGGAGGUUGGGGGGGGAUUUAAAUAAAAUAAAAAAAAAGGUAAUGUGUGUGUUUGUGUCUGACUGUGUUUGUGAGUGUGUGUGUAUGUGUCUGAGUGUGUGUGUGUUUGUGUCUGACUGUGUUUGUGUCUCUGUAUGUGUCUGAGUGUGUGUGUGUUUGUGCCUGACUGUGUGUGUUUGUGACUGUGUGUGUUUGUGUUUGUGUCUGACUGUGUUUGUGUCUGACUGUGUGUUUGUGAGUGUGUGUGUCUCUGACUGUGUGUGUGUGUGUGUGUCUGACUGUGUAUGUGUGUGUUUGUGUCUGACUGUGUUUGUGAGUGUGUGUGUGUUUGUGAGUGUGUGUGUGUUUGUGAGUGUGUGUGUGUCUGAGUGUGUGUUUGUGUCUGACUGUGUUUGUGUAUGUGUCUGACUGUGUUUGUGUGUGUGUGUCUCUGACUGUGUGUGUGUGUGUUUGUGUCUGACUGUGUAUGUGUGUGUUUGUGUCUGACUGUGUUUGUGAGUGUGUGUUUGUUUGUGUCUGACUGUGUUUGUGUAUGUGUCUGACUGUGUGUGUGUGUCUGACUGUGUGUGUGUGUCUGACUGUGUGUGUGUGUCUGACUGCGUGUGUGUCUGACUGUGUGUGUGUCUGACUGCGUGUGUGUCUGUGUAUGUGUCUGACUGUGUGUGUGUGUUUGUGUAUUUAGAAGGUGGGGCGGGGGGAAGGGUUGGGUGGGGGUGGCGCGGGGGCAGGGGGGCGCCUGAGUUUUGUCCUGCCUAGGGCAGCACAAAACCAGGAUACACCACUGUAUAUGUGUGUGUGUGUUUGUAUGUAUAUGUAUGUGUCGGCAACGUAUGGGAGAAGGAGAGUAGAUGUGGCGGGGGGUAGACAAGUGGUGGGGGGCCCAGGGUAAUUUUUUGCACCGGGGCCCCCGUGGUUUCUAGUUAUGCCUACAAAACACUUUUCUUGUCUGAAGUACUUUACCAAUAGGAAAGCUUAAAUUUCAUCAAAUAUUCAGAUAAGCAUGCCUAGCCUAUUUCUGAUACAUUCUAUACUAGUAUCACCAUAAAAUUGUGCUAUUACUAUGUUUGCCAUACUACUGUUUUACGAUGUCGGUAUUUGAAUGGCUUGUUUCUGCCGUUGUGGCAACACAAACUUGUUUUUAAUAUUAUGCACAACAAAAAUAAAAGAAUUAUAAAAAAUAUGGCACCUUUGCAAUAGGAUUAUAAACUGUUAGAUAAUUCUACAUGUUUUAUAUUCUACAAAUUCCUUUUUCAAGGAUAGAUGUGCAGUAAAAUUUCCUUUGUUUUUUUUUUCCUGAUCACGUAAUGCCAAGUUACACCGGUGCAGAUAUAAUAUUUUAUAUGAAAUAAUAAAGGUCAGUAUUUUCCAAAGAACAGUCAAUACAUACACCAUGUCUGAAUAUAUUUUUCAAAUGUCACUUUUUGACGUUUCCUGAUCUUUUAUGCAUCUUUCAUCGUCUGAAUUCUCUAUUGUCCCCACGGCUCUGUAUAAAUUGUCUGUUUUAGUGUGUGAUCAAGCUUCACAAAACUAAUCCGCACAAUACUGGGUGAUUAAACCGCUGUUAAUGUGUUAUGAAAGAGUUUACAAAGGUUCUAAGUGACUUACUCAUUGAAAUAAAUCACUAGAAAUAUGGUAUGAACUUUCCUAACAAGUAUGAUUAAUCUAAUGUCUAUCCAACCAUGCACCAUGUGGCUAUAGUUUGUCUGACUAUAAGAGAAAAUGGGAGCAUUCUUGCUUUCAGAUCUCAUGAGGCACCACGACGGUCCGAGCAGAGGGAGACCUCCUUUACACACAUUCCCAGNNNNNNNNNNNNNNNNNNNNNNNNNNNNNNNNNNNNNNNNNNNNNNNNNNNNNNNNNNNNNNNNNNNNNNNNNNNNNNNNNNNNNNNNNNNNNNNNNNNNCCUGGUACGACUGGAAAAAAAAGAAAAUUAUCUAUGCAAAAAAUAUAUAUAUAUUUUUCAUAUGUCUGGUAAUCCAUUACAGAAAUAUUGGAGAAGAAUACAUUAUUUUUUUUAUUUUUUGUUUGUUUCUCAAUCCUUACAAAUUCACUUGCGGGGUACUUGCUGUGUCAUCUAUGUACUCUUCUAAAGAGAUUUGCGAAAGUAGGCAUCUCCAAAUGGAAAAAUAAAAAACAAAUUGUGAUUUGAUUAAAAUAUAUGUUUUUUUGUUCUUUAUCCAAUCUAUUCACAAAACAAACAAGGAAAUAUAAGGGUGUCUAACAAAGUUUUAUAUGCCGAUAUAUCUACUCAAGCAAUUAAAGCAUAAAGUGCCACAAUAUGUUCUUCAUAAUAUAAUAAUCUUAACACAUGGACCAAUUUUAAAACUAUGUCUGCGAUCUCUCUAAAUCAGGCUAAUGUUAAUACAUGGUAUAAACAAAUCUAUACGUUAUACUGCAGGACUGUGAGAACCUCCAUGGAUUUGUUGGCAAUUAUUGUGACUUGAGUAAGACGAUGCCAGAAAUAACUAAUGGAAAACUGCCUUUUGCCUUGUUUGCAUAUAUAAGAUAAAAUAGUCCCUACUUUGUCUUACAUGUAUCUUUUAGUAAAAUGUAUGUGAGUUCAUAAAAAAUUAUAUCUCUAUGAAACUAAACUUUUUUGCUAGGGCAAGGUAUAGUGGUUCACCCAACUAACAAGGCACUGGCCAUCCAUACAAUCAGGGCCCGCCCAAGGCAUUGUGCACUGUGUGUAGUGGAUGCAGUGUGUGUAUUGCAUUGCGUGUGUGUGUAUAAUGUAUGCACAGUGUUUUUGUGUAUACUGGAUGCAGAGUGUGUGUAGGGAAGUGGAUGCAAUGUGUGUGUAUAUAGUGGAUGCAGUGUGUGUAUAUAGUGGAUGCAGUGUGAGUGUAUAUAGUGGAUGCAGUGUGAGUGUAUAUAGUGGAUGGGGUGUGUGUGUAUAGUGGAUGCGGUGUGUGUAUAUAGUGGAUGCGGUGUGAGUGUAUAUAGUGGAUGCAGUGUGUGUAUAUAGUGGAUGCAGUGUGUGUGUGUAUAGUGGAUGUGGUGUGUGUGUGUAUAGUGGAUGCAGUGUGUGUGUGUAUAGUGGAUGCAGUGUGAGUGUAUAUAGUGGAUGCAGUGUGUGUAUAUAGUGGAUGCAGUGUGUGUAUAGUGGAUGCAGUGUGUGUGUGUAUAGUGGAUGUGGUGUGUGUGUGUAUAGUGGAUGCAGUGUGAGUGUAUAGUGGAUGCAGUGUGUGUAUAUAGUGGAUGCAGUGUGUGUGUGUAUAGUGGAUGUGGUGUGUGUGUGUAUAGUGGAUGCAGUGUGUGUGUGUAUAGUGGAUGCAGUGUGAGUGUAUAUAGUGGAUGCAGUGUGUGUAUAUAGUGGAUGCAGUGUGUGUAUAUAGUGGAUGCAGUGUGUGUGUGUAUAGUGGAUGUGGUGUGUGUGUGUAUAGUGGAUGCAGUGUGAGUGUAUAGUGGAUGCAGUGUGUGUAUAUAGUGGAUGCAGUGUGAGUGUAUAUAGUGGAUGUGGUGUGUGUGUAUAGUGGAUGCGGUGUGUAUAUAGUGGAUGCAGUGUGUGUAUAUAGUGGAUGUGGUGUGUGUAUAGUGAAUGCAGUGUAUGCAGUAAAUGUGUUAAUGAAGUGCUUGUAGUGUGUGUUUGUGGUGUUGUCGCGUGUUUGUGGUGAUAAGUACAUUUGUGAGAGAUGAGCAGUUUUCUUUUUUUUUUUAUUUUAACUUAUUCCCUCGCUUCCUGCCUCUUACCUGUGGGCAAGAAGGUGGGAUACAUGAUUCCAUGGUGGUCCAGUGGAGCUGGAGGACAGUGAAGAGGGAGCCCUAAGAGUGAUCUUACAUCCCCAGCAGCAGCAGCAGCACGUACUCUUCUCUAGUGAGCCACAAAAACGUUACCACGCGUUGCUAUGGCAAUUCUCCGCACGGCACGCAAUGCAUGCUGGAGCAUUGCCAUGGCAACCCGUGGUAACGUUCUCGAGGCUAGAGUGCGAAGAGUACCUGCAGCUGCUGGGGAUGUAACAUCACGCUCAGGGCUCCCUUUUCACUGUAAACACCAGCAGGGCACAGAACAGCGCAUAUGUAUAGAGGUAAUCGCUAUAUUUAUGUGCAAAUAGGCUCCCCAGGCCCUCCUCCAGAUUUCUUAAAGGUACAGGGGUGGCAAAAUGCCGCCUUUGUCACAGUGCCGCCUGGAGCCAUAGCCCCACUGGGGCCAAUGGACGGGACGGCCCUGCAUACAAUGCACAAAAUGUGUGGAUAAAAGUUUAGUUUGAAGUAAGAAACCAAAGGUAUUUUUUUAAUUCAAUUUGUGAAAAACUAAUUGAUAAUUAUACUGCUUAAUGAACAGGACAUUGCAUUUUGAUGUGUGAUAUUUAAGGCAUGGUUUGUUAAGAUGGAAUUUGUAUGCUCAAUGGUCCUUAAUCAUUUAUUACAAAACAUAAAAAAAAAAAAAACACAUUUGUAUAACAUUUAUUUUAAACAAGGGAUACAUUGCUAACCUAUAAACAUAUGGUAAACCAGCACUUUAAUGUAUUGAUUGCUGUUCAGACAAAUGUUAAAAUUAAACUUUUUUUAAUUUAUGCAGUUUUUAUUUUUCAUUUAUUUGUUCAUACUUUUUAGUGAUGUUUGGGGAAGCUCUGGAUAGUAUACAGUGUCCUUUAUUUUACAAUAUUUCACACAGGGUAUGAAAUCGUAGUUUAAAAGCAAAAAUACAAUUUUUCUCACAUCCAGUAGGUGUGACAAAAAAAAAAUUAAAAUAGUCCAAAUAAAUUGUUAACUUGUUUUAUAGCCUGUAAGCUCAUUUUAGCAGGGCCCUCAUCUACCUAUUGUUCCUGUGUUAUUGUGUAAUUGUCUCAUUUAUUGUAAAUUUCCCCCUUUCAUAAUAUUGUAAAGUGCUGUGGAAUUAGUUGUUGCUAUAGAAAUACCAAAAAUAAUAAUAAUAAUCAUGCCUUUCUUCAACCAUUGUCUCUGUUAACCUAUUUACGUGCACGUGAUCUAUGCCUUAAUGCAGUGCAGGGUUUUUGAACUUGUUGACAGCAUAGAAAAUACUGCAUUAAAAGUACUAGAAGGGUUUAAUCCCUGCUGGAACAAUAGAGUCCCAGGUAUUAUUGGGUACCUGAAGGUCCACUCUGCCAGCUGGGGCUACAAUUAGUGGCCCAAGAUUGACGGAUGAGCUACCUCCAUCACUAAAAGUGAUCUCUGCAAAUAGCCCUUCAAAUCCAAUUAAAUAAACCAGCCUAGCAAUCAUGCUCAGCUGCAAUUAUAUUGAGUAACCCCUGCCAGGAUUGGGUAACCCCUACACACAGAGAAUAAGGUAACAGUUGCUAGAAUGAGGAAAUAGAAAGAGUGAUAAGUAUACUGGACCUUAGAAUAUCCCCACGAUAGGCAAAAAUUCUGAGUUAAUAUCAAAACAAAGGUCAAUGAUUCCAGAGGUGCACAAAACACAAUUAAACAAACAGAGGUCAAGGAUGUAGAAUAACAGAACGGUCAAUACAAAGACUGGUCACGAAGAAAUCAGUAUGCACUAUCGAGCUGUAAUAAACCAAGCCAGCGCAAUGAUCCUAAGAAAGAGGGAAGUAUAUAUAAUGACAACCCCAAUACUAUUGGACAGCAUCAUCACCCUGCACCAACUCACCUUAAGGGGUGUGACUUGAGAAGGGUAAAUGAAGUGUCCCACAGUUAUGACUCUUGAAAAUUUUCUUUUGAAUUUGACAAUUUUUAUUCAUCAGAUAUAUUGGGGGUACAGAAAAGAAGGGGUGGUUUGGGGGGGGGGGAGAGGGAACAGGUAGUUUUGUUCCACAUAUGUUCACAGUUCAAACAUAAGAAAAAACAUUUUACAUUUUAUAUUUCCUCAAAACAGCUACCCCCUAGUAAAUAAUUAGUGUAAGAGCUUGCAGAAAAAAUAAUAAACUUUAUUUAUAGACCAGUAUGAAAACAAAGACGCACAUUCAUCCUAACAAUUAGGAAAAUAAAAAACAAAAGAGACUGAAAAAUGAAUAUUUGGCUAGAAGUAACUAGUAGGGCAUAAUCCCCUGACAAAGUAGCAACAGUUCUCUAAAUGUAGCUAGUCAGCAGUUUAGAGAACUGUUGCUACUUCAUCAGGGGAUUAUGCCCUACUAGUUACUUCUAGCCAAAUAUUGGUAAGUCUUGUUGUGGGUAACAUGUUCUUGCAUAUGGGUAGUUUAUCUUUGGGUAGCCAUGCUAGGUGUGUGAGUGAGUGCCCUUCUGCAAAGCUUUUUUCGAUCUUCAUCCAUGUUAGUGGUUGUGUGUGGUGAAAUGCGGAUAGUAGUGGGGCUAUGUUAGCAGCUCUGUAGUAUCCUGUCACGUAGGGCAUACCCAUGCCCCCUUGGUUGAACGUUUUGUACAUCGUUGCUUUUGCAACUCUGGGUUUUAUGGGUCCCCAGAUGUAGGUGUUUAGGAGUUUCUGUGUGUCCUUGAGGUAUUGUAUUGGCAGUUUGAGUGGGAGUGUGCGAAAUAGAUAUUGGAGUUUAGGUAGGAGUACCAUCUUGACUGCUGCUAUUCUACCAGUCCAGGAGAUGUAUUUUCCUUUCCAACCCUGAAUGAUGGUUUUUAGUUCGGUCAGUAGUUUGAUGUAAUUGGCUUUGUGAAGUUUCGCUGUCUCAGGAGUUAUGUUUACCCCUAGGAAUUUAACAUUGUCUUUGCGCCAAUUGUAUGCAUAGUUUUGUGUUAGGGAUGUCAUUUCUCAUUUUGGGACAUGUAGUCCUAUUGCUUGCGUUUUGGUCACGUUCAGCUUGUAUAGCAUUGGCUAUAUUGUUCGAGCAGUUUAUAGAAGUUCGGUAGGGAUACAUGAGGCUGCUCUAGCGUUAGUAGAAUAUCAUCCGUGAAUAAGGUUAGUUUGUGUUCUUGUCCAUGAAGGGUUAUGCCGUGAAUGUUCGGGUUGUCUCGAAAAAUCUGUGUGAGGGGUUCCAGCGCCAGUAUGUAAAGGAUCGGAGACAAUGGACACCCUUGUCUGGAACCACUUGAUAUUGUGAAUUGGCGGGACGUGAAGCCGCCAUUGACCACCUUGGCCGUUGGUGAGGAGUACAGUGCCUUGAUUAGGGAUGUUAGCUGAGGGGGGAAUCCAAAUUUGGUGAUGACUGCGUGAAGGAAGGGCCAGUGCAGUCUGUCGAAGGCUUUUUCAGCGUCCAUUGACAGCCAGACACUUGGCUUUCCUCCCUUCUGUGUCCCAUAUAGUAUGUCUAGUAGUUUUCGUGUACCAUCUGCUCCUUGUCUUCCUCCACAAAGCCUGCUUGGUCCCUGCCAAUGAUCGUGGGGAUGAUUGGUGCCAUGCGGUUGGAGAAAAUUUUGGCCCGUUGCUUUAAGUCCGUAUUUAGCAAGGAUAUUGGUCGUAGAUAUUGGCUCCUGAUUGGGGGUUUGCCUGGUUUUGGAAGCGUUGCCACGUGGGCCAUUAGAAUUUCUCUGGGCAUUGAACCUUCUUACAGGAUCUUGUUGAAGGCGGUUUCUAAAUGUGGUGCUAGUGAGGUGGCGAAGGUUUUGUAAUAGAGGUUUGAUAGUCCAUCUGGGCCUGAUGAAUUGCCAGAGGGCAAAGCCUGAAUGGUGUCUAUGACCUCCUGUGAGGUGAUGGGUUGUUGUAUGGCUGCGCUUUGUGUGGGUGUCAGUGUUGGUAACGUGGUUUGUUGUAGGAAAUUGGUGAUUGAUUGAGUAGUUGGCUGUUGCACUGUUGUGUCCUCUUUGAGAGUGUAGAGUUUGUGGUAAUAUGCCUCCAUCUCAUCAUUGAUGUCUUGUGGGUUAUAUAAUUUUGUACCUUUGCUGUCUAUCAGGUAGGGAAUUUUGGCGUUUGCCUGUUUCUGGCGAAGUAUUCGGUACAGAUUUUACCCGGCCUUAUUGCCUUGUGAAUAAGUUUUUUUGUUUUAACGUUGUCAGAAUAUGAGACGUUUUGGCUAGUGAAAUCUCAUUUAUUUGGUUAGUAGUUUCAGCUUUUGUUUCAGCAUAUGCCUCUGAAGGGUGUAGGAAGUGUGCAUUAGUGGUAUCUCUUAGUUUGCGUAGUAGAGUGAGGUAGUGUUGCCGUGUUUGUUUUGCUUUAUGUGCGGCCCUAUUAAUUAGCAAGCCUCUGGUUACUGGCUUAUGUGCCUGCCAUACCGUCAGAGCGUCCUGGGGUUUGGGGGACCUGGUUGGGUUCCUCUGGCUAUCAAUUGAUUUGGUUCUAGGUCGGUGUGGGAGUGUGUCCAGCGGUCACCAUGUUACUCAUGAGAGAAUGAUAAAACGUUUCUUCUGUCUUUCUUGUCGGCCCCACUAGACUUAUGGGGUGAUUAACAAUUUGGGUGUCAGUGGGGGGGGGGGGGCAACAACACUUUUCCCCUUGCUGCUUAAAUUGACCUGAGCCCCCUUUAUCAAUAGAUACGCAGUUUAACAGGUCCCCUGAGCGUUACAGUAGUCUAUGGUUGUUGUGGUUUGGGGCACCUUGCAUCUCUGUUUACCACAUGCUGCAGUUAAUCCGUGGGCUGCCCCCCCUAGCCGCCACCGCUCCCCCCUGGGCCGACCCCGCUACUGGAGUGGCUGAGGAUAGAGCGGGAGCAGAGGCAGGGUCUCGCCCCCCCUCCCAACUGUGAUUCAUCCUUUUUUGGGAGCCUGUCACUGCCUCUGUGUAGAGGAACCUCAUUAGUGUUAGUCAGCCUAUUUCCUUCCCCUAUAUGCUCGGCGUUAGUCAGAGCAGCAUCAGAUCAACAUCAUGACAACAUUUAUAUUAGUAUGUCUAAACCAUUAAGACAUUGAACUAUCUCAACUUGUUUGCCAUAAUAAGUUCUUAGUGGGCUAAUGGCUCCUAUUAUAGUGGUAAUACUUGCAACUUAGGUGAUGUCUGUAGUACGUCUCAGUCCUGGUACUUAUGCCGUAUUUGUAGUAGCGGUGCGUCGUGGAGACACGGCAGUGCUCGAGGGCCGCCCGGUACCCAGGCUCCAGUUUGUCAACAGGCUUUUCCCUUCUUCUGGGUUGUUGAUCAUGAAGUUUACUCCGUCUUUGGUGAUGAUUAGUUUUGUGGGGUAUCCCCACCGAUGUUUGAGGUUGUGGUUCUGCAAUUCCGCGGUGACUGUGUUGAAGGCUCUCCUUCUGCGUAGUGUUGCCGGUGACAGGUCCGCCAUGAUGCGCACACUGGGAUAUUCUGGAUGCGGAUCUGAUUUACUUCUGCUGGAGCGGAGGAUCAGUUCUUUUAUGUGAAAAUAGUGGGCUCGGAGGAGGAUGUCGCGGAGCGUUGUGUUCGGGAGGUAAGUGGGUUUCGGGACCCUGUGGACCCUGUCCACUAGUAGCAUGUCUGUCGGUAUCCCUUACAUAUACUUGGAGAUUGCCUGGUGACACCGACUCUGGGACCCCUCUGAGGCAUAAGUUAUUCCUCCUUGCCCUGUCUUCGGUAUCAGCCAUGUGGGUCUCCAUGGUGUCUAGUCUGUUUUCCAGUGCCUGUACUUGGUCGGCCAUUUAGUUUUGCGAUGUCGUCAGUGCUUUGUAGUCUGAUUCUAUGCGGGUCGUUCUGCUGGUGAGGUUUGCAAUUUCAGUUUUUAGUUGUGUUGCCGUGAGUUGCCAAGUAGCAAUUAGUUUUGUGGACAUCGUGUCCAUAGCUGUUUCGAAGAAGCUUUGGGUGUCCCGUUGGACAGCCAUGCGGUCAUCGCCUUCACUCGAUCCCUCCUCAUCUUGUAGGCCUAUUUUGUCGGACUCCAUUACCACGGUUUUUUUUUUUGGCCAAAGAAGUUUUGCUUAUCUCCUUUGGUGGAGGUUUUCUUGUUUUUAUAUUGAGAUAUGUUUCUGGGGGUUGUUUAGAGAUCUCUGCUGGUGUAGUUUUAUGAGUUUAAGGAGCCCAUAUGCCGGAGCAGAUCAGUGUCCGGCCAUCUUGCUCGGUGGUCAGCCACGCCGCCCCGACUCUUAAAAUUUUAAUUAUAAAUUGAACCAAAACUGCAGAGUUCUGUAACUUUUAGGACUUCCCCACAGGAAAGCAUUGCAUCAAUGCUUUCCUAUGGGAUUUUAGAUGACGCUGGAUGUCUUCAUGCAAAACGUGAGGACAUCCAGCGUCAGUUAGCAGACCAAAAGUCCUCAAAGGACCUGGAAGUGCCUCUCAUGUCUGUCUGGUAGAUAGUCACUAGAGGUGGAGUUUCUCAAUAAAUGUAAUAAUUACAAUUGCAGGGUUAAAGGGACAAGGACACUGCAUUUAGACCACUUAAAUUAGAUUAAGACAACUGUCUUUGCCAGUAGAUGUUAAAGGAUUAAUCUUCAUUAACGUUCAUAUUACUUCCCUUACUGAUUCCCUUACUUCCUUUUGUGUAUUUGUCCCUCAUCUCUUUAGAUUGUGAGCUUAUUUGGGCAGGGCCCUAUUCACUUACUUGUCCUCUAUAUAGCAUACAUAUUUUGUUAGAAUUAAUUUAUGUUCUACCACGGUCUAGCAAGGACAGGGAUGGUACAUCUACCUCACUAAUAUAAGCAGCUGGGGCAGAGUUAAAUGCCACUGGAACCCACUGCCUGGUAACUGCAGUUUGCUGAUGGGGAAGCAGGAAGGAGUUACUGCAUCCCCAACCACUACAUACUAAGGACUGUAAUUCUACUCCAACAUCCCCUCCACCACCAUUAAGGUUGUGAGGCAGAUUUUCUGACUGUGUGCAGUGGCGUAACUACCACAGUUGAUGGGAGGCCAGUUGUACUAAGGUCCAGGGAAGGGAGGGGGAUGGGAUAGGGGAUGAGACACAUGAAGGGCUGUGGGGUAUAUGAGACACAUGAAAGGGCUUGGGGGGAAUGAGACACAUACAGGGCCUGUGACUGUGUGACUGUGACAGUAUGUGUAAUGUUUCCUGUGACUGUGCGUAUAACUGUGUGUGUGUGCCUGAAACAGUGUGUGACUGCAUAUCUUUGACUGUGGGACUAUGUGUGUUUCUCUGUACUUGUGAAUGUAUGUUACUAUGUGUUUGUAACUGUGUCAAUAUGACUGUGUGCCUGUAACUUUGCUAGUAUUACUGUGUGCUAGUGACUAUAUGUGACAUAGUAUAUGUGUGUUGUAAAGAACAAUGGAGAUGGCACUCAUCAAAUUAAUAGAGAGGCACAAAAUACGGUGCACUAGGAUCAGAAUGGCACUCCCAACAUAGAUUUGUAUUAGAAACCCGCCAGCAGUUUUAGCUUGAUAAGGGCUUUUUUGCUUAUUGUGGCUGAAAUGUUCGUUGUGGGUUCCAAAUAAAAUUUCUGUUUUGGGAGUUUGUGAGAUCCGUAUUGCUUUCUUCACGUCUAUAGUAUAUAUGGAUGACUGUGUUCGUCUUUGAAUAUGAAGGUGACUGUGCGUCUAGGUUUAUUUAUAUUUGACUGUGUGCAUGUAUAAUUGUGUAAAUAUCUUGUGACUGUGUGUGAUUGUGUAUAAGUGACUGUCUGUGGUCAUGUUUGUAUCUGAGUGCCUGUAUGAUUGCAUGUCUAUGUAUGUAUGCUAUUGUAAAUGUAUUUUGAGGAAAAAAGGGUAAGGGGUUACGAUACAGACAAGAGUUAAGUGGGUUAAGAGAAACACAAGAAGUAGCAUGGGUUAUGAGCACAAGAGGGUCAACGAGUUAAGAGACACACAAGGUUGUAAAGGUGGAAUAGGAGACACACAAAUGAACGGUCAGGAGAUAAAUGAUUAGUGUUUUUAGAGCGAGACACAAUAUUUUAAAAUUCAGGGUGAUUGCCAACAUACAUAUCUUCCCGGGAUGUCAAAUGACCUAGGUACAGCUCUGGUCAAGGUGGAGCUCAGCAGGUAGCACUUACAGUGAAUUGUUGAUCUGCAGUUUGGUCAGUCGAAGGGCAACAUGAGUUUGUCUUUUUGUUACUAAUAUAUAUAUAUAUAUAUAUAUAUUAUAUUAUAUAUAAGUACUUACAGGCCUACAUUGUUCCUUCAACAUUUAAUUACAACUUUUUUCUUUUUUAGCAUGAGCAGUAAUUUACAAAUCAAAUUGAGAGUUCCUAGUAAAUUUCAUACCUGCGCAAGUAUUUUCACAGAUUAGAACUACUUUGCUACAUUGACUGACCAAAACACAGUAACAUAUGCUUCAUACAUGCUAUUCUGUGCAAGCGACAUUUAUUGUGCUUAUUUUAUUAACUAUUAAUUGCAGUAGCAUAAUUAAUUUUGCUAUCUUGGUGUUGGACAAUUAAGGCACAAAUAAAGAAAAUUAGACUUAAUGUUAAUUUGAAUUAUUUAAUAAAAGUUUUUACACAUAUACAGUUUUAGGGUUAUUUUUUUAAUUUUUCCACAGUGUAGUAAUAUCCCAAAUAUUACUAUAUCAUUGUGACUCAGUGUGAGUACUUAUUUCCAUAUUUCUAAUAGAAAGUGUUGAACAAUAAGGCCUGAUAGCAGUAAACCGUUAUCUCUACUUGUUAAGUUUACAGAAUCAGGUCCAAAAAGCCUCCAAGACACUUGUAAAAUGGCUAGCGAGGGAAAAAACGAAAAAGAAAUACUUGUCUGCAGCUUCUCAAAGUGACUUAUGUUUAUAAAUAAAUAGUGAGAGUCUAAUUCCCUACUUGCAUUCUGCCCUGGCAUUGAUUCAGUGCCCGUCAUCAUCCAAUGUAUCUAUCUCCUAAUGUCUGGUGUGGCUUUCUUUUCAUAUAAACUUUUGUCCCCGGUGUAAUCAUUAACAAUAACGUGCUAAGUUCACAUUUUAAAGUAUACUUUAAGCAAAUUAACUCCGAAAACUAUCCUCCAUCAUGCACGUUAAGAAUGCAAAGUUUUCAUAGGUGUUUAUUUUUUUCACAUUACAAAUGGCAUUUGAUAUCUAUUCUGGAACAUACCGUAACUCUAUUAUUUUUCACUUUCCCCUUCAACCCCCUGUGAAAAUAUGGACAACAGCCGUUCCCACCAUGCAUUCUUCUUUAUACACAGGGCUACGUUAAUUUUGCAAAUCAAACUGAGUUGAAAAAAACCCCAAAUUCUUUCCUUCUGAUCCUAUUCUGGAUCUGCUGCCAAAUUAUUAUAUGCUACAUAGGGCUGGAUUAAGAGCCUAUUGGGCCUGGUGCUGACAAUUAUGAUGGGCCUAAUAACAGAAUCUUAUCGACCGAAAACACUAAAACAUAUCCCAAUUGUCAUGUAUCUGGUGGAGGUGGAGGUAGAGGUGGUAUUGGAGGGAAUCUCACAGGAUAUAGAUAUCAGAAAACACAUACCCUAUGCUAAUCUCUUGCUUUCAUUUUUCAUGUAAAUCCAUUACCCCCUAACAGCAGUGUCCAGUGAAUAAGGAUUUUGGUGGGUGGGUAAAAGAGUGGACAACUGAUGUGAAUCACGUAACCUGAACCGCCCAAAGGGACCAACAUGACCAAAAAGGGGAUAUAUCUGCACGGAGUACUAGAUGUUCAACCUGGCGUGAAUGCACGUCAGGCUGCCUGCUAAUCAUGCAUGAUCCAAACAAGGGCAUACUGUGCCAACAGCACCCUGAGCUUGACAUAAAUGCAUCUAAUGAUGGGCUAACUCUACGCUUUCUAAGGACUGUCACCUAGCACUCCCUGGUCCACUCCUCUCCUAAUCAUUUUACUAGCAGGCAGAAGCUCCUGUUAUACAGUCUGGUACAGAGAAAAAUGGUAUGUAGUGAGUGUAGAAGAAAGGUAACAUACCACAGUGUUAAAAAGAAUGAAGCAGCAAGAGCAUUUGCAAAGUCAGCUUUACAUUAACUAAUUUCAUUGUCAGUCCACAUCAGGUUUGCUCCCUUACAUUCCUCUUAAGUUCCAUACUUAAGCAAGAGCAUGUGAAAAGUAGUAUAUUUCAUAAAAUUCCAUAGGCAUGGGCCUGGAGCUAAAGUUCCAUCAGCCCCUAUGUUAAUCCAGCCCUGAUGCGAUCUCAGUAGUAUUUUAAUUGCGCAUGCAUAUUACAACAGCAGCCUACAAUACAAAUACCUGAAUUCAGUAGUAGCUGGUGAAGUUUUAAGAUGGUGGAGCGCCAGACUCCUCCACCAGAAUUUAAAUCUUUAACUCUUUAGCCACCAUCUCCUGUGGUACUGUACUUCAAGAUGGCUUCUAGCUUCUCUCUUCUGUGGGCAGGAUUACCCCACCCCCUAUUGCUAAAACCCAAUGAUGACCCUCCUAUAGAUAGGCCAAUAACAUGCCUCCCCUCAUGGAUUGCUGGCUUUGCUGCCAGAAUGGGAACUCAAUGGAAGUCCACUGAAAUUCCUUUUUAAAGGAGACUAAGCAUGUGCAAAAUCUCCUGAAACAGGACAGAGUUCACACUUGUCCCAUUUUUGACAUGCCUUGUGGCUCUCAGGAAGCUUCUCCAGGCAGCCACCAAUGUGGUGGGAGGAGUCCAGCAGAACUGGAACCUAUUACUUAAUUAACCCCAUAAUGACGGCGUCCACCCCACUUACCCAAUACCCGCCAGCGAUCGACGUUCCUCACAUUCUGCGAGGACUGUCUGACAGCCCAGGCAGUCCCCCCUCAGCAAAUUAGGCCCCUGCAGGCCAUGUGAUCACUCUGCAAGAGUGACAGGCAGUCUUCCUGCUGCUAAAAAAUAGAAGAAAAAAAAUAUUAGUAAAUAAAAAAAAUUAUUUUAACCCCUUAAGCACUGGACUGUUUUUGUGAUGUUGUACAUUUGUGACCAGGCCUCUUUUUACACUUUUGUGGUGUUUGUGUUUAACUGUAAUUUUCCGCUCUCUCAUUUACUGUUCACAUACAAGUUAUAUAUAUAUAUUUUUUAAGGACAAAAAAAGCUUUCUUUACAUACCAUUAUUUAUAUAAUCUCAUGUUAUUUAAUUUAAAAAACAAAAAACAAAAUAUGAGGGCAAAUUGAAAAAAAUACAUGUUUUUUGACUUUUACUUGAAAAGUCUUUUACUCAUCUACAAAAGCGAAUAAAAAAAACUGCUAAAUAGAUUCAAAAUUUUGUCCUGAAACAUACAUUUUUUUAAAUUUAUCAAUAGUGACAUUGUAACACUAUUAUCUGUCAUAAAUCUCUGAAUAACACCCUACAUGUACAUAUUUUUUUUUUAAAGUAAACAACCCAGGGUAUGUCCAGUUUUUUUUUAGUAGCCACCUUGUCGCAAACACUGGCCAAAGUUAGCGUUAAUAUUUGUUUGUGUGUGAAAAAAGUAAAAGAUUAAAUUGAAUCUAAUUUUGGCCAGUGUUUGUGACUAAGUGGCUACUAAAAAAAAGACUGGACAUGCCCCAUUUGCAAUACCUUGGGUUGUCUUCUUUUGCAAACGGUAUGCCAUCAUGGUGUAAUUCUCAUUCUUGGGCUACCAUACGCUCUCAAAGGUAACAUAACCAACCUGGCCAUUCUCAAUGUAAAAAUAUUUGACCCAUAUAUUUGACCCUGUAACUUUAAAAAAAUGCUAUAAAAUCUGUACAUGGGGGGGUACUGUUAUACUCGGGAGACUUUGCUGAACACAAAUAUUAGUGUUUCAAAACAGGAAAAUGUAUCAAAACAAUUAUAUCAUCAGUAAAAAUGCUGUUUGUGUGUGAAAAAUGUGAAAAAAGUAAUUUUCACUGACAAUAUCAUCGCUGUGAUAUGUUUCACUGUUUUGAAUCACUAAAAUUUGUGUUCAGCGAAGUCUCCCGAGUAAAACGGUACACCCCAUGUACAGGUUUUAGGGUGUCAUAGAAAGUUACAGGGUAAAAUACAGUGCUAGCAAAUUAAAUUCUCUGGGAUUUCGGCCUGGGUUGGCAGGCAGGUCCCUCAAAUUGCAAUUAAUAAAAUUACUUAAUUAUGUAAAAAUAUUACAUAAAUACGCACGUAGAAUUUAAAUAUAUAUGCAUAUUUCUAUAUUUGAAGUCUACGUGUAUAUUUAUAUAAUUAUUUAUGUAAUUUUGUAUAUGGAUAUAUGUAUAUUUCGUAUUAUUUUUAUUUAUUUAUAUAUACAUAGAUAUAUAUACAAUUUCAUUCUAAGUGUAUUUUGAUAUAUAUAUAUAUACAUAUAUAUUAAUAUCAAAAUACAGUUAGAAUAAAAUUUCAUAUAGAUAAAAAAAAUGUUUUUAUUAUUUUAAAUUGUUUUUAUUUAAUUUAAUCUACUUAUUAUUUGUAUUUUAUAAUUAUAUAUACACACAAUAUAGUUAUUAUAUAUUAUAUAUAUAUGUGUGUAAUUUAAUUAUCAGUGUAUUUUUAUAUUAAUAUAUGUACAUAUUAAUAUAAUAAUACACUUAGUAUGACAUUAUAUAUAUAUAUAUAUAUAUAUAUAUAUAUAUAUAUGAUAUAUAGACAUAUAUUAUAUAGAUAUAAUAUGUCUAUACAGGGAGUGCAGAAUUAUUAGGCAAAUGAGUAUUUUGACCACAUCAUCCUCUUUAUGCAUGUUGUCUUACUCCAAGCUGUAUAGGCUCGAAAGCCUACUACCAAUUAAGCAUAUUAGGUGAUGUGCAUCUCUGUAAUGAGAAGGGGUGUGGUCUAAUGACAUCAACACCCUAUAUCAGGUGUGCAUAAUUAUUAGGCAACUUCCUUUCCUUUGGCAAAAUGGGUCAAAAGAAGGACUUGACAGGCUCAGAAAAGUCAAAAAUAGUGAGAUAUCUUGCAGAGGGAUGCAGCACUCUUAAAAUUGCAAAGCUUCUGAAGCGUGAUCAUCGAACAAUCAAGCGUUUCAUUCAAAAUAGUCAACAGGGUCGCAAGAAGCGUGUGGAAAAACCAAGGCGCAAAAUAACUGCCCAUGAACUGAGAAAAGUCAAGCGUGCAGCUGCCGCGAUGCCACUUGCCACCAGUUUGGCCAUAUUUCAGAGCUGCAACAUCACUGGAGUGCCCAAAAGCACAAGGUGUGCAAUACUCAGAGACAUGGCCAAGGUAAGAAAGGCUGAAAGACGAUCACCACUGAACAAGACACACAAGCUGAAAUGUCAAGACUGGGCCAAGAAAUAUCUCAAGACUGAUUUUUCUAAGGUUUUAUGGACUGAUGAAAUGAGAGUGAGUCUUGAUGGGCCAGAUGGAUGGGCCCGUGGCUGGAUUGGUAAAGGGCAGAGAGCUCCAGUCCGACUCAGACACCAGCAAGGUGGAGGUGGAGUACUGGUUUGGGCUGGUAUCAUCAAGAUGAGCUUGUGGGGCCUUUUCGGGUUGAGGAUGGAGUCAAGCUCAACUCCCAGUCCAACUGCCAGUUCCUGGAAGACACCUUCUUCAAGCAGUGGUACAGGAAGAAGUCUGCAUCCUUCAAGAAAAACAUGAUUUUCAUGCAGGACAAUGCUCCAUCACACGCGUCCAAGUACUCCACAGCGUGGCUGGCAAGAAAGGGUAUAAAAGAAGAAAAUCUAAUGACAUGGCCUCCUUGUUCACCUGAUCUGAACCCCAUUGAGAACCUGUGGUCCAUCAUCAAAUGUGAGAUUUACAAGGAGGGAAAACAGUACACCUCUCUGAACAGUGUCUGGGAGGCUGUGGUUGCUGCUGCACGCAAUGUUGAUGGUGAACAGAUCAAAACACUGACAGAAUCCAUGGAUGGCAGGCUUUUGAGUGUCCUUGCAAAGAAAGGUGGCUAUAUUGGUCACUUUGUUUUUGUUUUGUUUUUGAAUGUCAGAAAUGUAUAUUUGUGAAUGUUGAGAUGUUAUAUUGGUUUCACUGGUAAUAAUAAAUAAUUGAAAUGGGUAUAUAUUUGUUUUUUGUUAAGUUGCCUAAUAAUUAUGCACAGUAAUAGUCACCUGCACACACAGAUAUCCCCCUAACAUAGCUAUAACUAAAAACAAACUAAAAACUACUUCCAAAAAUAUUCAGCUUUGAUAUAAUGAGUUUUUUGGGUUCAUUGAGAACAUGGUUGUUGUUCAAUAAUAAAAUUAAUCCUCAAAAAUACAACUUGCCUAAUAAUUCUGCACUCCCUGUAUAUCAUAUAUAUAUAUAUAUAUAUAUAUAUAUAUAUAUAUACACACACACACACACACAUAUAAUAAUUUUUUUUAUUAACAUCAACAGUUAUUUUUUUUUUAAUGAUUUUACACUAGCAGGUAGACUGCCUGUCAGCACAGACACAUGGACACCUAUUGUGACCAUGUGACUGCUCUGUUGAGCGAUCACAUGGCCACAGGGGUCCUAAUCCGCCGCGGGGAGACUGUCUGGGCUGCAGGCGGACUCCCCACACCGCGAGCACCGCCGAUCGCCGCCGAGGGAACGACGGUGAUCGGGUAAGUACACAAGACCAUUAGGACGGUUCAGGACCGUCACCGGUCGGCAAUGGAAUAAUGCUGAUGAUGGUCCUGAUCCGUCCUCGUCAUUAAGGGGUUAAUAUAUAUAUGUUUAUAAUAUACAUAUAUAUAUAUAUAUAUAUAUAUAUAUAUAUAAUGUCAUACUAAGUGUAUUUUUUUAAUUAAUAUAUACAUAUAUUAAUCUAAAAAUACACGUAGAAUUAGAUUACACACACACAUAUAUAUAUAUAUAUAUAUAUAUAUAAAACUAUAUAUUGUAUAUAAAUAUAUAUAUUAUAAAAUAUAAAUAAGUAAAUAAAAAUAAAUAAUUAAACAUAUAUAUGUAUAUGUCAUCUCAUUCUUACUGUAUUUUGAUAUGAAAUACAGUGUAUCAAAAUACACUUAGAAUGAAUAUAUGUAUAUAUAUAAAUAAAUAAAAAUAAUAAAAAAUAUAAAUAUAUCAUACAUAAUUACAUAAAUAACUUCAUAAAUAUUCACGUAGACUUUAAAUAUAUAUAUAUAUAUACACAUUUGUGUUAGGUGCUUAAGAUAGAACAGUGUGAAAUACCAUGAAUAAGCGUAGGAUGAUAAAAGGAGCAAGUCGGCUGUGGUGUGCCGAAACCGACGAUGAGGUAGGCCUGAGAAAGAAGAGGGCCCACCCAGGAAAAGAAAUAGAAAGGAAAUAAAUGUUAAAAGUGGUGUGGUGGGAGGGUCAUUCAACGCUGACCUCGAACGGUAAGGAGCAAGGUAAGGGGAGUGCCUUAAGUAGGCUAGGGGUAGCAAACCAGCACCUCCCACAAAUGCAGGCAAAUUCCCUUAAUACUUGUGUUAGGUACUUAAGAUAGUACAGUGUGAAAUACCAUGAAUAAGCGUAGGAUGAUAUAUGCAAGUCGGUUGUGGUGUGCCGAAACCGACGAUGAUGUAGGCCUGAGAAAGAAGAGGGCAAAAAUUAAGUAAUCAAAUUUAUUAACAGACAACCAAUACAUAUACAUUUAUCAACCAGACAUGUUUAUGAAAGCAUCCCUUAAUUCUUGUACUGGGUUCGGUAUGUACCGUGAGUAAGCGGAUGACUUCCAGCGCCCCAGUGUUUUGAUAACAUGAGUUGGGAUGUUGACACUGGAGGCUGUGGACGCGGCUCCUAUACGAAAGGAGUGUCCUGAGUAUUUGUUUGCGUUGAGGCCCAGUUGUGUGAGCAAGGACCUGACGUAGGUCAUGAAGGUUGUAGUGGUGAGUACUGCACCUUGUAGUUGUAAUAACGGUUGCGAGGGCAGUAAGUGAUGGUGCUGUAUGUAGGCAUCAAGAACCUUGACGGGACACCAUCUGUUGUGCGUGGGAUAGUACGGAAUGUUUACAGGUAUGUGCUGGCUGGUUUUGGAGUGAGGUAAAGACAGGAUGUAAUGAUCCAUAUGUUUUGUCAAGUGGGAAUAGAGGAGGAAUGGAGUGGUUUGGGUCGUGGAGGUCGUAGUGAAUUCUCUGGGUCGUAGAAAUCCAUAGAAAGCGAUGUAUAUUGCUGUUUUGAUGAUAGAAUUCGUAUUAGUGUCAAACGGUUUUAGGUCGAGUAGGUUAGAUAAUGCUUUGAAGAUAUGGUUAUCUAUGGGUAGCCUCUGGGCCAAAUGUGUGGGUUCUGAUUUUUGAAUACCUCUGAGUAUGGUCUUAAUUUGGUGAGAGGCCAUGAAACUGUUGUUAUUUGGGUGUAAGAUGAGCAUGUGGUGUUGAAUGCCAGUGAGAUAGAGUUUGAUGGUGUUGUAUGACAUUUUGAGUUUAAGGUGGCAAAAGGAAGCAAACCCCAAAAAGAUGUCAUAACAAACGGUUGUAUGAUGUUAUGUUCCAGAAGGAAUCGUUUGAAUAGUGUGAAAGCCCUGCUGUAUGUUUUGUUUGUAUUGUUUGAAAGUGCCAACUGGGACAAUGUCCUGCUAUGCUGCAUGAUGACGUCUAGUCCAGUAUGAGUUGUUGAAAUGUUGGAGUGAUGGUGGCUGUGGGUGCUGCUGACGGGAGUGCUUGAUGAAACUCCUGAAAUUUAAAGCGAGACAAAUUGUCAGCAGCUGUGUUAUAUACACCUGGCACAUGGAAACAACAUAGGAAGAAAUUAUGACAAGCUGCCAACCAAGUGAGUUUCCUCAGAAAUCUCAUGAUCGUAAGAGAUUUGGAACGACCUUUGUUGAUGAUGUGACAGGUUGCCUGGUUGUCAGAGUAACAACGCACUGGCGUAUUAGCCCAUAAAUGACCCCACGCUACGGCAGCCGCCACUAUGGGGUAGAUCUCAAAAAGAGCUGAGGUAGUGGAAAAACCUUCCAAAUCCAGAAUUGCUGAAGGCCAGCUGCCCCAAAGCCAUUCGUUCCCAAAAAUUGCUGCAAAACCAGUGGUAGAUGCCACAUCUGACCAAAUGGUAGGAGAUGAUUCAGUCAAUUGAGGGAGGAACAUACUUUUACCAUUCCAAGUGGUUAAAAAUCUCUUCCACAUGUUUAGAACUGCCGUAGCUUGGGCAUCUAAGGACAACCUGUGCGUGUCACGUAGAAAAAGUGGGAAAAGAUGCAAUAGUCGUGAAAUAAAGGAGCGGCCUUGAGGUAUGAUGCGCAUCGCAAAAUUUAGUGACCCUAGCAGGGACUGUAGCUCUUUGCGGUUGCAAGUGCCGAGCUGUAGGUAGUUGUUUAUGUAAGUGAGAAUAUUCUCUAUCUUAUCGUAUGGUAGGCUUGCUUGCAUUGUGGCAGAGUCUAAUUGGAUACCCAGAAAAGUGAUAACUGUGUCUGGCCCUUCUGUUUUCUUUGGGGAGAUGGGUACACCUAGUUGCUCAAACAGCUUAGUGGUAGCUUUGAGGCUAGUGGGAGGUGCAGUAUUCUCCUCGACCAGUAGAAAAUCAUCCAAGUAAUGUAAUACCAUAGGGCAUCCGGCUAUGUUCAAUAGUAACCAGCAUAAUCCUUCGGCAAAUGUGUCGAAAAUAGCUGGGCUACUUUUGGACCCAAAAGUUAACCAGGAGAAAAAAUAGUAGUUCCCGGACCACUUGAUGCCAUGCAGGUGCCACAGUGUGGGGUGGAUAGGGAGUAAUUUGAAGGCGUUAGUAAUGUCGGUCUUACUGAGCCAGGCUCCAACCCCUGCUUGUAUGAUAGCUGUAAUGGCGUGAUCUAUGGUGGUGUAUUGCAGAGAGAAUUCCUCAGAGGGUAUGAGGGAAUUAAGACUGGGGUUGGCCGAUGAGUGGGGAGCCGAUAAGUCAAUGAUGAGUCUCUGUUUUUGUGAAGAUUUCCCUGUGACAAUACCAAUAGGGUUGGUGCGCCAUUCUGUGAAUGGAGGAGUUCUAAAAGGCCCCAAUACAAAGCCCUCAUCCACUUCUUGGGCUAUGAGGGUGUCAACCACUGUGGGGUUGUGUUGGGCGGAUUGUAGGUUAGGGCAUUCCAGAGUUCCAGCUGGUAUGUGUAGGAUACCUGUGUGGAAGCCUUCUGUUAAACCAGAAAUAAGAAAGUCUACCAGGUGUCUAGAUGGGUGCUGAGACAUCAAUGCUGUGAAUACUGGCAUAUUAAUGGACGUAAGGUAAGGCUUGGAAUACAUUUUAUUUGGACACAUGGUCUUUGCAUGUGCCCUAAAACAUUUUGAACAGACAUGCAAUAGUCUACAUCCACUGUAAUUACAAGACCCAACAUUGAAAUUAUUACAUAUCUGGGACUUGCCCAGAAACUUGAUUGGGCGUCCCAAUUUGUCUUUGGAUAGUUUCCCUGGAUCCCCAGAGGAACUAGUUCCUUGUGUGGAGGCAUGUCCGUCUGCCGUGUUGGGACAAAAAUUAGUAGUAUGGGCUGUGGAGGAGCAGUAUGCACAAGCUGGUGUUCUUAGACCUGCAAAGUGUCUGCAAAAUAAGACGGUAUCAAUCCUUCCCCAGUUGGAUCGUGUACCGUACUGGGAGAAGGCUCCAGCCACUUUUGCAGAAAAAGACCUAUGGUAGUCAUAGAAUGCUGAACCACCAUAUUUGUUGCCCAGGUCUACCAGCUUGUGCAUAUAGAGAUCAAACUCCUCUCUUCUGUUGGGAUAAACCGCACAGAUGACAUCCCUGUAAAUACCAAACGCUAGUACAAAUUCAGGGAUAGUCAGUUUCCUGUUCAGGCGGGCAUCCCUAGAUCUGACAAUAACAGAAACAUCAUCAUAAGCAUACGUCUUAUGUUCCACAAUGUCCUGGGAGGCAAUCAACAGGGAAGCCAGGUUGACGUCUUUACCUUCCAGGAUAUCCCUUUUGAUAUGCUCAGGUAUCAUGUGGGCCGGGCUAACUUCCUGGUCAUCCAGGGUGCUGGCUGGAGCGACUAAUGGCAAGGCUGGUGUUUGUACCGCAGCCGCGGGUGGCCCUGCUAGAGUGAGGGCCGUGGUGACCGACUCAAGUUUCUCCAGCCUGGAGUUGACCUUGCCCAUGGAUGCCAUGAGUGAGGAUAACAUGGCAUGUAUGUCCCCUGGGUUGGACUGGCUAGAUCCUUCCCCGGCUUCCAUAUUAUUAGUUGAUGUGCGUAGCAGUUUGAAAAGUUCUGCCUUCCUUGCUGUAGCGGGGUAGGGGAUUUGUCGUCUCCUUAAUUCCGUGGUUAUGCGCGGGAUUGUCCAGGAUCUAAUUGAUGCUGGACUAGCUAGCUCUCCUCCUUGUGUGGGAGUGACAGCUCUAGCCGGGGUGCUAGGCAGGGAGAAAUCCUCUACCCCUUCCUGAGACAUACUAUAAAUAAAACAAUAAUUAGUAUAUAGAACCACCAAAUUGUACUGGCAGGCUAGCUAGGCCGGAUGGCGAAAGUAUUAUACUUGUUUGGUGACAGGUGAGGCCCUGCUAAUUGCCAAGCGGCUUGAGAGGCUCUAUCUAUGCGUUGGCGCGAGGGGUUAUUGAGGCCACUUGACGUAGUGGCAGGAGUUUUAGGCCUCUCGGUGACUGUACGACAGAAAACAGGGGAAGGGAGUGACAGGUGAGGCCCUCUCUUUGCAACAUGCGAGGCGGCUAGCUAACGUGUGGCCCGAUGGGUGUUUGCCUCUAGAACGUUUGAGGCGGGGUGUUGGCCUCGCGGGACCACUAACUGAUGGCGACAGCCAAGACAGGGUAAAUACCUAUUGGGAAUCCUGUGACCCUAUUGCCAGUACUCUAAACUAGGGGGAUGAAAUGAAAUGUAUGGUAGAAUACCAUAUGAGCAGGUGUACGUACCUGGUAGUAUGACAAAUCACAGGAAUAAACCGUGUGGAGCAAUUAUAUAAGCUUGACAGCCUAAAAAUGGGUAAAAGAGAGUAGUAUGAUGAGUGUGGAGUGUGAAAAGAAACAGACUUAUAGUCUGUAGCAGCAAUGUAUAAAAAUUAUGUUGAUACCAUGGGAAUAGCUAUGAGUGGCUCAGAAAUGUUUGCAUGCUUGAAUAAGACAUCUGAGGGAGGCCGUGGCCUAUGUACAAACAAUCUAUGUGUUACGUGAUAAUGGUGUGUAAAGGAAAACAUGAAACGUAGGUUAUAUACAUAUGUAUAUGACUGUGCAGGGAACGUAUGAUUGGUUGGAUCAGUACGUGUGAUUCAACCCGAGUAUGCAUGAAAAGGAUUUAAGCCUUAUGUGUCAUCGUCAUGACAGAGAAAUGAGGCCUGUAAUAUAGGCUGAGUGAAUUGAAAUGAAAUGGAUAGUUAUAAAACUCCUGGCGUGGGAGUUCAAUGAUCUGUACAGAAAUGUAACUGGUUUUAUAGAAAGGGACAUGGAUGAGGUCAUGGCCUAAUUAACACAGCGUUAUGUAUGAUAUGUAGCAGAAUAACCAAAGGCAGGGAUACCCCAAAAUGAUUUAAAAUGAUGUAAAGUGAUGUAUAUCUAUAUGAUAUAUUGUAUAGAAAAGACGUAUCAACCCGAGAAUUAUUGCUUAAAUGAACCUAUAUCCUUUGUAUGUGUUGUAGUAAUAACCCAGAAGUGAGGCUUGUAACAUAGGCUGAGUCCAUUUGUAUAAAUGGAUAAGUAAUGCAGACCCCUGAAAGCGUGGGAGUCAAAUGGUAUAUACAGAGAAGUGGACUUGAUUUGUGGACGUAAUACAAUACUGACAAUAUUUAAAAGUAAUCAAAAUAAUCUAUUUAAACAAGCAAUUCUUAUCCGAACGUUAUGUACACAUGAAAUGGUGAAUAUAAUUCAUGAAAGGAUUAUAUGUGAACACACAGAAAAGCCGAAAGCAAAUGUGAGGGAAACACAGAAGUUAGAACAGUUUAACCGUAUGACUUAUGCGAACCGAAAGCGUGUUUGAGCGUAAGUGAAAAUUUGCCGAACGGCAAAACAACCGAAUGAUAAUUCGUUUCAAUAUUACAUGAAAUAGGAUAUGCGAAAUGACUAUUGAACGAUUAACUAUGUUCAGCCGAAUGACCGUACGAAUGAAAAAGCCCGCGAAUGGCUUGAAACAUUCGUGUCAUAACCAGGGAAAGCCGUAAUGCGAGGACCCGUGCUGUACAGUACGCCAUGGGAACCGGUCCUGGCGUGACAGGAAGGUCUGACUUACGGUUUAGGAGUCCCUGGGACGCGAUCUACGACGGAGACCGGAGUCAGAAGAAGCUGGACGGGCGGAAGGCCUGAACAGGAUUCCUGGACACAGCUAAACGUGGUGAAAACCUCGUGGAUACUGAAACCAAGAUGGCGUCUAAGAGAAACCGGAAGUGAAUCCUCAUUCAACGCUGACCUCGAACGGUAAGCAGCAAGGUAAGGGGAGUGCCUUAAGUAGGCUAGGGGUAGCAAACCAGCACCUUCCACAAAUGCAGGCAAAUUGCCUUAAUACAUAUAUAUAUUUAUAUUCUACAUGCACAUUUAUGCAAUAUUUUUACAUAAUUAAGUAAUUAUAUUAAUUACAGUUUGAGGGACCUGCCUGAUAAACCAGGCCAAAAGUCCAGAGAAUUUAAUUUGCUAGCACUGUAUUUAACCCCGUAACUUUCCAAAACAUCCUAAAACUUGUACAUGGAGGGUACUGUUUUACUACUGCUUUACUAAUAUAAAUAUUAGUGUUUCAAAACAGUAAAACUUAUCACAAUGAUGAUAUUUCACACACAAACAGCACUUUCACUGACAAUAUCAUUGUUAUGAAACACUAAUAUUUGUGUUCAGCUAAGUCUCCUGAGUAUAACAGUACCCCCCAUGUACAGGUUUCAUAGUGUUUUUGAAAGUUACAUGGUCAAAUAUAAGGUUUUUGGGUCUUUUUUAGUAGCCACUUAGUCACAAACACUAGCCAAAGUUAGCGUUUAUGUUUGUUUUUUUAAUUUCUUAAACACAAAAACAGAUAAACAUUAAUUUGGCCAGUGUUUGGGACCAAGUGUCUACUAAAAAAUACUGGACAUAACCCAUAUUGAAUACCCUGGGUUGUCUACUUUUGCAAAUCGUGUGCCAUCAAGGGGGUAAUUAUCAUUCCUGGGCUAUGAUACAGUCUCACAGGCAACAAAACCAGCCUGUCAGAUUUCAAUGUGUAUAAACUGAAAAAUGAAACAUGCUAUAUUUGACCCUGUUACUUUCCAAAACACCCCCCUGUACAUGGGGGAUACCGUUGUACUCUUGAGACUUUGCUGAAUACAAACGUACAUUUUAUUGCAGUAACAGCUAACAAUAUUAUGACAUUUACAGUUAAAAUGCCACGCAAAACUUAAAAAAAUGAAAAAAAAUCUUAAUUUCUCACACUUUUUUUAGAUUUUAUUCAUAAUAAAUUUUAUGUUCCAUAUAUGAAUAUUUAAUGUGAAAUAAAAGCCAUGUUUCUCCUGAACAAAAUGAUAUAUAAUAAGUGUGCACUUAAUAUGAAAAAGGUGAAUUACGGUUGAACAGACAUAUAUACAUCAAAAUUCUUAAGGGGUUAAAGAGUCACAGAUUUGUUUUUGUUUUAUUUUUAUUUUGACACAAAUGGCUGGAGAAGGUAAAUGUACUUUCUUUCCAUUUUUAUUAGCUUACCACCCUCCACGCUUAGAGUCUUUGUGUUUCUAAACUAUUGCAAAUAUUUUUUGCAUAUAAAAACUGGUUAGACGCUGCCCCAAUUACCCCUAUGGACAAACCUCCACGGGACUGCAGCUGCCUCCUAGUGCACCACUUCAAAUCACUGACAUGGUCAUGGUAUCUGAAGUAACUUUUUAAUGAAUUAUGAACUUGCCUUCUGACCUAAAUCCAACAGGACAGUCCUCAUUUUGGACCUCUGUCAUGCUGCUGUUGGGUUCUUUUCUACGGUGUCCUACUUCUGGAGACAUCAAAGGAAAGUCCCAAUAAAACUGAGAACAACACAUUUGUGUGAGGCUUUACCAGGAAUUCCCUCCCAUGAAAGUAUGCUUCAUCGAAGUUCUACACCUUGGAAGUGGCAGCUGUCUGCCCUGUAGCUGCCUGUUAUUCUGGUGGGAACAAAUUUUAUGACCACAAGCUUCACAAGUGACACAAAUUGCAUCAUGGGAAUGCCCCAUACCAUGUUAACAUGUACCGGAUAAAUUAACUUCUAGACACAAUGUAUAAAAAAAACUAUCUGCAAUUCUUAUCAACAAUAAUACGAAAACAAAAACAAAAAGUACUGAAAAGAAAAUUGUAGUAUUGCAGUGAACAGCUUUAUAGUUCUUGAUUCAAUUAGGGCCGGACGUUCAUAUUCUAAAGAGCCCCCUGCUCCAGAGGUGUAACUAGAAACUACUGGGCCCGGUGCAAAAAUUGCCCUUGACCCCCGCCCCAUGUGUCUCAUUCCUCCUCCCCGGCCUUCACGUGUCUCAUUCUUCCCCCUUAGCCUCUCCAUGUGUUUCAUCCCUCCCUCUUGCCCCUCCACAUGUCUCAUUCCUCCCCAGCUCCUCCAAGUGUCUCAUUCUCCCCCUGAGUCCCUCCACGUGUCUCACCCCACACCAGACCCUUCACGUGUCUUACCCCCCUCCAUUUGUCUCAUUCUUCCCCCCUUAUCCCCUCUAUGAAUCUCUCCAACACCCCAGCCCCUCCUUGAUGCUCAACCUCUCCCCAGCCCCUUGAUCAUGCUCUCACCCCUCCCCAUCCCCUCGAUCAUGCUCUCCCCUCCCCAGCCCCUCCAUCAUGCUCCCCCUCCCCAACCCCUCCAUGAUGUCUCCCCUCCACCAUGCUCUCCCCCCUCUUUCAGUCCCUCUCUCCAUCAUGCUUCUCCCUCCCCUGCUAAUCCUGAUGCUCUCUCCACUGCCCCCUCCAUGAUGCUCUAUCAUGUUAUAUUUACAAUUUCCAAGCUCUCCAUGAUGCUCUCCCCACUUCCCCUGCCUCCAUGAUACACUCCCUCCCCUGCCCCUCCAUGAUGCUCUCCCCACUUCCCAGUCCCUCCAUCAUGCUCUCCCCUCCCCAGCCCCUGCAUGAUUCUCACCCUUUCCCCAGCCUCCCAUCAUGCUCCAUAAUGCUCUCCGCCUCCCUCCAUGAUGCUCUCCCCUUCACUGCCCUCCAUGAUGCCUCCCUCCAUCAUGCGCUAUUUACACUUCCGAAGCCCUCCAUGAUGCUCUCCCCACUUCCCUGCCCUCCAUGAUACACCUCCCUCCUGCAACUUCCAUGAUGGUCCCUCCCCUGCACCUCCAUCAUGCUUCCCUCUCAGCCCCUGCAUGAUGCUCACCUUCCCCAGCCUCCCAUCAUGCUCUCCCUCCCUAGCCUCCUCCACCAUGCUUCCUCCCCACUCCCCAGUCCCUCCAUCAUGCCCUCCCCAGCCCUCCAUAAUGCUCUCUGCCUCCUCCAUGAUGCUUUCCCUCCCCGCCAAUCCCCGGGAUGCUCUCCUCCACUGCCCUCCAUGAUGCCCCACUCAUCAUGCUCUUACACUUCCAAGCCCUCCAUGAUGCUCUCCCCACUUCCCCUGCCCUCCAUGAUACACUCCCUCCCUCUGCCCUCCAUGAUGGUCUCCCCAUUCAUUGCCCUCCAUGAUGCUCCCCUUCAUGAUGCUCUCCCCCUUCCCAGUCCCUCCAUCAUGCUCUCUCUCUCCCCUACCUCCAUGAUGCUCGCCUCCACUGCCCCCUCCAUGAUGGUCUCUCUCCCAUUCAUUGCCCCUCCAUGAUGCCUCCCCUUCAUGAUGCUCUCCCUUCCCAGUCCUCCAUCAUGCUCUCCCCUCUACCUCCAUGAUGCGCCUCUCGCCUCUCCCCACUCCCUCCAUGAUGCUCUCCACUGCCUCCCUCCCUGAUGCCCCUUCAUGAUGCUCUCCCCCCUCCCCAGCCUCUGCAUUAUGCUCUCCACCCUCCCCAGCCCCUCCAUGAGGCCACCCUCGAUAAACAUGUAUUCAGAUUUGACAAUUACAUGUGUAUGUAUGUGCAUAUAUCUACUUGUAAUGUACUGUGUUUGAAUUUGUGAGUAUAUUGAGUGUGUGCAACUAUGUAAAUUCAUGCAGGACUAACAAUGUUAGAAUUGGUUAUGGUAAAGGGGUUGUUAAGGUUAAAGAUGGGUUAAUUGUUUUAGCUGCUUUUUUUGCCUUUUUUUUUAACAGCAUAAACUCAAAGAGCUAACUCAAAGAUUAAAGAGGGAACUUUUUUUUAUCUUAAUCAUAGAUUUAACUCUUCUCAAUUAACUUAGUGUACUCCAAUACAAAAUUUAACUCCACUCUAACCUUAACCCCGAUAAUUGUAGCUAUUUCCAAUUAUGCGACAAAAAAGGGAAAAAAGUGGACUAAAGAAAGAGAUGGUUUAGGUUUUAGGAGGGGUUAGAUUUAGGAUUAAGAAAAAAGGGAUGUUUAGAGAACAUGGUUGGAGUUUGAAGGGUUAUUUGCAAGGUACUCACACUCCCAUGAGUAUUAGUAGAACUGCAGGAGCUGCUAUAUAUGAUGUAUCACUACAUGCUGUCCCCAUGCUCCCCGUGCAAAGCAUUUGAUGUGAAAGGCCAUUAGUGGGCAGAUAGGAAAUUACCCCUACCAUUUCCUGUCCAUCAUACACGGACCCUAGAAGAGUUAGGACAGCUCUGUAAAAAAAGGCACAUCAUAAAAGCUAUAAGUAGGCGCCCCUUACGGGACAGGCUCCUGUAUGCAUGUGGAUUUGAUGCUGAUGACGGUCUCUGUUUUUAGUUCACGCAACAAUGUAUCAAACUAACCUCGUACUUUCCAAAACAGAUUAAAGGGACAUUGAAGCAAUGCUUUCCUAUGGGGAGGGCAUAAUGCACUCAUGGCGCUCGCCUUGCAUGCGCAUUAGCCCCCCGUUGGGUGACAUCGUAAAACAUUGGCACUGGAAUCAGGCGCAAGGGAGGGGCAGGCAGAGGAAACUGUAGUGUCAAUGUUAUUCUGUUUUGUGUAUGAUUUAGGAGGAAGGUGCCCCUAAUAUUUUAGCUAAUCACUAUAGCCAUAUUGCCUAAAUUUUUGCCUUGAUAUUCUGCAACCCGAGUUUCUUUCUACACUGCUGCUAAAAAAUAUGGUGCAUACAAUAUUGUAAAUUGUCAUCAAUGGGAAAAUUUGGGUACAACUUUGAUACCAUGUUUGUUCAUACUGUCAAGAAGAAGAGGACACAUCAUAAAGCAAUGAAUGGACAGGAAAGAUCAACACAUUCAUCUUUUGGUAAUUUUUUUUUCAUUUUUAAGAUGUUUUCAUGAAGCAAUCUUUACUAAGGACAUUGUGAUGUUAUAAUAUCUCACCACAAGGCUAUGCAAGUUAGGACACAUUUGGUAGUUCUGGCACAUAAUAUAAUGUAGAUUCAAAAUAGAUGUCACAGGAUCACAACUUGAGAAAUUCCAUUUACUAAAUCAGAAAUUCAGAGAUUAAAGCCAAAACGAUCUGGGAACAAUUCAUAAGAUAGAGAAUAAGAAUUGAAUAUUUGAGACAUAUUCAGGACUUUUCUUUAUUAUUUUUUUUAAAUACAUUUAGCCUUUAGCCUUUUGUGGACCCAGGGCAUACUUGAAAACGAGAGAAAUCUCAAUGUAUCUUUCCUGGUAAAAUAUUUUAUAAAUACUGUAAAUAAAUAAAUAAAUAAUAUAUGUCCACAUUUACCACUGUUUGUUUUUUCUAGAAAAAUAAAUAAAGGUAUUUGGGGAAUUUGUACAUUUCCAUAUGUAUUUGUUACCUUUCAAAUUUUAAUUUUAUGUGUAAUUAAUUUGUUUAUUGUAUUUUAUAUUUCAAAUUCAGUCAUCAUUUCAAAAUCUGCCUUUGCGGAUAACAUACAUUUAUUAUAACUGGUAGAUCAUCCCUGAGUUUAUUGAUGCAAUUUUCAUAAGAAGGUAUACAUUCCUGGGUUUUCAUCUUCUACUGGAUAUGGCAAUACAUCAUCCAUUUCCUGACGACAUACAGAUUAUCGUGAGGAUGACAUGUUGAUUUAUCAUCCACGUCUACACAUGUUAUGUGUAUUUCAGUGAUUCACAACCUUUUCUGGAUUGAGGCAUGCUACUUUGCAUCAAAAACAUUCCAAGGUACACCUACUAUUGUACCGUAACAAAUGAUCAAUUCUGAACACUUUCAACUGCAGAGCCAUCCAGGACUGUCAGUUAUGACAUCAAAGGUACUCAAAAACGAUCCAUGAUUGUCGGAAAGGGUGUAACUAGGGUGUGGUAGUAUUAGUCUUCCUCCCCCACAAACAGAUAUACACAUAUGUAAAUAGCAUCCCCUGCUAAAGAUAUGGUUUUAAUAAUGUUUGUGCACGUUCAAACCAAAACUACAAAUCACCAUUAUUAUUUUUUACUAUUGUUUAAUAUUAAAGGGGAAUGUGUUGAAGUUUUUGUUUAAAGGAAAGGCACAAAAUGAUAUUCAUGUUACACUUACAGAUGUACACAGUUACUCUUAUGGAUUGCUUAUAUUACAAGUGCCUUUUUCAAUAAACAAACUAAUAUUUAUACAUUUUUUAAAUUAAAUGAUAAUGAAAUUACAGUGACCACUCAUAAAAGCAGACAAACACAAUUGCAGACACUAAUAGACACACAAGGACACUAUUCACCCCUUAUGGACCACUGAUUGUAUUAUUCCAUCAAUGCAGUCUGUGCCAAGAUGAAGGAAUAAUUCCAUCAUGUACUACAAUUAACGUCAGAUCACCGCAGUGGUGUUUGUACUCACUGAUAAUUUUAUGUCACAUAUUCCCCUUUUCACAGCAAAUAGUAUUUCCUUCAUAAUUUUAAUUAAUGAGAUGCUUGUAUUUUUCUUUUAACAAAAAUAUAUACUUAUUUUUGUUGUGCAGGUAGUUACAAAUUAUCAUCAAACGCUACAACAGCGUACAUUGGUAUAGUCAGGCUAGACAGUGGCAUGAGUAAUUGCACUUUUAAAAAAAAGAUUUAUAUGAACAAGCUUAGACGUGUAGCGGUAGUUUAACGCAGAUGGGAUCAUGUCUAGAGAUGGUACUGCACUAUUUUUAAAUUAAUAAAAAACAUGCUUAUGCAGGGUAUGUCAGUGAAUAGGUAAGUAAUCAUUACAUUAAAACGUGGUAUAUAUUCUGACAUUUUAGUUUCGAGAGACAUAGCUUAGGUAAAAUAGAAGCAAAUCGUAGGUAAGAUACAAGAAUGUCCCUGCAAGAACGUCCCAUAAUAAGACAUGGGCCUAACAUCAAAAUUCUAAGUUUGAAAAAAACCUGAAAUGGCUGUGUCUCAUAUUUGCGCUUUAAACAUCCACAACAUAUGCCUUGCAAAGGUACACAUGGAUGUAUUGCUGUACUCAGAUGACAUAGCUGAGAGACAUAUUAUGUGCUACACUGCCUGGCAUACGUUAGGAUUACAAAAUAUUCAACAAAAUCUCAAUGCGUGUUAAAAAGUCCGAUAAAAAUGCUUAUUCCAACUACAAACUAGCAAAAAAAAAAAAAUGGCCACACGAUGAGGAUGAAAUUAUGCCAUUUGAGAUACCCUGCGGUGUCUCCUUUUAGAAAUGGUGGGCUUUUGUUAAGUAGUUUGAACUAACAAAAACUAGAAUACUCCAAAAUGAGGCAUAGCUCCAAUUAAUCCAUGAAUGAAAAUACCCUCUUAAUAAGAUGUAAUUACCAUGUCUUUUAUAUGGCACUGCAAUCUCACCAAAGAGAAAAUCCAUACAUUGGGGGUAUUGUUGUAGAAGAUAUAGCUAAACAUAAUUUUGAUUUACAAAAUACCCAGUAAAAAUGCAAUGUGCACGUAAAAAUGCAAAAAAAAAAAGAAAAUUUUAAAUAAAUUGGUGAGAAAAUUAUGCUAUGUUAAGGUACAAUAUACCCCAUAUGAGAUUCCCUGGAGUGUGUACUUUCACAAAUUGUAGGCUUUCAUUGGGUAAUUUGAACAGUCAAAUUACUACAAUGCCCCAAAAUGAAACACUCAUCAAAUCCAUCUAUGAAAAUGCACACCUAAAAACCUGAAACUGUGUGGACUCUUAUAUGGCACUGUAACUACAUAAGACUGUGCCUAUGGCAACUAUUGAGAGUAUCGUUGUACUCCGAUGUAUCUGAGCUCAACGUGCAUGUAAAAAGUGCCUACUUUCACAAAUGGUAGGCCAACAUGGGGUAAUUUUAAUAAUCAAACCACUAUAUUUCAAAAAUAAAACAUGGGCCCAUCAAAUCCAUUAAUCAAAAUUCUAACUGUAAUAGCUGACUGGUUAUAUUUCUAAUAUGGCACUCUUGCUUUACAGGAUAGUGUCUAUGACAUAUAAAAGAGGUAUCAUUGUUCUCAGAAGAUGUAUCCAAACACAAUAUUGUGUUUUGUGCAGGAGUAGCACACAUAAGGUUUAGGAAAUACAAAUUGAAAAAAACCUUGUGAUAUGUAUGUAUGUUAAAAAAACAGAACUGUGCUACAAUGUUUAGCAGAAACUGGCAAUUAAAUGUAAAAAGUGCCAAAUACCCUUAGGUAAAUAAUUUGAGAUGUCUAUAUACAAAUAUAUACUUCUGUGUGGCAAUUUUGUUUUCAGUGAUUGCUAAUAAACUUAGAACACCACCAUACCUAAUUCUAUAAUCGUUACAGAUUGAAAUUGUAUUUUACUCUUUUUAUUUUCUCAACUGUAACUACCAAAAAUAAACUGAAAUAAUAGACAUAUCAUGUACUCUGUAAAUCUCUGACAAAUAAAUGAAUUUAUUUUGAACUGCUUUUUCGUAAGCUGCAGAAAUUAUGCACACAAUGUUAUUGCCAAAACUGUCAAAAUCAUGCGUGUUUUUAUUUUUUUUAUUUUUUUCGAUAAUUUAUAUAUGUAUAUUUUUGGAUCAGCUUUUCAAAUGAUUGAAUAUUUUUGAUGUGACAUCAAAAAUAUUCAAUCACUUGAACAGCUGAUCCAAAAAUAUUAAAUUGAAACCUAUACACGCCACCCACAGACACACUGCAACACCUAGAUACACCUGUAUGCAUUUACAUUGAUAAACACACUGUCAGGCAUAACACUUACAAAGAUCACUUACACAUACUUUUCAAUGUGAAAAAUGCCUUGAAUAUAAAAAGCUUACCAUCCAUACUAGAAGCAAUCAUGAUGACACAAAAAAAAAAUCAACAUCAUGUAGUGCUGAAUUCUCAUAAACAUUACGAGGUUAUGGCCUGCGUUUGAACCCAUAUACAUAAGGAGUUAUUGAGAACUGUUAUAGUGAGUCUGUUGUGUUUACUCACCUACUUACCCCCAUGCUCUCUCAUUUUUAAAGAUUGCGAUUCUUUAUUUAAACUUGCAAAAAGUUCUUCCUGCGCCAAUUAUAUAAAAAUAUUAUCACAUAAAUCCUUGUGAUUGAUUAAGUCAAUGUGAUUAAACAAGUGACACCUGUACUGGCUCACGUUAAUAACUAUACAAUUUAAAGUGCCUGUUUAGUAAUUAUUGGCCAUGAUCUUAUUAUGUCAUGCCUAUGGGCUGAUUUGCCCUUCAGUAAAUAUGUCAAUCUUAUUUGCAUUUGGUUUCACACCUACCACUGAUUCCUUUCAGUUUGUCAAUGUAAUUAUCUUUCCCUGUUUUCCUUUCUUAUCCCUCUUGACCCUGUCUAUCUCACAUUUCACACAGUCACUUUACUGACCAAACUUUGCCCCAUUCCUCAGUCCAUCAACUUUCUCAAGUGCCUCGUUUCCAACCAAUUGGGUGGUAUUGUGCAAAACUUAAAAUGCCAUUAAUGACAUGACAAAACCUGCUAUAUAGAGUGUAAAGCCACAGGCACAUUUCCUUUGUGGUGUUUGGAUAUGUCACUCAAAAAAAAAAAAAAAAAAAGAAAUAACUACAAUCAAUAGAGCAAAAAAAUAGAAUCUAUGGGAAGCAUACACAUUUUUGGAUCCCAAUAAAAUACAUGAAAAUUUAUAUAUUUUUUUUAACAUGCAAUUUCUUGCAAGUAACAUUUUCUGUGCACAUUUUUUUUUUACUAUUCUUUUCAAACAUUGAUACUUUAUUUGCAUAUUUAAAGUGCAAAUUUAAAAAAAAAUUAAAAAUUUAGAUGGAACGCUCAUUAAUUCAUUUUUUUUCAUGCUUUUCAUUUUUUUUCCAGUUAUGGAUGGUUGGUACACCCCACUGAAAUCGUGCAACUGUCACCUGUAGAUUCCAACAUCAAUAAUCAAUGUAUAAAAAAAGGUUUUACUCUGUAAGCAAUUAAUAAUAGUAAAUUUACAUAUAUUUAUUUAUCAGGUCCAACAGUGUGAACUGUUGGAUUUUCAAAGUGAAUUCAAGAUGAAUUUCACGUUUUAGGCCGAAACAAAUGAAAAUACAGCUUUUUUCCCACUUUAGUUAUUUUGACCUAACCUAUUAAAUUCACUUUAAAUUCUUGACAUACUUUGCUAAAUAACCCUGACAGUGUUAUGGCACCAAUUACACAUUCGAUUUUCAAAUAACCAGCUGAUUAAAUUUGCAUGCUGUGUGUAAUGCCGAAUCACAACCCUCUAGUUCAAUAUGGAAAAUAUUCUGUAAUGUGUAGACAAUACUGUCAAAUGAAUUAUUCUUCAACAGUAAGAAAAAAUGGGAUGGCUGCACAAGAAAAUAAUCAUUUGGAAACAAAAGUUAUUAUGCAAUUUCAUUUUUUCCUAAUAAUAAACGUGUUCAUAUGUUAAUAUUUAUGGACAUUUCCUUUUUUCCUCUUUAAAAUAUAUGCAUCUGGGUAACUAUUCCUAGAGGAUAAUACAAUGUUUGCUUUGUACAAUAAUCACAGGGUCUCCACUGAACCCAUAUAAUGUACAUAGGGUAUUUGUCAGAUUUGGAGUGAAAUAUUGAUAACAUACAUGGAAUACUUUCUUGGACCAAGCGUUAGGAUCCUAUUACAAAACAAAGACGACUCAUAACAUGUUGUCCAUUACACUUUUCUUUUAUUCUUUUCCACGUCAAGCUAUCCACCCACAAAUCAUAUAAACUAGAGGGGACAGAAAAAUUAAGUAAUAUAAACUAAAGCUGAAAAGAAAAUCCUACAUAUAUACACACGUAACUCAAAACGGUCACACAUGGAUUAAGGUUGCCAACAUGUCUCUUGUAAUCAGAUUAUCAAAUAUGUCAAUUUUAAAUUUUCACAAAAUAUUUANNNNNNNNNNNNNNNNNNNNNNNNNNNNNNNNNNNNNNNNNNNNNNNNNNNNNNNNNNNNNNNNNNNNNNNNNNNNNNNNNNNNNNNNNNNNNNNNNNNNGAGGAGAGACCGCUAAGGGAGGGGGGUGGGAGGGGGGUGGAGGAUAGACCACUAGGGGAGGGUGGGGGGAGAGGAGAGACCACUAAUGCAAAGUCGGGGAGAAAAGGAGACCACUAAGGGAGGUGGGGGGGAGAGGAGAGACCACUAAGGGGCAGGGGAGAUCUCUAAGAAAUGGAAGGGAGAGCUCUAUAGGACAGGGGGCAGGACAGGGAGCUCUUUCACACCACGCGCACACACACACACACACAAUGCAUCCCUAUACACACAGAAACACAACAUGCUUCCCUUACACACAGAGAAACACACAAUGCAACCCUUACACAUAAAGACAAUGCAUCCUUUGCACAUAUACACAGAAACACACAAUGCAUCCCUUACACACAUGCAAACACACACUGCUUCUCUUACACACACACAGAAACACAAUGCAUCUCUUACACACACUCAACGCACCCCUUACAGACACACACACUGCAUCCCUUACAUACACAUAAACUCACUUUGCAUCCCUUAUGCAUACAAACACUGAUUCACACAAUGCAUUCCUUACACACAACAAGAAACACACAAUACAUCCACUACACACAAACACACUGCAUCACCUACACAAACUGGUAUUCCUAUACACUACAUUCCAUAAGCACACACAUUAGAUCCUCUACAGUAACACAUAACACAUCCCCUACACACUCUACUCCCUGUGAGCGAACUCAUGGGUGGAACAUGUAGGUGGAUGUAUGGGUGGGCUUUAUGGGCAUACUCACCGUCAGGCCCUGGGGCCCAGACCUUGAGCUAUGUAAGAGGCCCCAAAAAAUGGAGCUGCUUCCCGUUCUCACAGAAUGUUGUGACCACAGUUACAAACAGCCUCCAGAGAUCCUGUUCUACACCAGACCAGUGGAGCCAGACUGCAGCCAGAGCCCAUCACCAUCCUCAUCUGAUUGUAAGUAGGCAAUCUAGUAUAUUAUUAGUGACACUAAUCUCUAAUUUACCUCACAAUAAAUGGACACUAUAGUCCCCAGAACCACUGCAGCUUAAUAAAGUUGUUCUGGUGUAUAUAGUUUGUCCCUGCAGGCUUUUUAAUGUAAGCAUACACUGUGUGCAGCACUGGCACUAGUUCAUAUGGCAGAUCAUAUGGGUGGGGCAUUGUAUCCCGAGAGAGGAGAAAAUCUUUCUUUUGUCUAGGGCGGCAAAAAUCCUUGCACCGGCCCUGAGUGUACCGUUCAAGAUGUUGAACGGUUUGAACAAAAAAAAACUGUAUUAUAGACUCUUGCAGAGGGACAGAAGUAGAAGGCCAGGAUGCUUUUUAUAAAGGAGAUUGGAAAUCCCAUUUUUAAUAAGAUAGAGUUCAUGUAAUCCCAGUUAAGAUGAUGAAAUGCUAUUUUGGCAUCUAAUGCCUGGACCACACCUUGUUUUUUGCUAUGUUGUGCCCAAUGAAUUAAGUUAAUAAAAACCUGGUGUUAUCUCCUUCUUGUUUCCCUGGAACAAACCCUGCUUGUGCUUUCGAAAUUAGGUCGAUCAGUAUACCGUUUAAUCUAGUCGCUAAGAGUUUUGCAUAUAGUUUAACAUUUAUUUAUUUAUUACUGGUAUUUAUAUAGUGCCAGCAUAUUUCAUAGCGCUUUACAAUAGUAUCAAAGUGGGAGAUUUAACAAUAAAUGAGACAAUUACAAAAACUUACUGUCACAAUAAGUUGAAGAUGACCCUGCUCAAACGAGCUUACAGACUAUAGGAGGGGGGGAAACACAACAGGACAGGAGGUAGCAAUCAAAUACGGUGGAGUGAAGCAGAGCUGGAGGAGAGAGUAGAGUGCUGCCCUUUAGGAAAGAGCAAGGGACAGGUAGAGGUUACUCUGGGAGGCCAUAAACUUUCCUAAAGAGAUGGGUUUUCAGGCACUUUUUUUAUAUGAUUGAAGACUCGGGGAGAGCUUUAUGGUUGUAGGCAGACUAUUCCAAAGAACAAACAAAUAAAUAAUAGUGAGAGAACAUGAAUAAUAUUACCCACAAAUGAUGAAUCACUUAUCCUGUAAUAAAACAAAGAGAAGGAAACAUAGGGUAAUAAAGUAAAAACUAUAAAUAAAAUAUAUGUGUUGGUCUCACUCACAUAUACAGAGCCACUUAAAAAGCUGGCUCAGACUGCAUGCCUUGAACAACUAGACGUUCCCAUGGACUUAUCUUCAAAAUUCUUACAUGAAGUACCUCCAAACAGCUGGUUUAGGGGGUUACAACGAUGACUUUAUUUUCCAAAAUGACAGGAAACAGAUUAAAAAGUAUAAAAUUCAGGAAACAAACAACACCUAAUGCGUUUCGGCUAUCAAGCCUUCAUCAGAGGUAUUGAAAAUUGUCCAAACAUGCAGUCUUUUAUAUCUUCUUUUUGGCGCCAUUUUUCCACUCUAUCACUUCCGGGUUCCAUGUCACUUCCGGGUUUUGCGUCAGGACGUCACUUGUGUUCCGAUGUCACUUCCAGUUACGUCUUUACGUUCUGACGGCACUUCCGGUUACGGCCUUACGUUGUGACGUCACUUCCGGUUUAUAUUUCCGGACAUAUCAAGAGUGUCCGGCGCCAUUUUAUAUCAGGGCAAAUAUCAUAUUAGUACAUGUUAAAACCAAAUGAGAUACAUAAAUAUUUCACAAUAUGCCAAUCACUCCACAAGCAUAUUAAACAAUUUUCUUAAAUGGUUUACUCAAUUAAUACAUACUAUAAAACCCAAUAUAAAUCACAUAUCCAUACAAAAUAAAAACACUUAAUAAAAUACAUCUUCUAAAGGGAACAAUAUAACUAAUUAAUAUUAUACACCUUUUGGGAUAAAGGCCUAAGAAAUAAAUAGAAAUGUUAAAAAGGAGAGAAAAUUCAAUUAUAUAAAAACAUAAUAAAAUAAAAUUAAUAAACAUUAAUAAAAAUCAUUAAAAAAUCACAAAUAUUUGUUAAUCUCAAAAUCUAUAUUUAAACCUUGUGGUGCCAUGGUCUCCAACUCAAACAUCCAUUUCAUUUCUGUUCGACCCAAUUUAUAAUCUUUAUUGCCUCCUCUCCAAUGAACAUUAAUCUCAUCUAUACCAAUGAAUUCUAAUCAUUUCGGAUCCCCAUUAUGAACUUCUAAAUAGUGUUUGGACACACUAUGUUGAGCAAAUUUUCUUUGUAUGUUAUAGAUAUGUUCCCUUAUUCUUGUUUUUAAGGUUCGUGUCGUUUUACCUAUAUAUUGGUAACCGCAUUGGCAACUCAAUAAAUAAAUUACAUCCCUACUGGAACAGGUGAUAAAUGAUUGUAUUAGAUACUCUUUUUUAGUGACCGUUGAAAAGAAUUUAUCCACUUUUCUAUUAUUAUUGGUUCUGGAUGUACAACCUCUACAUGUACCACAAUAAUGGAAACCCUUAGUACCUUUUAAAAAGUUACUUCCUUCUACUCCAGUUCUUUUUUUAUCUAAAAAGCUUUUAGUUAAAAUUUGUUUAAAAUUAUUCGCUCCUCUAAAAAUAAAUUUUGGUGGGGGCGGGGCCUGCCCGCUGAGCUGGAUGGACGUGGGGCGCCUUGGCUCCACGAUGAAAGACCAUUAAUCAGCCCAAAACUACUAUAUCUCCCCCUAAAAAACAACCGGCAACUAUGAGAAGGCACUGGGGACCUGAGCCACAACACUUGGGGCGGCUGUCGGCCCAUACCCUACCGGCAAGGCUGACUGCUGUGCGGAUGGUGUUGCGGCCCGUCGUGAGGCUCUGGCGGGAGAAACGGCCGAUCUCCCGCGCUUAGUCCGGCGGGUCCUCCCGCACGCCGGCAAAGGGCCUCGUUCUCCCCCCCCUGUGGGCCGGGGGGGUUAUCCCGGACCCCACCGGGAAGGCGGAGAUCCCUUUGGGCAAACAGUGAGGUGAACAGACCACUCAUUGACCGCGUGGAACAACCCAAGAUGGCAGCCGCACCCAGUAUAAGCCGAAGCACGGAGGCAGCGACAGUCAAGCAACGGCUGGGUACUGUCUGGAAACGGAGGCUGACCUGACAGUUAUGCAUCGACAGCGGCUAGUGGAGAACCCUCUCCGCCCAUCAGACAACCCUGAAGGGUGCACAUUCGUUAAGUAACCAUGGCUAAUAAUCGUUUUACCUGAGGCAACAUUUCCUUUGCGGCGGAUGGAUCUGUGGGGACCAUACUGAGACUCUGACCCUGCAUUAACAUGGAGGAAUAAAGGACACUGGACACAAGACUCAUUUCCUAGCUGUGACUGAUACUCAUAUAUUACUAGGAUCCCAGCAGAGCACUAGAUACCUUUUUAUGUUAACAUGCCACUCUGUGUCAUUCUCUGUAUUAUUUUGAGUCUAUUAAGAUUAACCUGGCUCCUGCAGAUCCACAUAGCACAAAUUUGGAAAUCAUUUAAUAAUGAAUGAGCACACAUGUAUAUGUUAGCCGACUGACCCAGCGACUCACUGCCCCCUGGUGGUUAACUUUAAUUAACUAGAGAAAACUGUAUCUGAUGUUAUUUUGCAUAAGCCUGUAACUAAAUAGUUAUGCAACCACUGUUUAAUUAAGCAUGCAUAGAAUAGCUAUAAAAGAUUUACUUAACAGCACUAAGCUUGUUAUAUUGUUUUAUUCUGCAUGAUCUAUAAUUUAAAAAUGUGCAACGCAUGCGAAUGCCAUAACCCUGUACAUCUUGUUAUCUCUCUGUUUGCUGCAGCUGUUGUAGCGCACCAAGCAAUGUUACCUCUUUGCAAGCAAUAAAUAAAGAAUUUAAAAAAGAAAAAAAAAAUAUUGGUUUAAAAUCUAAAAACGGAAGGAUGUCAGGAUCUUCUUUGAGGAUGUGCCAAUGUUUUCUGAUUACUUGCUGUAAUAAAUAGUUAUUAGAACUGUAAUUAAAAAUAAGGGGGAUUUGAUCUUUUUGCGUUUCAUUUUCUUUUCUUUUCUUAUUUUUAUAUUUUAAAAGUGGUUGUCUCUCUUUUUCUCCACUCUCUCUUUCUAUUUUUUCUAAUUGUCCCUCAUCAUAUCACUUUUCAAAAAAAAAUUAUUUUAAAAUAUCAGCUUGUGUACAGUUUUCUGUACAGUUCCUUUUAAUUCUUAAAAAAUUGACCCUUGGGUAUAUUACUUAACCAGGGUUUAAAAUGGCAACUUUUGAGAGUUAUAAAACUAUUAACAUCCACUGUUUUAAUAAAAAUGUCAUCUAUAUAUCAUUUAAAGAGGACCAUAUUUGCCCCAAUGUCCAGUCUAGAAAAAAUUAAUUUUUCUUCCCAGAAGGACAUAAAUAAAUUAGCAUAACUUGGGGUAAAUCUGGUCCCCAUCGCUGUUCUUUGAAUUUGAAGGAAAAAUUCACUCUCAAACCAGAAGAAGUUAUUUUUCUAAAUAAAAUCAAUCCCUCUCACUAAAAACUCAAUCUGAAGGUCAUUCAUGUCUCCAGCUUUCUUUAGAUAAAACUCAACUGCUUUACAACCUUGCUCAUGUUUAAUAAUUGUGUAUAGACGUUUUACAUCGCAAGUGGCCACAAUAUAAUCUUUAUGCCACUCGAAAUUGUCUAAAGUCUGCAAUAAAUCUUUGGAAUCUUUUUCACGCCAUAUGAUUGGCAUUUUGAUUGAACAAAAAUCUCAGGUUCUACACCAGUUAGACGAAUCAAUUAAGAGAAUACAGGUCCAAUUGGAACCAUUUAAAAAUAUGAAAGAAUUGGAUGAUAUUGCAGAUCUAAUGGUUAAAAAAAAUAAUAAUAUUGAAAAUAUAGUUAUUGAAAACAAGAAAAGAAAAUUACAAAGAGAUCAGGAAGACUAUAGAAGUGGGAACACUAAACCCCCUCAAAGGAAUAACAAAUAUAGAAAGAGAAAUAAGAGUUUUUUCCCAAAUCAAAGAGAAAGGAGAGAUAGUUCUGAUAAUAGAAAGUGAUCUUAUUCUUAUGGGACAAAAGGAUCAAUAAAAAAGUAAGAGAUCAUGGCCUGAAAGAAAAAGUAUAGAUUUAACGAAAAACCAAGCAGAAAAAGAAGAUUGGAUAGAAAUCAAACCUAAAAAAGCGAGAAUGUAUGGUAAGACUGAGGAAAUUAGAGAAAUUCCGAAAAAGUGGACUUUUGGAGAUAAGAACCGUACAGUCCCAACCUUCAAUAGGUUUGAGAGCCUUAGAAAUCUCAGAGACAAGGAAGAUUUUUUAGGAAAGAGAUCCCUAGAACAGAGGGUUGAGGAAAAAAAGUAUACACCCCCUGAAAAGGUUGAGGAAACUAGAAGAGGAGGAAAUAGAAUUAAAGGAAAAAGAAAAAAAGAAGAAAAACUAUUUUUUUUGGGAGAAAGUAAAGAAUCAAAAAGGUCUGAAAAUUUUAGGGUUUUUAAUUUAUCAGAAUUUUUUUUAACAAAAGCACAUUUAAGUAUUUUUAAUAAAGGUUUUAAGUUUGCUCCAAGUCGUAAUUUAGAUAAAUUUGAAUCCUUUUUAGAUCUUAAUAAAUAAAAUAAGGGGGAUUUGAUCUUUUUGCGUUUCAUUUUCUUUUCUUUUCUUAUUUUUAUAUUUUAAAAGUGGUUGUCUCUCUUUUUCUCCAAUCUCUCUUUCUAUUUUUUUCUAAUUGUCCCUCAUCAUAUCCCUUUUCAAAAAAUGUUUCUUUUAAAAUAUCAGCUUGUUUAAAAUAUUCAAUUUUUUCUGUACAGUUCCUUUUAAUUCUUAAAAAUUGACCCUUGGGUAUAUUACUUAACCAGGGUUUAAAAUGGCAACUUUCGAGAGUUAUAAAACUAUUAACAUCCACUGUUUUAAAAAAAGGUCUUAGUUUUUAAUAAAUCAUUAUCAAUAUAUAUUAAAAGGUCUAAAAAAUUGACUUACUCCUUACUAAUAUCAUAAGAUAAAUUAAUAUUAAAAAAAGUUAAUAUUCAAAGAAACAAUAAAUUCUUCCAAAGUUUCCUUACUCCCUUUCCAUAUAAUAAAAAUGUCAUCUAUAUAUCGUUUAUAAAGUCUGGAAUAAAUCUUUGGAAUCUUUUUCACGCUGUAUGAUUGGCAUUUUGAUUGAACAAAAAUCUCAGGUUCUACACCUGUUAGACGAAUCAAUUAAGAGAAUACAGGUCCAAUUGGAACCAUUUAAAAAUAUGAAAGAAUUGUAUGAUAUUGUAGAUCUAAUGGUUAAAAAAAAUAAUAAUAUUGAAAAUAUAGUUAUUGAAAACAAGAAAAGAAAAUUACAAAGAGAUCAGGAAGACUAUAGAAGUGGGAACACUAAACCCCCUCAAAGGAAUAACAAAUAUAGAAAGAGAAAUAAGAGUUUUUUCCCAAAUCAAAGAGAAAGGAGAGAUAGUUCUUAUAAUAGAAAGGUAUCUUAUUCUUAUGGGACAAAAGGAUCAAUAAAAAAGUAAGAGAUCAUGGCCUGAAAGAAAAAGUAUAGAUUUAACGAAAAACCAAGCAGAAAAAGAAGAUUGGAUAGAAAUCAAACCUAAAAAAGCGAGAAUGUAUGGUAAGACUGAGGAAAUUAGAGAAACUCCGAAAAAGUGGACUUUUGGAGAUAAGAACCGUACAGUCCCAACCUUCAAUAGGUUUGAGAGCCUUAGAAAUCUCAGAGAAAAGGAAGAUUUUUUAGGAAAGAGAUCCCUAGAACAGAGGGAGAGGAAAAAAAGUAUACACCACCUGAAAAGGUUGAGGAAACUAGAAGAGGAGGAAAUAGAAUUAAAGGAAAAAGAAAAAAAGAGGAAAAACUAAUUUUUUUUGGAGAAAGUAAAGAAUCAAAAAGGUCUGAAAAUUUGAGGGUUUUUAAUUUAUCAGAAAUUUUUUUAACAAAAGCACAUUUAAGUAUUUUUAAUAAAGGUUUUAAGUUUGCUCCAAGUCGUAAUUUAGAUAAAUUUGAAUCCUUUUUAGAUCUUAAUAAAUUUUUACGAAAAUUGUGUUUAAAGACUUUUUUUGCAAUACGUUAGAACCUGAAAAAAUCUUACUAGAAAAUAAUAAUAUUUUUACCCAUAUCCCUUUAAAGAUUGAAUCUUCCUUUUACCCGGUUAGUUAUAAAUCAGAUGUAAUGAAAACAUUUGAAAGAUUAUGCUCUAGAGAUAUUAAGAAAAUUAAAACUAUUAAUAAAUACCAAGAAAAUUUAACACAAGAGGAAAAGAGAGCACUAAAAGAUUUGAAAAAUGAUAAGUCAAUAGUUAUAAAACCUGCGGAUAAAGGAGGUGGAAUUGUGGUAUGGCAAAAAGAAAAAUAUUUAGGAGAAAUUUUUAAACAACUUGAAGAUGAUCAGACAUACAAAAAACUUUUAAAUAAUCCUCUCUCUGAUAUUAAAUUAAAAUAUAAGACAUUUUUAGAUGAAGGUCUGAGUUUAGGGAUCUUAACGAAAAAAGAAUAUGAAUUUCUAAAUGUUAAAUAUCCAAGAAUCCCGGUAAUUUAUGUAUUACCCAAAGUACUUAAGGAUGAGACUAAUCCCCCGGGCAGACCUAUAGUAUCUGGGAUCGGUUCAUUGUUGUCGCCUCUGUCUCAGUAUAUUGACCAGUUCUUACAAAAAAAUGUCAUUGAGUGUCCAGCAUAUCUUAAAGACACCAUGACACUUUUACAGACUUUAGACCAGGGGUUCUCAACGUUAGUCCUCAGGACCCCCUACCAGUCCAGGGUUUAGGGAUUACCUGAGUGUGUCUCAGGUGUUUAGAAAAAAAAAAACACCUUAGAGUCUAAGGUGUUUUUUUCCCUUUUUCUAAACACAUGAGACACACCCUGGACUGGUAGGGGGUCCUGAAGACUGGGUUGAGAACCCCUGCUUUAGACAAUUUCAAGUGGCAUAAAGAUUAUAUUAUGGCCACUUGUGAUGUAAAAAGUCUAUACACAAUUAUUAAACAUGAGCAAGGUUGUAAAGCAGUUGAGUUUUAUCUAAAGAAAGCUGGAGACAUGAAUGACCUUCAGAUUGAGUUUUUAGUGAGAGGGAUUGAUUUUAUUUAGAAAAAUAACUUCUUCUGGUUUGAGAGUGAAUUUUUCCUUCAAAUUCAAAGAACAGUGAUGGGGACCAGAUUUGCCCCAAGUUAUGCUAAUUUAUUUAUGUCCUUCUGGGAAGAAAAAUUUAUUUUUUCUAGACUGGACAUUGGGGCAAAUAUGGUCCUCUAUAAACGAUAUAUAGAUGACAUUUUUAUUAUAUGGAAAGGGAGUAAGGAAACUUUGGAAGAAUUUAUUGUUUCUUUGACUAUUAACUUUUUUAAAUAUUAAUUUAUCUUAUGAUAUUAGUAAGGAGCAAGUCAAUUUUUUAGACCUUUUAAUAUAUAUUGAUAAUGAUUUAUUAAAAACUAAGACCUUUUUUUAAAACAGUGGAUGUUAAUAGUUUUAUAACUCUCGAAAGUUGCCAUUUUAAACCCUGGUUAAGUAAUAUACCCAAUGGUCAAUUUUUAAGAAUUAAAAGGAACUGUACAGAAAAAAAAUGAAUAUUUUAAACAACCUGAUAUUUUAAAAGAAACAUUUUUUGAAAAGGGAUAUGAUGAGGGACAAUUAGAAAAAAAUAGAAAGAGAGAUUGGAGAAAAAGAGAGAUAACCACUUUUAAAAUAUAAAAAUAAGAAAAGAAAAGAAAAUGAAACGCAAAAAGAUCAAAUCCCCCUUAUUUUUAAUUACAGUUCUAAUAACUAUUUAUUACAGCAAGUAAUCAGAAAACAUUGGCACAUCCUCAAAGAAGAUCCUGACAUCCUUCCGUUUUUAGAUUUUAAACCAAAAUUUAUAUUUAGAGGAGCGAAUAAUUUUAAACAAAUUUUAACUAAAAGCUUUUUAGAUAAAAAAAGAACUGGAGUAGAAGGAAGUAACUUUUUAAAAGGUAGUAAGGGCUUCCAUUAUUGUGGUACAUGUAGAGGUUGUACAUCCAGAACCAAUAAUAAUAGAAAAGUGGAUAAAUUCUUUUCAACGGUCACUAAAAAAGAGUAUCUAAUACAAUCAUUUAUCACCUGUUCCAGUAGGGAUGUAAUUUAUUUAUUGAGUUGCCAAUGCGGUUACCAAUAUAUAGGUAAAACGACACGAACCUUAAAAACAAGAAUAAGGGAACAUAUCUAUAACAUACAAAGAAAAUUUGCUCAACAUAGUGUGUCCAAACACUAUUUAGAAGUUCAUAAUGGGGAUCCGAAAGGAUUAGAAUUCAUUGGUAUAGAUGAGAUUAAUGAUCACUGGAGAGGAGGCGAUAAAGAUUAAAAGUUGGGUCGAACAGAAAUGAAAUUGUUAUAAGCAAAUGCAAAUAUUACAAGUUUUAGAAUGAAAUGUUGUAUUUCUUAAACUGUGUACUUUGUCUUUAAGAGAUAUUGCAAGCUGACAAGGUGUUAGAAAUGGAACAUAUUGUUUUUCAUAACUGUUUCUUUAAGCAAUAACCCCAGUGCAUAAUAUGUUUGCGCCAUUUUGUCCAGACGAAUUACAAUAACAAUAAUGCAUAAACAAGCUUCAAGGCUAUGCUACUGUGGUAACCUUAAGUAGAUAAGGAUGUCCAGACUUUAAGAUGCCAUCUUGAACUAAGUCAGGAAAAUUUCCAUGAGGCAUGCACCCUUUAGUUAUGGCCUUGUCUGUUUGCCAAGUUAAGGGAGGUCCUAAAAUGAAUAAGGUAAAAGAAGUGUUACAUUUUCAUAUUUGAACUACGGUAACCCUAAAAUGGAGACACGUAAGGCAUAAAUAGGUGUACUUUUAAAUGUUAAGACACAGAGGAGAGACUUGGAGACAGACGCUGCUCCAUCUUAAAAUGACAGAGAGGCUGACAUGAUGACAUGUUCAGAAGGGUAUGUUAACCGAUUAAUGAUAUUUGCAAGCAUUUAAUUUAAUCUUAUAAACUCUGCUGUAAUGGAUUUUAUAUUUAUAGUUUUAUAUAAUAAAUAUCCAAAAAGACAAAACUAUUGCUUCCAAGACAAUCCUUAUUUUAUAUUGUUUUCUCAAUUUUUUAUAAAUGUUAAAUAGAGGAUCUCUUACUAACUAUAUAAAAUUAUGGCUGAGAUAUCUGUAUGGCUAGCCCUUCUAAGUUCUAUGCUUUAAGACAUUAUAGUGGUAAAUAAGGGAACCACCUGCGGUUACAAUUGGCGACCACGAAGGGACUUUGUACUUGGAAGCUUUAACUAUAAAAUAAUAAAUACCUAGGUAACCUCUUAUACGUAAGAGAAGACACAAUACUUUGUCAUUGCACACGUCUUGAAAUAUCAAGAAUCUAUUGAGCUAUUUGUAGCCCAGACUCAGAGAGAGAUCAUCAUUAGAGAUGAUUUUAAUGUGAACAAAGCACUUUGAGUUCAGGUGCCAGGUACAUCAUAAUUAGCAUAUAAUGCUGAAAUUGUGGAUCUUAAUUAAUAUCAUAAGAGAACAAAUAUACAUAUUUGGUAAACUCCCUGAUAUGCCUAAUACACCAGCACAGCAUGGCCCAUUAGUUCCAGGACAGUGGAUUGCAGACAGGGGGAUAUGUUCUCUUUGUAGCUGCUUAGUAUGCAUGCGCAAGAAAAAGAUUAACGCAAAAUGUUGUCAAAAGAAAAGUGAUAAGACAGAGCGAUGAAAUUUGAAGUCUAAUUCCAAGAAUGCAAAGAAAAUUACCAGAUUUUACUAAUUACAUGAUGUAAAGUCAUGAUUUUAUAAAGGACACGGAGGUGUACCUCAGCAGCAAAGAAAAAGGUAUAAGACAUUAAAAGAACAAAACUAGAAUAGGUACUCAAAGGGUUAACAUAGUCUGCUAUCCUUAACCAAUAGGAACAGUCCAUAUACCCAUAACCACUCAUGUGACCUCUCUUCUCCCUCUUUCUUUGAUCCUGCCAAAGCUGAAAAUUCAGAAACUUGAGUAGACAACUGGAACCAUAACCGGUGCAUCGAUUUCUUCUCCAUAACAAAACAAUGUACUUUAACCAAUCGUACGGAAAUGAUAACCGAUCAUCCAUUGCGUCGACUGUAGUUCGUCAAGCUGAAACAGGAGAGAAAAGAAAAUGGUAACGUGUGGUCUAGAGACUGUGUGUUACAUACAAAGUGGUUAUUUCUUAUUAUACUUGAAAACCUCUACAGACUACCUUACCUGCUGUAGAAUUUACUGUGUCAUAUGUCUCUAUCAUACUUAUUCCCCUAAACUCUAUACCAAGCCCCCAAUAUUUAUCCUAUCGAUACAACUUACUGGGUGGGAAUUCGACUCUUUUACCUUAUCUGGUAACAACUUCGCGGUACUUACCAUGUCAACUUCGCGAUCCUUAACGGGUCGGCUAAUAUUCGCCUCCGUGUCCUUUAUAAAAUCAUGACUUUACGUCAUGUAAUUAGUAAAAUCUGGUAAUUUUAUUAAAGGACACGGAGGCUCAUAUUAUGCUAGUUCAAAGCUGAGCAAUGACCGACGAUGUUACGUGUUCUGUAGGGCGAAAGUAGUAUUCUUUGAAAGUAGAGUCACGUGACCAGUCCGCUGUACGCAAAAGGUCUUCCAGUCUGCAUCCAAAAUUAAAUGCUUUAGUCGCUAUAGCUCCCCCAGUGGAGUGUGCUCCGUACAUGGAGGUAUCAAUAUUUGCGGAGGUCAUUACCCAUUUCACCCAUCGGGCUAUAGUAACCGAUGAUACAGGUUGGUGUGGUGUGUUAAUGGCUAGGAAUAGUUCAUGCCUACUAGGGUCUCGAAAUGCCUGUGUUCGUUUCUCAUACUCUUUGAGACAAGCUAUUGGACAUAGGUGUUAAGACACCUCUAGUGUCUUUAAGCCAAACCGCCGUUUAGUAGACCUUCCCCGGCUGCAGUACAGUCUCCGUUCGCUUAAUCUGUAACACACGAACCAAAUGCAGGGGAAGCGGCAAUCUCCUGGUCGAGAUCCGUGAACGGCUCCAAACUCCCGAUCGGCAAUACACGAACUGCUGGUAACCGUCAAACAGCAAUAUUCCCCAAGCGGCUUUCGUUCCAUCCAGCAGUCUCUAAACGUGAAGAAGAAAUCCCCCCAAUAACGAGACAGAAGCUCCGCAUUGAGGGUCAAACAGGAUCUGGCUUUACUGUGGGCUGUAUAAUUGAUAGGAUAUUUUGGGAUACUGCUAGUAUACCUAUAAUAGAGAACAAAACAUAGUGCAAAUAUUGCUAAAUAUUAUAAAACUUCCAAUGAUUGAAAUGCACUCACAUAUUCCAAAAAUAUAAGCGUAUUAUGGGUGCCUCCCCUCGAUGGAAAUAGGGGGGUUAACUCCUAUUGAUUUUUCCUCCUCAAGUGAUAGCCAAUGGGGUAUCCAGGUCAGCAAGAAGGUCCACAAACAGCAACCAAAAGGAAUACUUCAAAGGCAAUUUAUUCACUUACAAAAAAUUAAGAAGGUAUGCAAAUAAAACAUAAAAACAAUAUAAAAAUGAGAUGUUGGUCCUACGCGUUUCGUCCUUAUACAAAAAGGACUUCCUCAGGGACCAUCUAUUUCAAUAAAAAAUCAAUUGACAAAUAUAAAGAGUGAACAGCAUCCUAAAAACGCUAACAAUCAAAAGAUCUUAUAUAGGGCUAAUCCAUUCAAGUUAUUGGUGGAAUAGUGGGUGUCUUCUCAUCUUCCGAUUCCCAUUCGUCAAACUUUUCUUCUCCCCAGGUGUAGCCGCUUUGCCGGAAUGAAAUGCCGGGUCCGUUCAACACAUUUAGCCACUUCCGCAUACGUCAUCCGUUGCGCGUGCGUCACGUGGUAAAAUAUCCAUCACAUGACCUUUAUGCGUUCCACGCUCGAAAAGAAAACAUGGCCGUGCGUUCCAUAGCAUAAUAGACUAAAAAGUCAAUUUUCUUGUACCUGGUGGUUAAAAAUAAAAGACUGUUAAAAAUCAUGUUAUAGUCUUAUAAAAAUCAUAACAAUAAUCAAAUGUCCUCUAACAAGUAACUCAAAACAUUAUUAAGAUGAAUGAAAACAACUCCCCAUCAAAGUUGGUCAUUCAUAAUAUCUAUUAUAACUUUGCAAAAGUGAUAUUUAAUUGUUAAUAACUUCAUAUAUUGACAAUAAUAUUUUAAUAUAUUAAUAUGACAAACUAAACCUACAUCAUACAGCAGUUUUGUUACAGGAAAACAUUUUUCCAUCAAAUCAGAGAUUGGCUGCCGCUCAGACUGUGUGGUGUAUCUACUUCAGUGUCCAUGCGGCAGCCAAUAUGUUGGCCGUACAAAGAGAUGUUUAAAAGUGAGACUUUUGGAACAUAUUAAUAACAUAAAGAAAAAAUUGGAUACCCAUUCAGUUCCUCUCCAUUGCAACAGUUGCCCACUUUUCUGUUUGAAGGGCUUGCGUUGUAUAGGGAUAGAGCAAAUUCAACCCCAUUGGAGAGGGGGUAAUAAAGAAAAACGUUUGGCACAAAGGGAAUCAUAUUGGAUUCACAGAUUACGUACCCUUACUCCAAGGGGGUUAAAUGUGGAUAUGGAUAUUGUUUGUUUUUUAAAUUAAUUGAAUGAUAAGAUACCACCAUUUGAAGGAAAAAAAUUAUUUAGAAUGUAAUAAUUAGUUUUUGUAUAUUACUCUAUUAGAGAUUGAAUGAAUAUGGAGUGUAUAAAUUACUUAUGCUACUUUACACAAUAUGGAUAUGUAAUUGAAUAUAUGAAUAAAUAUUCAUGUCACUUCACACAUUAUGGAUUUGCAAUUUAGGUUUAGUUUGUCAUAUUAAUAUAUUAAAAUAUUAUUGUCAAUAUAUGAAGUUAUUAACAAUUAAAUAUCACUUUUGCAAAGUUAUAAUAGAUAUUAUGAAUGACCAACUUUGAUGGGGAGUUGUUUUCAUUCAUCUUAAUAAUGUUUUGAGUUACUUGUUAGAGGACAUUUGAUUAUUGUUAUGAUUUUUAUAAGACUAUAACAUGAUUUUUAACAGUCUUUUAUUUUUAACCACCAGGUACAAGAAAAUUGACUUUUUAGUCUAUUAUGCUAUGGAACGCACGGCCAUGUUUUCUUUUCGAGCGUGGAACGCAUAAAGGUCAUUGUGAAGAAAUGCCUUUUUUUUACUGUAUAUGCUACCGAAUGCAGACCACCCUGUCACCCCUUUAUACAUCCAAACUUUGGGGCUUAUUGGCUUCUAAAGACAGUUUCUUCCCCACUGGAAUCCAUGGGAAGGUGUGUUUCUUCCCCUCCCCCAUUUCCUGUCUAUUGUUCUCAAGCAGGGAGUUGUCCCAGGGACACUGCCAGACCAGUGGGAACUGGUUUGGGCAGAAAAGCCAUGCUUCCUUUGGGUCACAAAGGACUUCUAACUAACUUUUGAACUAAUGGAAGGAUUUGCAUGAUUUUUGGGUAUGUUUGUAUUUAGGAUGUGCUGGUUAAUAAUAUGUGACUUUUAUUAAUAUUGGAUGUAUGGUUUUGGAGUUAUAAAAGUUGGGUAAAAAGUGUGUUUUAAAAUGUAUUGAUAAUUGAGUUACCUCUCAGGCUAAGGGGAGGGGAUGUGUGGGAUGUAACCAUUGUGUGAUUGGUUGUACUGUGUCCCACCCUGUGGGAUGUCACCUUGCAUGGGGACCUGCAUAAAAGAAGGUUCUUUGUGUGCCAAUAAACAGUUCAUCUUUGUACCCUUAUUCUGACUACGUAUGCUGUUUGGGAGUUCGUGUGUUUUACUGUGGGAAUUAUCCAGGAACACUAUUGGAUUUACAAUUGGGAAUUCGUCUACUAUAACUACCGAACGGAGGGCUAUAUUCACUGGGCUCUGGCUGUUCGGGAGGAAACUACCGAUUAAGGUUUAAAUGUACUUGGUUUCCUUACAACUGGUGGCAAGCGGCGGGAUUCGAAUCCCGAACGGAUGUUUUAAAGCAAGCAAAGGAAUGAAUGGCGCAGCAGUACCAACAGCUUAAAAGAACCACGCUUAAGGAUUUGCUGGAAGCUCGAGGCGUAAUAGCAAGCAACAAAACAAAAGCCACGUUAAUUGCAGAGCUGUUACAGGGCGACAGAACCAGCACUACGGAAAUGGAACCUGAGGAAGAAACGGUGAUGCAGAAGGACAUCAGAUGGAUGCUCAGUUUAUUGGGACCUAAUCCAGCAACAGAGGCAAUGCUGCAGGUCAUGGCACAAGCCAGGCAAGCACAGAAGGAGCGAGAUGACAGACUACUACGGGGGGAUUUGCUACACUCCCCGGGAAGUACAAAUGACAUGCCGAAAAAGGUAAAUUAUGCUGCAUUUAAAAACUUUAAUGACAAUGAAAUGGAGAUUGAUAGUUAUCUGCAAGACUUUGAAAGGCAAUGUGCACUGGAGGGAUUAGACUCCACCAAAUGGGCUGCAGUACUGAACAGCAAGUUGUCAGGCAGAGCAUCAGAAGCAGCACGAGCAGUACCUGAUGAAGAUAUUCAUAAUUAUGGAAAGAUAAAAGACAUUUUGUUGGCUAGAUAUGCAGUUACCCCUGAGGCAUACAGAAAGAAAUUCAGGGAACUGAGGAAAACAGGGAGGGAUACCCAUACUGAAUGGGCAUUCCGGCUACACAGGGCAGCCCGAAAUUGGAUGAAGGGCUGCCAAGCAAUCACUCUGGAGGAUGCGUUACAACUCCUCCUAUUAGAACAAUUUUUUAACCAUACCGCAGAGGAUAUCAAGGACUGGGUUAAAGACAGGAAGCCUAAAACUGUGGAGGGGGCAGCAAGACUGGCAGAUGAAUACCAGGAUAACCGGAGGCGAGAACAAGGGGUGAGCCGACCUGCGUUUAAACAACCUUAUUCAGCCCAACCACGGCUGCACCACCUAGAACCCCCCUGAGUAAUUCGCCCCACAACCCAGCAGCAGCACCCCGACAACCUGCAGUGUGUCACUACAACACUGCAAACAACCAGGACACUUUAAAAAUCAGUGCCCACGUUUAAACCGGGGAAGCUGGGAAAGGCAACCUCCACAGUCACAACCCAGGGCCGCUGCUCAUUGUGUACAGCAGGAGAGUACAUCAUGGGUACCUCCCCACGAGGAACAAUGGAGUGUGUUGCACGAAGUCAACCCUGUGCAAGCCGGGGGUGACAACCGGGACCACCACCAUCAAUGGAUUACGGUAGAUGGGGUGGGGGCCCGCACCUUAAGAGACUCUGGGGCCACAUUAACUGUGGUUCAACCGCACACUGUCAAGGCUCAAACUCACACGGGCCACACUGUGGCAGUAAGGGUCGCCGGGGGUGCCAUCCACAAAUUACCCACGGCUAAAGUUCUUGUGUAUUGGGGCUCGGGAUCUAAACAACUAGAGGUUGGCAUUAUGCAGGAGCUACCAGCCGAAGUACUGUUGGGGAAUGAUGUGGGCUGUUUAACUUCCCAGUUAGCCCGAGACACCACAGCUGAUGCGUAUCCGGUUACCACCCGAGCUCAAGCCAGACUGGAAGCACCGCUGCACUCUGAGGAAACCCAGGUAGGAGUUGACAUCCCCCCUUUACCCGACCCCCCUCCCUCGUUCUGGGAUACUCCCCAGGGGUUUGAGCAGGAACAAAGGACUGACCCCACUCUAGCCGGGUAUAGAAAAGCAGUAGGGGACAAUAGGGGCGACAACCCCCACGAAAAGUUUGAAUGGCAUAAGGGACUGUUGUAUAGGGUGACAGAUGGGGCAGGACACGGAACCGCCCAGGCUACUAAAAGACAACUAGUAGUGCCCCGCAAGUUUCGGGCUGAGUUACUAAGACUCAGCCAUGAUAUUCCCCUAGCCGGACAUUUAGGGGUUAAGAAGACUAGGGACCGCCUGACCCAAACUUUCUUCUGGCCCAGGAUCACUCAAGACCUCAAAUACUAUUGCAGGACCUGUGACGUUUGCCAGAAAAUAGGGAAACGGGGUGACCACCAAAAAGCAAAGCUCCACCCGUUACCCAUCAUAGAAGAGCCGUUCCACCGGGUAGCGGUAGAUUUAAUAGGACCCCUCAGUCGGCCCAGUCAGUCUGGUAAAAGGUUCAUACUCACCGUAGUGGACUAUGCCACUCGGUACCCCGAAGCCGUAGCCCUUCCCAAUAUAGAGGCCGAAACGGUAGCCGAGGCCCUGGUCAAAGUAUUCUCCAGGGUAGGUUUCCCCCAGGAGAUCCUAUCCGACAGAGGGACUCAGUUCACAGCUCUCCUGACACAACAGCUGUGGCAGAGCUGUGGAGUGAAAGCCCUCUUUAGCGCCCCAUAUCACCCCCAGACCAACGGUCUCUGUGAACGUUUUAAAAACGUUCGCAGAGUCCUGCAGGAACUGGGAGAGGUAUCUUCCCCAUCUUCUGUUUGCCUAUCGUGAGGUGCCCCAGGCAUCCACGGGGUUUUCCCCCUUCGAACUCCUGUUCGGGAGAAAAGUUCGGGGCCCCCUGGAUCUCGUACAGGAGCACUGGGAGGGCAACAUGGAUGAUGGGGGGAUCCCUAUAGUCCAAUACGUAUUGGAGUUCCGCGACCGGCUAUGAACUCUCACUGAAUCAGUUCGGGAGAACCUGCAGGCGGCCCAGGACUGCCAAAAGAGGUGCUACGACAGGGGUGCCCGGGACAGAGUCCUAGACUUGGGCCAAAAAGUAUUAGCUUUGAGACCCGCCAAAAGGGAUAAGCUCCAGGCGGCCUGGCAGGGACCCUUCAAGGUGGUGGAGCGAAUGAGCGAUACCACCUACAUUGUAAGCAAAUGUUCGGAUGAGAGACUGACCAAAGUCUUCCAUGUAAACAUGCUGAAGCCUUACUACGAACGGACGGAAGAUGUUGGCGCUGUAUGCGCCCCCUCUUCCGAAGAUAGCGAGGGACUCCCACUCCCCGAUCUGUUAGACUCCUCUCCCUGCAGUAUUGACCAGGUCAGUCUUGGUCAGAACCUAAAACCUAUAGAGCGACAGGAAGCGGCCGGUUUACUCCGGGAAUACCAGGGCAUGUUUUCUGUCAUCCCAGGCUAUACCUCCGCUGCGGUACACCGGGUAGAUACCCAGGGAGAGACGCCCCUACGGCAGCCGCCAUACCGCAUUCCCGAGGCUGUGCGUGAGAGCAUGCUGGCAGAACUUGCCGACAUGCUCAAGUUAGGGGUAAUAGAACCCUCUCAAAGCCCUUGGGCCUCUCCGGUAGUACUAGUACUGAAGCGUGACGGCACCACACGCUUCUGUGUAGACUACCGGAGGCUCAACGACCGCACCAUAACAGACGCCUACCCCAUGCCCAGAAUAGAUGAGUUACUGGACCGUAUGGCCGGAGGUAAUUACUUGACCACUCUGGAUUUGUGCAAAGGGUACUGGCAGAUCCCCCUGGAGUCUGCCGCCAUCCCCAAGUCGGCAUUUGUCACUCCUUUUGGGCUUUACCAAUUCAAGGUUAUGCCCUUUGGGAUGAAGAAUGCCCCGGCUACAUUUCAGCGGAUGGCUGACAGGCUCCUGGAGGGACUCCAGGACUUCGCAUGUGCGUAUUUAGACGAUAUUGCUGUCUACAGCCGCACAUGGGGAGACCACCUAGGCCACGUGUCCAGGGUGCUCGAGAGAAUUCACCAAGCAGGGCUUACGUUGAAACCAGACAAAUGUCACGUGGGUAUGGCGGAGGUACAGUACCUCGGCCACAGGGUAGGGUCAGGUAAACAGCGGCCUGAGCCUGCCAAAAUAGAGGCCAUAGCGAAUUGGCCCCAACCUCGGACUAAGACCCAGGUCUUAGCCUUCUUAGGAACAGCCGGUUAUUACCGGAAAUUUGUCCCCGACUAUAGCGCCCUGGCCAAACCCCUCACUGAUCUCACCAAAAAGGCCCUUUCCAAACAGGUUACCUGGACCCCAGAGUGCGCGGCAGCCUUCCAGAAACUGAAAGCAGCAUUGAGUGAGGCUCCUGUGUUGGCAGCACCAGACUACUCUAAACAAUUUCUUGUCCACACAGAUGCCUCCAUGUUUGGGCUGGGAGCCGUGUUAAGCCAGGUGGGAGACGACGGCAUGGAACACCCGGUGGCCUAUCUAAGUCGUAAACUGUUGCCCCGGGAAGUCAGCUAUGCCACCGUGGAGAAGGAGUGCCUAGCCCUGGUGUGGGCCCUUAAGAAACUCCAACCUUAUUUGUACGGCCGGCCGUUUACUCUGAUGACCGACCACAACCCGUUGGUGUGGUUAAACCGGGUGGCUGGCGACAACCCUAGACUUUUACGGUGGAGCCUAGCCCUUCAACCGUACAACUUCACCAUGCAAUAUCGUCCGGGCAAACAAAAUGGUAAUGCAGACGGUUUGUCCCGCCAAACGGAAUUGGAUACUUAACCUGGACUGUUUCGUUGUUGCCCCUCGGACAUCCCCAAGCCAACCCGUCAGGGUCUUGGCGGGUAUGCCGACAUAUGGACUUAUAGGGGAGCAGUGUGAAGAAAUGCCUUUUUUUUUACUGUAUAUGCUACCGAAUGCAGACCACCCUGUCACCCCUUUAUACAUCCAAACUUUGGGGCUUAUUGGCUUCUAAAGACAGUUUCUUCCCCACUGGAAUCCAUGGGAAGGUGUGUUUCUUCCCCUCCCCCAUUUCCUGUCUAUUGUUCUCAAGCAGGGAGUUGUCCCAGGGACACUGCCAGACCAGUGGGAACUGGUUUGGGCAGAAAAGCCAUGCUUCCUUUGGGUCACAAAGGACUUCUAACUAACUUUUGAACUAAUGGAAGGAUUUGCAUGAUUUUUGGGUAUGUUUGUAUUUAGGAUGUGCUGGUCAAUAAUAUGUGACUUUUAUUAAUAUUGGAUGUAUGGUUUUGGAGUUAUAAAAGUUGGGUAAAAAGUGUGUUUUAAAAUGUAUUGAUAAUUGAGUUACCUCUCAGGCUAAGGGGAGGGGAUGUGUGGGAUGUAACGAUUGUGUGAUUGGUUGUACUGUGUCCCACCCUGUGGGAUGUCCCCUUGCAUGGGGACCUGCAUAAAAGAAGGUUCUUUGUGUGCCAAUAAACAGUUCAUCUUUGUACCAUUAUUCUGACUAUGUAUGCUGUUUGGGAGUUCGUGUGUUUUACUGUGGGAAUUAUCCAGGAACACUAUUGGAUUUACAAUUGGGAAUUCGUCUGCUAUAACUACCGAACGGAGGGCUAUAUUCACUGGGCUCUGGCUGUUCGGGAGGAAACUACCGAUUAAGGUUUAAAUGUACUUGGUUUCCUUACAGUCAUGUGAUGGAUAUUUUACCACGUGACGCACGCGCAACGGAUGACGUAUGCGGAAGUGGCUAAAUGUGUUGAACAGACCCGGCAUUUCAUUCCGGCAAAGCGGCUACACCUGGGGAGAAGAAAAGUUUGACGAAUGGGAAUCGGAAGAUGAGAAGACACCCACUAUUCCACCAAUAACUUGAAGGGAUUAGCCCUAUAUAAGAUCUUUUGAUUGUUAGCGUUUUUAGGAUGCUGUUCACUCUUUGUAUUUGUCAAUUGAUUUUUUAUUGAAAUAGAUGGUCCCUGAGGAAGUCCUUUUUGUAUAAGGACGAAACGUGUAGGACCAACAUCUCAUUUUUAUAUUGUUUUUAUGUUUUAUUUGCAUACCUUCUUAAUUUUUUGUAAGUGAAUAAAUUGCCUUUGAAGUAUUCCUUUUGGUUGCUGUUUGUGGACCUUCUUGCUGACCUGGAUACCCCAUUGGCUAUCCAUCGAGGGGAGGCACCCAUAAUACGCUUAUAUUUUUGGAAUAUGUGAGUGCAUUUCAAUCAUUGGAAGUUUUAUAAUAUUUAGCAAUAUUUGCACUAUGUUUUGUUCUCUAUUAUAGGUAUACUAGCAGUAUCCCAAAAUAUCCUAUCAAUUAUACAGUUCUGUUAUACGGUUAUCGGCUGGGAGAUAACCUUGGGAAGCAGUGUACCUAUCAGCUAAGUUUUAUUUUGUGUUUAUCUUGUGUUUUCACACUUUUUUCACGGGUGUCCGUGGUUUUGUUAUUUACUGUGGGCUACCUGCCCGUAUUUAUGCAGGUCUCCCACCUGGUGGACACUCCCCUAGGGGACCAAAUGGGAGACUUAAAUUACAGACAGAUAUGGGGACAUUCCAGACACACAGUCACAGAUUUUACCCACAGUGCAUUAUGAUUCCCUCCCCUCUGCCAUGGAGUUAAUUACCAAGUAACUCAAUUAACUCCAGGACAAAGCCAGUCGCCAUCUUAGACAUAAAAUAUUAAAAGACAUAAAAAUAUAUAACUACAUAAAAACCGAACAUUUCCCAUUCGUAUUACAUGUCCCCAGAUAGCCUGGAUCUGAGUGCAUAUUAUUAGCGAAUAGCGCUCAGAUCCCACACACAUAGUUCAAUCGCCAUGGAGUCAAAGUUCUUACAGUCUUUCGGUAUACGAAUGACUCCAUGGGAAGGCUAUCUGGGUUAAGUCUUUUCGUAUGCUCUCAAUCUCCCGAACGGCCGGUGUUCGCAUGCUUUCGUGGAGGCAGCCAGGCGUUCCGUUGUUUCAGCGGUGUUCGGCAGAAAAAGUGUCCGUUUUCAGUUCCAUAGAAAUAGAGCCAAACACCGCUGGGCGUUCGCUUGAUUUAAAAUGGCCGCUGCCUCGUGGUCGACAUACGAACGACGACCACCCUGAAUUCGGUUUAAUUGAGAAGUGUCUGCGGUUAACCACAACGUUCUAAUUGGGAUCACUUCGUUAACCAGCAGCACACUCCUCACUUGGGUGGCCGUUCGUUCGGCAGGUUUGUUCGGGAAAAAGAGUCAUUCGAAUGGCUGGGCUAUAGAACCCAGCCAUUCAUACGAACGGGGGACAAACAGACGAAUGCAGUAAAAAUCCAAGCAGACAGAUGGUUCUGUCACAAUAGGUUUAUAUUGUGAGGAAAAGCUGGAUAGGAUACUGUAGAAAUUGUUGUUUUUGUACGUCUGGAAAUAUUAACCGUCACUCCCGAUGGAGUGAACGAGCGUGCAUCCACGUCCAAUGCUCGCACAUCAGAGACUCUUUUGCAUGAUAUCAAGCAGAAGAGCAUUGCCAGUUUCGCUGAUAGUUGCUUCAGUGUAAGGUUGGAGUUCUGUGGCCAUUGUUCCAAUAAAUUUAAGACUAAAUUUACGUCCCACGUUGAUGCAUAUCUGGGUUGUGGGGGUCUUGCAAAUCUAACUCCACGUAAGAGUUUGCACACCAUUACGUGUCUCCCUAUUGGUGCACCUUCUAAGCCUUUAUGUCCAGCCGAUAUCGCUGACCUAUAGCCAUUAAUAGUCCGGUAUGCUAGACCUUGAUCGUAUAAACAUGUCAGGAAACGCAGUAAGCAGUUCAAAGGAGCACAUACGGGAUCCACUUGUUGUUCCAUGCACCAACCACUCCAGGCGUUCCAUGCCCGCCUGUAGGAUCUCCGAGUUCCUGGGGCCCAGGCUCCCUGCAGUAGUUCCAGCGUCGUCUGUGGAAUGUCUGGUACGACCCAGGGUCCCGUGAAAGGAGCCACGCUAGCAGCCUGAGUUGUCCUUGCAUCAGUAAUGGGUGUGAGUUCCCUUCAGGAUCCGCCAAAAGGUGUGGGUCCGCGGGAAGUAGUCUGGGAAGGUCUAUAGACAUUUCCAUGAGGGAAGGGAACCAUGGGUGCAUUGUCCAGAAUGGUGUUAUCAGGACCAGAGUCGUCCGCGAGCGAUCGAGAUGUACCAACGUUCGUGCUAGCAGAGCGAAUGGUGGGAAAGCGUACAGUCUCCUUCUCGGCCAUGACUGGAGGAACGCAUCCGUAGCCACUGCUUCCGGGUCUGGUCUCCAGCUGAAGAAUUCUGGUAGGUGCGUAUUCAAAUGAGACGCAAACAGAUCCAUGUACAUCGGGCCCCACAGCAUUUGCAAUCGUAGGAAUACUUCGCGAUUCAAUCGCCAAUCGAUGGUGUCCCGCAGAUAUCUGGAAUUCCAAUCCGCCACAGUAUCGAGAGACCCUGGAUGUAUUCGGCUCAUACUGAGAUGUUGCGGUCCAGGCAAAACUGCCAGAAUUCCAUGGCUAAGUCUGCUAAAAUUUUGGACCUGGUGCCGCCUAGGCGGUUGAUGUAUUGCACUGCUGAUAUGUUGUCCAUCCUUAAGAUGAUGGAGCAAUGCGUCUUGGCACCUAGGAGGCUUCUCAGUGCGAAUGAUCCCGCCAUAAGUUCCAGGCUGUUGAUAUGCAGCUCUCUUUCCGAUUGGGACCAUCUUCUGCCUGUGGAAAUAUGACCACAACGCGCUCCCCAGCCCUGCGUGCUGGCAUCGGAUUCUCUUAUGCAAUCCGGGGUGGUGCCGAAGAUCGCUCUGCCGUUCCACACCUCCAUGUGUUGCAGCCACCACUUGAGUUCCUCCUUGGCCGUGUGAUCGAGUUGUACGGAGUCUGAAUAGGAUUGACCUGAUUGUAGAUGAGCAGCUUUCAAUCUCCGUAGGGCCCUAUAGUGUAGAGGUCCCGGGAAGAUCGCCUGAAUGGACGCUGAGAGGAGUCCAAUUAUCCUGGCUAGUUGUCUCACCGUGAGCGUUGGGCGAGUUAACGUUCUGCGGAUCUCCUUUUUGGUGGUCUUGACGUUCUCUCGUGGUACUUUCAGGGUUCCCUGGACCGCCUCUAUAGUGAACCCUAGGAAUUCCAUGGACUGCGAGGGAGUCAGCACCGACUUCUCCCAGUUGAUUAGAAAUCCUAGGUUGCGCAAAAGCUGUAUUGCCCAAGAUAGGUGUUGUUGAGCUAGGAGUACAUCCUGUGCCAUGAUCAGUAUAUCGUCCAAAUAUAUGAUCAUGUGCACUCCUCUGCUGCGAAGCAGCGCCACCACCGGUUUUAACAGUUUCGUAAAGCACCACAGAGCUGAAGACAGGCUGAAAGGGAGGCACCUGAACCUCCACAUCUGUGCAUUCCAUUGGAAUUGCAGGAGGUGGUGACAUUCCUCCGCGAUGGGGAUGGUGAGAUAGGCAUCUUGCAGAUCCAGUUUGACCAUCCAGUCUCCUAGCCUGAGGAAGUCUCACAGGCAAUGGAUCCCCUCCAUCUUGAAGUGGCGAUACCGUACGUAUGCAUUGAGUGGGCGCAGGUUUAUCUCCGGUCUUACUCCUCCGCCCUUUUUGGGGAUCAGAAACAGGUUGCUCAGGAAACCUGGAGAGUGAUAUGCGACUUGAUAAAUCGCGCCUUUCUCCCUUAACGCUCUGAUUUCCUUUGACACGAGUUCCCUGUCCUGUGGGGUAAACACCAUUGGCCGAGGGACUGACGUUUGGAUUGGGGCUUGAACAAAUUCUAUUUGGUACCCUACAACUGUGCUGAGAAUCCAAGCAUCGGAUGUGAGUCUGUUCCAUGCUCCGAUAAAAUGGGAUAGUCUGCCCCCACAUAUGAAGUACCAUAAGGGGAAACAGGAAAGGUACUCACAAUAAGGCCGUCGGCCGUACGUAGCGCCCCUGCGUCCUCUGGGCUGCCAUGACCUGCCCCUGACUGGAAAGAAAGGUGAGGGGUUUCUGGUCUCCGUCUGUGGGAAUCUGGGUGUAGAGGAGCCUCGGUAGCCCCGGUAGGAGCCCCUUGAUGAACGGCUGGACAGACGGCCCUGUUGUCUGCCAGCGCCCCCAAAAACCUUUGGGGCGAACACACGCUUCAAGUUUGUUUGCACCUUGUCCAGGGCUGUAAAUGUAUUCACAUAAUUGCCUAACUCUUUGACAAAAUUGUCUCCGAAAAGGAGACCUUUCGCCUGCGGCCAAGGCUCAGAUAUGGCCAUGUUGACCAGUUUCGGGUCAAUUUUCAUGAGGACCGCCUUGCGCCUCUCUGUACAAAGCGCAGCAUUGGAAUUGCCAAUAAGACAAAUAGAGCGUUGUGCCCACUCUCGGAUAGCCAAGAGGUCCACUGGCGUGCCACUUGAAAGCGCCUCUUCGACCAUGUCGAAAAUUUUUGCGCUGGGGCCCAAAGAAUCAAGUACUUUAACUUGGCAGUGGCGCAGAGAAUAAUCCAGCCCUUUCUUGGCCUUCCAGACAGAUUUUCCCAAAAAUUGGGCAAUUUUUGGGUCCAGUUCUGGUGUGGCGCACGCCAUAUCUGGCACUGUCGGACGUGGGCAUUCUGCCCUCAACUUAUUCCUGGUGGCCUUGUCCAAGGGUUUCCUAAUUCUGGCCGCUAUAUAUUGGGCCACGUGGUCAGCUGGGAACCAUUCUGUCGACCUAGGGUGUUGAAGGUCGUCUGGAUUAAAUAGGGGUUCCCCUUGCGGAUCCAUAAUAACUGAGUCAUCUGCUUUUUCUUGGCCCCUGGCAGCUGGUUUGCCAGUAAAGGUGAACUCCGGAGAAGAGUUCUCCGAUUCCAGCGAGCCCAUCUCCUCAGACUCACUCAAUACCUCCUCUUGGUCCGAAUCAGAGUCGGAUAUUUCUCUUCGGGCUUUUGCCCAUUUCCAUGUCCUCACCGUUUUUGACCGGCGGGAGGCUCGCUUACGUGGGGGCCCCACGUCCUCAUCAGUGACAGGACGCAACCUGUCCGUCAAUGUUGUUUUGGAGGUUUGCUUGCCCAUAUGAUGGGUCUUUUCAGUAGCCUUGCGACCGCUGAGGGGAGCAGGCUUGUCGUCUUGGGCCUUGGAGCAGAGGUCCUUGGGGUUGUGGCCAGACGCCAUGAUGGCGUUGCUGAUGGAUUGGGUCAGGUUAUCUGACAUCGCCCCCAUCGCUGUGUAGAUGGCUUGUGUGACCGAUUUUGUCAUGGUCGCAUCUAGCAGGGAAUGGAACUCCUCCGAGUUCAAUUGCUCCACAGACGCCACCUCUUCUCCUUGAGAGGAGAUUGGAUGUUGAGCCUGGGACCCACGGUGUGCGGUGCCCUUAUUGCUUGCAGCCAAAGUGACAAGCUCCUGUUCCUUGGGGUGCUGCAUUUUUAAAUAGCAAUCUGCUCCAAUAUAUGGAACUAAUCUAAGUGGCACUAGUAAUACUGGCCCCUUUAAGGAACAAUCUUUAAGUGGAUAUCUAUGGUGCUUGAUAGCACACACAAUACUGUCACUUUAAUACUAAAUGAGACAGUGUACAAUAAACUACCACUUGCAAAUAGUUUGAUCUGCUGUUAAAAUGGGGAGAUGGCAAGGCACAAACAAGCUGUCAGCUUACAUAGUGUUCCCUCCGGAAUGGCUGCAAGGGGACACUGGCAGGUUGACAGCUACAGCCCAUACCCAAUCCGGAUGCUCCCGCCCCUCAGGGGGCUGGGGGCGCCGGGACAAAUGCACGGCAAAACUUCAGAGAAGCCGGCAGUUAAAAUGGCCACCGCGCUAUGCGGCCGCGAAUGCGCAUGCGCGCAGUCUCUGGCUAGAAAAUGUCUGCGGCGGCAGUGAAAGCCCGACGCAAAUGCGGAGCGCGGGUAAUAAACUACCCGACGGGGUGGGGGAGGGAGGGAGGGAGUAUGUCUCCCGAACGGGGAAUCAAUAAGACAAGCAGAGAUAUGAACCUAGAGAUACAAGCCCCAAGCAAAUACCCCUAUUUCCACUCCUAUAGCUACAUAGAGAGACCUAACUAUUAGGAACUCUGACCCUCUUUAGCUCCCCCAAAGUUACAGGCCAAUAAAUUUAUACAAAGAAUAAAUAUAAAGAAUAAAUCUAAAGACAAUAUGAAAUGACAAGUACAUAAGACAUUAUCUCCAAUCUAAAUAUCCAAACAGAAUGAACACAAUUUAAGAGAGCUAAAAAUUAGGUGAUACUUAGCUGAGGCAGCAGCAAAGAAAGAGGUAAAAGAGUCGAAUUCCCACCCAGUAAGUUGUAUUGAUAGGAUAAAUAUUGGGAGCUUGGUAUAGAGUUUAGGGGAAUAAGUUUGAUAGAGACAUAUGACACAGUAAAUUCUACAGCAGGUAAGGUAGUCUGUAGAGGUUUUCAAGUAUAAUAAGAAAUAACCACUUUGUAUGUAACACACAGUCUCUAGACCACACGUUACCAUUUUCCUUUCUCUCCCGUUUCAGCUUGACGAACUACAGUCGACGCAAUGGAUGAUCGGUUAUCAUCUCCGUACGAUUGGUUAAAGUACAUUGUUUUGUUAUGGAGAAGAAAUCGACGCACCGGUUAGGGUUCCAGUUGUCUACUCAAGUUUCUGAAUUUUCAGCUUCGGCAGGAUCAAAGAAAAAGGGAGAAGAGAGGUCACAUGAGUGGUUAUGGGUAUAUGGACUGUUCCUAUUGGUUAAGGAUAGCAGACUAUGUUAACC
rnacentral:lncRNA from 1 species